rnacentral:lncRNA from 1 species
AAUUGCAACAGAUUUCGAGCAAAUGUUGAUGUGAAGAGACGCCUGAGCAUAGUGCACCCGUCCACUCUUAAAUGGGUAAGAUUUUGGAGGCUAAAAUUAUGCGUGGGACCUUCAUGAUAUAAUAAUACUUGCAGUUCUCGAAGGUUUUCCAACUGCACCUCCUUCAAACAUGGGAAUAAUUUGUUUUCUUGUCCCUUAGCGAUAAUAGCUUCCAAUUGAAAUACCACAUGUACUCCAAGUUGGCUAAUACCCAAUUCUUCCAAAUUUUUUAAGCCGUGCUUCAACAGUGCUGGAAUCGUGUCACUCAAAUGGGAACAAUUGUCCACAUAUAGAAUUUUUAAGUUCUGAGACAAAUAAAUAAAUAACUUGAUGCAAUUAAAAUCUAUUAGCAAGCUAGGAUUAUCACAUGAUAAGUGAUGAACACUGCAAAAAACAAAAACAGAAAACAAAAUCCAAACAAAAAUAUCAUAAUACAUAUGUAAACUAAUAAAAUAAUUAAAAAGUAAUGGAUUUAAAAAAAAAUUAGUUAAAAGAGAUCAUGUGAAGUGAUAUAAAUGUGACAUUAGAUUGUUUUAGAAAAAAUAUUAUUCUAUUAAUUUAUAUGGUUUGAUCAACUAUUUAAUUGAAUUUGAUUAAUAUUAUAUACACUUCAGAAGUAUUUGAAGAAUGGUUUUAGCCUUAUAAUAAAGAAAAUUCCCUAAGAUAUCUGAGCAUUAUUAUUAUCAUUACCACAUUCACGACCACCAUCAUCAUCUCCAUAGGAUCAAAAAAUUAAUGGCUGAUCAUAAAAUUUAUUGUUAAAAUAUCCUUUUGAGUAAAAUUGAAUGAAAAGAAAAAAUAUGAACCCAAACAGACAUACCUCUUUGAGAUACUGCAAAUUGGCUUCAAGUUCAUUACUGUUGAUGGUCAAGUUGGGACAGCAAUCAAGCUGUAACUCUUCCAAUGCUGCCCAAAUUGAACAAUAAUUCUCUGAACAGAACUUGGUGAGUUCUGGGAGAUCUUCAAGUUCUAAUUUUCUCAACAAAGGGAGGGCGAGCAUCGUAUUUCCAUCUCCGACACUUAUUUCCCCUUCAUUAUGAUCAAACUUUGCUUCGACAAUACAUUCCAGUCUCUCGCAUUCCCUUACAUGGAGACUUUUAAGCUGCUCCAAACUUCGAGCUUGUGACAACGUGAAGAUAUAUGUCAACUUGUUGCACCUAACCACAUUCAAUUCUGUAAGAGUUUGGAGACUGAUCACAUGUUGGGCGGGCGCCUUCCAUAUCCACUUCAGUUCUGGUAAGUUCCACAUAGAUAACUCUGCUAAUCUUGAGAGACUCUUUCCAUGCGGCGACUUAGAGGCUUCCAUUAUGCAUUCUAAAUCUUCGCAAUCGCCGACAUCAAGACAAGUCAACUCAUUUAAGCCCCUUUCAUCUAUGCUUGGCACAAUAUUGUAACAACCUAUAAUCCAUCUUAUAUAAAGAAUUUCCAGUUCUUGAUACAAAGCCGAAAAAAUACCGAGCGAGGUCACUUCAGGAGGGUCAUUCUCAAUGAUUAAGCUCUUUCUCUGACUACCAUAUUCCAUUUUAUAAAAAACUUCUUCACCUUUACAGAUGACGUACCUUUGCAAUUUCGGGAAUGUAAAGUCUUUUGGAAGAUAUACAACAGAUCCGUCGGCUUGGGAGUUCAACUCAGCAAGCCUAGCAUUACUUUCUUCUGAACUCAUCCCUUCAACCUCCCAAUUUUUUAUCCGACCAUAAAAUUCUUCUAAUUUUUUUAUCGUAAUGGGAGAAACAGAACUAGUAUCAAUAUGUAGAAGUUUCAAUCUACCAAGUUCAUCCGACAAUUCUUCAGGAAUUUCAAUGGGAGACGACCGGAGAUAAAGAAGUUCAAGUCUCUUCAACUUUCCAAGAAAAAACGCGUCACUCAAAUCACACAAAAUCAACUGCAGAACUCGGAGGUUAUUGGCUAGGAAUCGAAGUGAUUUUAGUGAAAGGACUCCAUUUAUUAUAGUAACAACUUUCAAUGCUGGCAUCCCUUCAAAAAAAUUUUCUGGAACUUGCAAUUUGUAGUCACAUAGAGUGUUGUCCAGUCGCAAAAUAUGAAGGUUAGGGCAUACCAAACGACUAGGAAGCUCUUCUUCUUUAUUUCCCAUUACAGAGAUUCCUCUAUAUUGCUCCGGGCCUUCUUCCAUUACCCGUUCUGCCAAUCCAAUGCCAACUUUACUAAAAAAUUUCUUCUCCACUAGUACUUCUGAGCCUAUCCAUAUGGCUACAUCACGAACUAUGUCAUGCAUUUUCACAGAUCUGUCAUUACCAGUGUCUAACAGUAGUGAAGCAGCUUUGAGUCCGUCAAUUGUUCCAAGCAGUAGGCUUCUGGUGUUCUCUAUUGACUCAGCUUGAUACCAAGUCAACCCUACUGCAUAUCCAACCAAAUCCUCCAAAUUAAUCUCAUAAUCUUCUGGAAAUAGCGAACACAACAAGAAGCAUAACUUGGAAUUGUCAUCAUUCAAUUCGUCGUAACUAAAUUUGAGACAACCGUAAACGUCUAAGUUCUCCUCAUCAAUACCUUCUAUUGCAUAGAGUUUUGCAGCCUUUAGGUUAUGUAGAGCUAGGUUCCAUUCAUUAAAUCUUUUUCCUCUUAGUGCACUUCCAACAGCUUCAAUAGCUAAAGGCAGCCCCUUACAUUCUCCAGCAACUUCUUUGGAAACAUCAUUCAAGGUGGAGUCAUUUACAUUAAUUUUGGCAUUUUUUCGCAGUAAAGCCAAUCCUUCUUCUGGCGUUAGUGUACUAAGUGGAAUCUGUGUGUCACAACCCAAAGAAUCACAAACUGACUUUUUGCGAGUGGUUAGAAGGAUUUUGCAACAAUUAUCUCUACCACCGACGGUAAUACCUAAUUUUUUCUCCGAGUCGAGUGGUUUCCAAACAUCAUCAAGGAUUACGAGGAUUUUGCUGCUUUUACUCUCAGAAAACAUCAAGCGCAAUCGGUCUGCUCUCUCUUUUUCAUCUUUCUCAUUUAGUGCCCAGCCUAACGACUUUGCCAACUCACCUUGAACCUUUAUUAUAUCUAGAUCCUGAGACAUAGUGGCUAUCCCCACCUUAUCGAAAAGCUUUUGUUGCCGAAGUUGAUUGCCCACAUAUUUUGCCAGGGUUGUCUUUCCUACACCACCGAGACCAUGCAAUCCCACCAUCUUUGUGCUCUCUUUUUUCAGUGCGUCAAUGAUCUGAUUGCAAGCGGAUUCUGUGGUCUUGAAAAUAGAAGUAAAAUGCCUUGGCAAACUUAAUUCUCUUUCUAAUGGUAGAGGUUUAGGAGAGGCAACUGUGUUGAAUUGGCUGCAGCCUUGUAGCAGAUCGGACAACUUGCUAGUCUUCUCUGAUGCUUUUCUGCCCAGACGAUAUCGGCAACACCAAUUAGGACACAAUCCAUGAAGACUACUAUCCUUUUCAUCUAUCUCUGCUUUCAACUUCCAAACAUCGUCCAAUUCUUCGACUCCAUUAUUCAGCCACUCCAUUACAUUUUCAUCGACUACUAUGUCGGGGCAUUUUCGCAGUUCAUCGUCUAUUCUUGUUUUGAUGCCAUCUCGUGCCUUCUUCAACUUAGUUUCUUUAUCCUCAAGUUCUUUAACAAUGCUGUUGAAACAGAACAUAUAGCGAGCUUGGUCAAUGGCUGCAUUCACCAAUAAUUCUUCAACCUUUGAUUUUAAAGCUUCCAUGCUAUUUAUCUGCAAAUAACGAAGUUGAUCUCAGCACACUAUUAGCGAAACAACAAGGCUUGAUCACCAGACAAAAUGAGAACGUUUAAUUACCUCUUUCUGCACUGUGAAUGCACGUCUAUUAACACCAGCUUUGACCAAUAAGAGCAAAAUGCAGAGGUGGGGCCUUAAGAGUUUCGGUGGCCUUUAGCUGCAAAACGGCAGAUGACAAAUAAGGUGAACGUUCCUAGCAAACGUGAUUUACGGUGAAUUAUAUUCAAAUUAGAUUAUUUUAAAAGUUGGUAAAUUAUUUAUCACUCUAUCUUAAUGAUACCUUAUUUGGGAUGAUAAAGAUUGGGGUAAAUUCCCUUUUAUUCUCACAUGUUUAUAGUAUUUAUAUUUUUAUAAAUUACCUAAAACAUCCAUGUAACUUACUUUUAUAGCUAUUGAACAUAUCAUUUCAAAUAUAAAAUACUAUUUCUGUCUAAUAUAAAUUAAAAAUCAAACAAAUCUAUCAUGCAAUAAAUGAAAAGUAAAGAAUAUUAAUUAGGUUUUAAUGGAAACAAAUAUAAAACAUAGAGGUUUUGAGUAACUUUUGUAUUUUUUUUAAUGUUCAAUUUAGAAUUGAAUAAUUUGCAUAAUGAAAUUUUGAGGUUUCUAUAAUUUAUAUGAAGAUAAACUGCGAAAUAAGUUUAUAUGCCGAAAUUAAAAUAGUUAUAUAUUAGCAAUCAUAUAAUAAUAAAAAAUUUUAAUAAAAUUUAUUUAAAAAUUGGCCAAUUGUGUUUCAUGAGUAAAACAGAGAGCAUAAUGGACUUAUGUUGGGUCUUGGGAUUGAAAGACUAAGGGUAAGGGGCCGGGAGGUAGGACGGUAGGAAAAUUAAUUUUUGUUAUUUUUAAAGUAUGGUCAACAUUAGUGACUUGGAGGUGAUUGCCGUUAAUCAAUUACCUUUAACUUAAGAAUUAAUACAAAUAAAUGGCAAAAAUAAUUUAAUGAAAAUUAAUUUAAUAAAAAAUUGCACUAAAAACUUAGAACUCAAAUUCUCGAUCAUUUUAUCCGUACGUUUUAAUCCGACGCUCAGAAUUGGCAUAAAACAAACUAAUAUAGCCAUUGGAAAUAAAACAAACAUCAAAUCAAGAGCCUAUGAAACAAUAUUAUCUCGUACCUUCUUCCUUAUAGAUCCUCAAUUGCUGUUGAAAGCUGCAUAUGACAAUAUAAAUAAACAUGAGAUCAAAACAUCAUAGGAUAUAUCUAGCCAAUUAACAUCAUAUAUAACUCCUUGUUCUCAGUCAAAUCUUUCAUUCUUAGAUUAAAAAAAAAAUGAAAUAAUAACUGUUAAGUGAUAUAGGAAGCAAAAGUAACACACCGAAAUGAAAGCAGCUAGUUCACAGAUGACAGAUGCGGUGACUUCAAGAGCAUGAAAAAUGAUUAAACUUUGGUAGAAGGGUCUGAGCCGUGUUUCACAAGUUGCUAUUGACUUCGUGGCUUCGCUUUUAUUUAUUAUUAUUAUUUUUUUAAAUUCUAUAUCAGUGAGAAUUGAAAUGUGGAAAGUGAAAUGAUACACAUGCCUUAUCAUCUAUCAUGAGGGGUGAUUUGGUAAAACCGAUUUAAAAUAAAAAAAGUUUAAAAAAAUUUAAAAAGAUGCUUUGUGUCUGACUGCUUGUAUUUGGGGUAUUUUUCGGGUUGUUGAGACUUGAGAGUGAGUUUAAUUAAAUAUAAGAUUUUCAUUUUUCUUAUUAUAUUUUUCUCUUUAGAAUGAAUUUAAAUCUCAUUCUUAUUAAAUUCAUUUUUUUAAAUGAAAAUAGAUUUCUCUCCACACAUUUGAGAUAUAUUUUAAAAUUAAUGUUAAGCAUAUCUCUAAAUUAUAUUAUAAAUAUUUUUAUUUAAAAUCUCAACAGAUUUCAUAACACACAGAGAGAAAUACAUAUAUAUGUUGUAAUGUUUUAAUGAUGGAUCUCUAAAGUUAUCAAGUUAAAAAAUAAAUAAAUAAAUAAAAAAUACACACUUCAACUUAUUAUAUGAUAAAAUAUAGUAUAUUAAAGUGAGUAUUUUUUGUGUGAAAUAAAAUUAAAGUGAGUACUAUUACCACCUCACAUCUUAUAAAUUCUAGAAAAUAAUCAAGGCUUGACAUACUUUUAUUUAUGCAAAAGCAUAAGAAAAUAAUUCAAAGUACUAAUUAGUGUACUAUUCCUCAAAAUUCUAGAAUAGAUUUGUUAGUUCUCUUUAGCCAUAGAUUGGUCCGUGAUUGGCACCGCAAUAGCUCAUAAUCACCUCAACAAUUGUUCCACACGGCCCAACAUGACACAUUGUAAACUAGUCUACAAGAAUUUUUUGAGUGGCUUUCUAGCAAUAUUCUUAGAGAAAGUGUUUAGUAGUUUCAAAUCUUCUUUUUUUAACACAAAUGUUGGCAUGAUAUUCUUAAUAUAUUUCUAAAAUCAAAAUAAGAUGCAUAGAGGACGAUAAUUUUAUUUCAUAAUUGAAUUUUUUGCAAAGAAAGUUUGAACAUGAGAGUGAUGAGAGAUGAGAAUAUUGAUGAUGGUGUGUACUUUGAAUGGAAAAAUAGAUUGGAAAUAUAUAUAGACAUAUUAAAAGAAAAAAAUUUGGUCUAUUUCAUAAGAGAAAUAAAAAAUUAUAAACGCGGGUGUUAAAAUGUAUUCAGAAUUUAUAAAUUUUUAUAAAUAUGAUAAUCAUCAGACCCUUAUAAAAGUAUAACAAAAAAGUUUAAAAUUUUUUAAUAAAUGUAGAAGAGAUGAACGAAGAAAUCAUCCACCAGUUCAGAAUUAACAAUCAAAGAUAUGAGGACUUGAUUGAAGAAAUGAUGAAAAAUAAAAGGAAACUGGGUUGGUUAGCGGGACCCUAAUAUUAAUGGUGAAAAAUAAAAGGACACUGGGUUGGUUGGCAGGACCCUAAUAUUAAUGGCAAAAAAUAAAAGGACACUGGGUUGCUAUCAAUUUCGAUCGUGUAGGUUCAUAGCCGGGGAAGUAAUUGGGCACAAAUAUCUCGGAUGAGAAAUAACCAUUUUAUCCCGCAACCAUAUGUUUAUGGCCUCUAAAAAUUUUCACCUCUUUCACUUUCUGGAACCCGUGCUUUCUGGCACAUGCACAAAUACUUGGUUGCUACUUAUAGAGCGUUUUUGGAAUUGCAACAACAUGGUGCUCUUUGAUAAUUCAAAAAUCCAAUAUAAUUUAUAGAGAAUUACAGAAUUGUGGUACGUGAUAAUUUGCUGAUGCAAUGAGGCGCCGAAAUUCUUAUACAUGUGAUUUAAGUUAUAUAUGUAUAAUUAAGUAAUUAGAAUAUACUAGUUGGGGGUAUUUGUGUCCAUGAAAAUUUACAGCUGGUUGUUGACAUUACACUGCGGGUGUGUAAGUGUAAUCAUGGAUCUGACCAUUCAAAUUUAAAAAAUGGGGGUCCCGCUAGCUUACGGAGUUAGUAAUUAUUAGAUAUGCAUAUAUGCUCCCAUACGAUAAUCUUAUCAUAAAUUUGAAGGAUACGAGGACUUGAUUGAAGAAAUGAACGAAUAUUUGAAUUAAAAAAAAUUUUAGAAUAAAGACAAGUAUUAAUUUACUAUGAAUGCAACUUACAUAAGCUGUAAGUUAGCGGGACACUAUUAAAUCACAAGCAAAAAGCAAUCUGACUUCUUCUUGAUUCCGUAAUUUGGCUGUCAAAAUGUAAUCUAUAAAAAUUACGAUACCUCGAUUCAAAAAAAUGUUGUUUCUGAUGAAAUAAAUGAAAAUUGAACGUACAAUCUGCCACGAACACUGUUUAAUUAACCGUUUAUUUCCCCUUAAAUUUUUAAUCUCAAUGAAACAUAGAUCUAAUGGGAACUACAUAUAUAUAAAAAUACUAUAGAUUGAAGAAGUUGAAUUUUUCUUGUGUGUUAAGUAUUUUUAGUUAAUACGAAAGGAUUCUAGCAAGUUAAUACAAAAGUAUCAUAAAUUCAUAGUAGUACAAGAGAUUUUUUUUUUCUUUUGAUAUUAAGAGUUUUCGAGAUAAAAAAAAAAAAAAUAGGUGAAAGAAGAAGAUGAGAGAAGAAAAAAUAUUAAGAAUAGUUUUGGCAUUUUGAUGCGUUUUAUAGUGUAAAAUCUAUAUUUUAUAGUAUAAAAAGGUACACCCAUAAUUUAAUGAUAAAAUUUUAGGAAAAAAUUGCACUCGUCAAAAAAAAAAAGAAAAGGCUCAGCUUAGCCCAAAAAUUUUUUAUUAAUCGUCUAGUCGCUAAUGUAAUCUCUUUUUUAUGAGAUUCUUUGGCGUUUUAGUUUAGUCCAUUGUUAGCAAUCCUAAUAGCUUUUAUGUGCAUCUAUUUUUAUUUGGAAUAUGUUUCAAGCUUGAAUAAAAUCUGCGGGACAACUGGUAAGUAAUAAAGCUCAUCAUUUUUUUAUUUUGAAAAUAAAGGGAAUCACUUACACUUAGCAUGAUAUUAUUUUUGAUAAGUCAUUUUUUUGGUAGAUUAUUUUUUCUAACACGCUCUUAGAUUUAGUGAAAAUAAAUUGUAUACUUUUAAUGAAGAAAAGUAAAGAUCAACAAAAUAUUUUGUUCUUUGCGACAACUUUUGCGUUCUCAAGUGCGCCUGAUACCCUUUUUUUUUUAACAUGGGCCCACGUGCCAUGUUUCCAUUUCAAGUUUCAUAAGUUAACAGUAGAAAUGGGUUCCACAGAUAAUUUAUUUUAUAAUUUUUUUUAAAAAUUACUAAAAUAUAAUAAAUAAGGUAAUAAUAAUUAAUAAAAAAGUAGAUUUUAAGAUGGAAAAAUCUUUUUGUGUACUUAAUAAAAAGAUGAUAAGAAUGGGAUGCUUUUAGUUUACAUUCUCAUAGCUAUUUAUACUGAAAAAUUACAUCAAAAUUUAAUUAAUAAAUCAGUGAACUGCAGACUUAUUAAAUUUAAGCUAUUUUAAUAAGUCAUAAAUAUACUAAAUUAAAAUAGUAAUAAACCCAUUGUUACACAAUACUCUCCAUUGAGUGUUCACCAUUUUAAGAUAAUCAUAAAAUGACACCGGAAGUGCUAUUAUAGCUGUCUCAUGGAAAGCCUUCACCAAUAAAAAGGAGGAUAGAGCACAUACAUCCAGUUUUUAUACCCUUUGAUGCUCAGUCGACACGUGCCAAUGCUAUAGACUAGCUUUUCGAAGGUUGAAGUGGGUAUGCUAUUAGUAAAAAGACCUGCAAAAUUAUAGUGUACCUAUUUGACAUCAACUUUUUUUAUCUGCUGGAGCUUAUGAUUAUAGAAGAUCUUCGGUAAGAUGUGUUUGAUUUUAUCUUCUUUUAUAUAUCCUCCUCUAACUUGUGUAAUAGUAGUAAACCCCUGCCCGUUUUUAUUUCGUUUAGUAUUUUCUAAAUGGCCGAAGGAAAAUUGGUAAAAACUCAUUUAAAAAUAAAAAAAAAUCAAAGAAAUUCAAGAAGAAGCUUUGUAUCUGUCAUUUGUAUUUGGGGUAUUUUUUUGGUUGUUAAGUGAAUGAGCUUAAAUCUAAAACAUUUAUUUAUAUAUUUCUUGUUGGAAAGAAUUUAAAUUUUAUUCUUAUUAGACUUAUUCUCUUUAAACAAAGGUAGAUUUUUCUCUAUGUGUUUAACGUGUAUUUUAAAAUUAAUGUUCAACAUAUCUUUAGAUUCUAUUAUAAAUAUUCAUAUCUAAAAUCUCAACAGAUUUCAUAAUAUAUAAAUGUAUAUAAAGAGAGAGAAUAACGUUUCUAAUAAGAAAUUUAUUAAGUUAAAGAAUAAUUCAAAAGAUAAAUUUGUAUUCAACCCAUUUAUAUGAUUAAUUAAGGUUUUAAACAAAUUUUGGACUUGUUCUAUUGUAGAGCUUAAAUUCAAAAUGGAAGAGUGAAGAAGGGAAAAAGAAGACGAAUAAAGAAGAAAAGAGGAGAACAACUUAUACAAAAGAGGGAGAACGAAAAAGUGAAGGGCAGAAAAAGAAAAAGAAUAAAGAAGAAAUUAAUCAUCGCUGAUAUGAAAAUAAUUCCUUCUUCUUUAUUGUUCUUAGUGGUUCUACUUUUUUUUAUUGGAUUCUAAAUUUUUGUCGUAGAUGGAUUAUAAGAACUAGAAAAUUAUAAAGAUAAUUUUUUAAUUAUUCGAUUAAUUAAUUCCAGCAGAAGACAAGAAAUUGAUUCUGCUUCGUUAGAAAGCCAUCACAUUCUAUACGCAAUUGCAAAAAGUAUAUAUUUUUGUCUGUUUUAGACAAGAAUAAAAGGGAUACCUGGUAUUGCAAAUCUAGACACGUUUUAGUGCUUUAUGUCCGAAUGAAUUCUUUCUUGCAACAAUAAACUUGGCCGAUCAGGAUUUGCCGUUUACAUAUGUAGGUCCUGUUGGUUCUGUAGUAGGACUCAUAAAUUUUUAUUUUUAAUUUACUGAAUCCAUAAAUUUAAAAUAACGGUGCAACUCCUGAGGAUGACAAUGGGGCGGGUGAGGUCUUGGAGUCCUGAAAAAAUUUAUAUCUGCAUAUUAAAAAAUGUGGAUCCGAAUAAGAAAAUCCGCAUGAAUCCGAAUGCAAGUGCAUUUGGAAAAUCGGAUAUCGAGAUCUGGAUAAAAAUUUAUUUCAAAUUAAAAAUUAAAUUAAAUAUAUAUUAAAAAGUAAAUGAAAAAUUAAGAAAGUAAAUUUUAUUUGUAGAUUUAUGAUGUCAUUGUAUAUUAUUCAUGUUGAAUUAUUAAUUGUUGGAUUAUGAUUGAAUUUUAUUUGAUAUUAUUGGGUAAAUUAUUGAAUUUCAUUUUAAAUUAAAAAUAUUUAUUAAAAAUUAAAUUUUAUUUGUAGAUUUAUGAGAUUAUUGUAUGUUAUUCAUUUAAAAUUUUUAAUUAUUGAAUUAUGAUUGAAUUUUAUUUGAUAUUAUUAGGUAAAUUAUUAAACUUUUAAAUUUUAUAUUAAAUUAUAAGCAGUAGGAAAUUAUGGUAUUCAGAACAUGUAUACCUUCGCACAUGAAGCUUGAGUCCAGAACAAGAUGCAGCUAGCCAAUCCUUCAACUUCCAAAACCCCACAAAACCUCUGUCAACAUAUCUGCUCUACUUCAAUAUUAAGCACAUUCAUAGCGGUAUCAACAGCUUACAGCUCCAAAAAUAGUUUGAGAUUUCAUUGAAGCUAAGUUGUGACUUGUGACUGUCCAAAUGUUCUGUCACACGAAAUGAUUAUUCUUGUAACACAAAUCCAAUAGCAUGCAAUAUAAUCUACUCUCUAACACUGUGCAUUAGUAAAAUAAAACAGAGUAAAGCAUUAGUAAAAUAAAACAGAGUAAAAAGAGAAACCAUGCCUGUGAAUCUCUUCUCCUCCCCCCACCACCCCUUUUUUUGGUAAAGUCUAUCAAAUGAAAAUGCAGCAUGACCACAUUGGCCACUACCACUGCCAUUACUCCUUCAACUGUGCCCUUUGUUGCAAGAAAUCUUCAAGUGAAAGAUGGAUUAUAUAAUUAAAGAUUCCAAUAGAAGCAGCAAAGGUUGCCUUCCACUAGCCUAUCAGAGAAUAUGCUUUCUAUUUUCCUAGUUUUAAUCAAAAUUUUGCAAGAUUUAUUUAUGGAAAACUUGGACAAAAUUUUAUGUAAGAUACCAUAAAGCCAAACACAAUCUUUUUAAUUCUCAGCAGCAACAUUUAAAGUAAAAAGAUGGAAGCCAUAUAAAUAUAACUAUAUUUGGUACGAGGAACAAUUAUUUCAAGCUUUCAGAAAUGCUAGCAAGAAAUUGUAAGAGAACUUUACCUAGUCACAGAAUAUGUCAAGCAUACUACCACCAACUGUCUUUAGCACAAUUGUUAUGAAGUAGCCUCUGAAUCGGAAGAUUCAAGCUUCCACCAGGCACAAUUAUUUUCAUUCUCCAUACAAUCUGCAGCAGUGGCAUGAGUUAUAUCAUCAACAUUUGCAUCCUCACUCUCAUCACCCCAAUCAAGGCUUCUUCUCCACCUCUGGAUUAUAAGUCCUCUUCGACAUCUUCAAACAUCUCGGUCCUUCCAUUUGCAAACAACCGAUAUGGCUUCUUUCCUUGCCUUCCUCAUCGUUUAUAUCCCCCAAAAAAGGGUCUUUAGACACCUCAACUUUGCCUUCUGCAAAACCUCCACAAAAUCUGAAUUAUCCAACACAACAGCUAGACGCUUGAUCCUUCUUUUGUCCAUCAUAUCCACCGCAUGAUUCCUCAACAAACAUCUGCAGCUUGUGGCUUAUCUAACACUGUCCUGACCCAAAACCCCACUCUUUUCAACUCAUCUGCCAAACCAUAACCCACUUUUGGAGUCAAAAUUGUCCUUGCAGCCCUUUUAUAUUUUUCCAACUCCAUUGAAUACUUGCCACUCAAAUGCACUCUCCUACCUCUAGCUGAUUCUACUUGAUUCAACCUCUUCUUUUGUUUACACUCAUGAAUUUGGAUAAAAUAAUUAACAAGUUUGUCAUUAUUAUAAAAUCUCCUUUCACAAACACCACAUAAAUAUGGCUCAGCAGGCUUAAUUACACCCUUGCUUUCCAAUUGGUUAAACAAUUUUUCUCUUCUCUUUGCUCUCUUACAACUUGAGGCACAUAACUAAAUGCAUGGCUAUUGGCAUAUGCCACCAUGUAUUUAACAACCCAAGUGAAGAUAUUGAUUUGGGGGUUUGUUGUCCAAAUCCCUAAAAAUUCACACAUUGCGUUGGACAGUUUUUAGUUCUACAAUUAAUGAUACGUUAUGUGAAUUAAGCUCCAAAUGAGAACAUCUAAACAAUGAGACAAAUGGGCUCUAGGUUUCUAAUCAGUAAACAUCGUUCAGUCGCAUAAUUUAUGAAAUUUUUGAAACAUCACUACAGCUACAGGUCUUUAUGUGUCAAUGAACUGCAGAAACUAAUGAUCUACUAGUAGUAGACGUUUGUUGUCCCCACCGUUCCAGGAAGAAAAAUAAGUAGAAGAACUACUUUUAGACCAAAAUUAAAAAAUUGAAACUAUCUUGAAAGACUUUCCCUUCAACUAAGUAAAAAAGAAAAGAAAAAAAAAAGGUAUUAGACAAGCAUUUUCAAAGGAAAAAGAUCAUCCAUUUAUUGUAUGUACUCAGGAAAAAUAAAUGUACUAAUAGGUAGAAACACAGCAAUAAAACUCAAAAACUAACAUCUAUAAAGCUCAAUAACAAUUAUGAAUUAGAUAUUUUGGUCCCUUCAUAAUUCCUCCUCUUGACUUCACAUUUCCCCUCAGCCCGUGAUAAUUUUACCUAUUGAAUUCACAUUUCCCCUCAUCCAUUGAACUUUCCCAAUAACAAGAUGAGUCUAAAUCAUCAAUCUCAUUAAACACUCACAUCUACUAAAUAAUAUCGCAUGCAGUAACUUUAAGUAAGGAUCUAAAACUUACAAGAAAAAGAAAACUACUGUUUAUUAAUUUCAAAAUUUACACAAAAUUACAAAUGAUUUUAUAAACUGUACCAAAACAUGUUCUCUAAAAGAGAUUCAUUAUCCUGCAUUUUCAAAAACAAUAUAAACUAACACUAGAAUAGCCAUUUGAUAAUGAUGUGAAUUUGGGCAGCACCAAGAAGCAGUGAGCCCCAUUUGGUGAAAGCAAAAAGAAAAAAAAUUAAAAUAAAGCACUAUAAAUUCUAAUCAAAUUAUUAACAUUAGCUACACAUCAAGAAACCAGAAUAAAAUCGUUAUCUAAACCACAUACUGAAAAAGAAAAAACAAUGCAGUUAAAAUUCUAUCAUUUUCACUUACAAACAAAUAAAGAAAAAAUUAAGAACAAAGGUUGAAGCAAAGAAUGAUUGUACCUUGAGGUACUUGAGGUUAAUGUUUCCAUAAACGAGACCGAGCGAAAAAGCCGAAACCAGAGCAACCUAUUCUUACUACUCAAAAACACGCCCAGAUCAGAAAAUAAAUGAUCAUUCAAUAACAAUUCAUAGGAAAAUGAUGUUUGCCCCGGGUCAAACCCCGGGUCAAACCCCGAAAAUAACUUAAACGGCGUCGUUUUGAUUAUUUUUUUUCUUUUGGAAUACUCCAAAACGACGACGUUUCUGAUGAUAUUUUGAGAAGAAUAAAAUCUAUCUUCCUCUUCGUUUUCGUUUCUUCGUUUCACCUGUGAAAGAACAGAGCAACAGAGCAACAGAGAUCCCAACUUGGUCUUGUUCCGUUUGACCGUAAAUCUCUUCAUUUCUUCGUUUCUUCGUUUCUUCAAAUAACGGCAAUAUCACCCAAAACAAAGUUUCAUGCAAUGUUGUAAAAAAUAAAUUAUGAUUUGAGAACUGAAAAAAUAAUAUGAGAACUAAAAAAAUGAGACAAAUCAAGAAUAUGAGAACUGAAAAAAUUAAUUCAAUGUUACAAUGUUACAAUGUUCUAAAAACGAAGGCCAACUUCCUAAAAUAAAAUUAAAAAACAAAAUGCUACAAUGUUAAUCUUCGAAAAUUAAACUGAAAAAAUGAGACAGUACCGAAAAAAACAAAUCUUCGAAAAUUCAAGCUUGGCACAAUGUUAAUCUUUCGUCCAAACUCAGCUUUCAACCGUCCAAAUUCAGCUUGUCCAAACUCAGCUUUCAACCGUCCAAACUCAGCUUGUCCAAACUCAUCUUUCAACCGUCCAAACUCAGCUUUCAAGGACACAUUUCGCAGCCGAAACUCAGCCGAAACUCAGCUGCUGUUGGUCUUGUUCUUCAAUGGGUACCAAACGAAAAAGAAACGAAAAAGAAACUCAGACGCUUUCAACUCAGCUUCCAAGGACAAAUUUCGCAGCCGAAACUCAGUCGAAACUCAGUUGCUGUUGGUCUUGUUCUUCAAUGGGUGCGAAACGAAAAACAAACUCAGAUGAAGAGGAUGGAGCUUUAAUUAGUAGAUCCCGUUCUGCUGUCGAUGAGUGCUCCGGCUGUGGAUCUCGGUCGAGGAUGGAAGAAACGAAAAAGAAACGAACAAACGAAAAAGAAAAUAAAAGAAAACGACGCAAAUCAUUCAAUAAACAAACGAAAAAGAAAAAAAAAAAAGAAACGACGCAAACGACGCCGUUUAAGUUAUUUUCGGGGUUUGACCCGGGGCAAACAUCAGCACUCUUUCCUUUAUGAAUUGGGAAAAUGCUACUUUCCCCGGGUCAAACCCCGAAUUAUUUCAAAACGGUGUCGUUUUGUUUUUUUUUUUUUCUUUUUACUUGCAUGAAACGUGGUCGUUUGAGCUAGUAAAAACAAAACAAACUAAAGCAGAAAAAACUCAAGUGCUUAUCUUCUCUGCCCCUUUCUUAAUUUCCUUUUGACAAACCACGGAAUCACACCCACAAACAACAAUCACCCACAGUCACGCGAACAGCCGGCACAGACGAAGGAUGAGCCCACAGACGACGGACCACCGCAUUGAAAUCUCUGUCCACAUCACCGGCACCAUCAUCGUAGGUCUGUAACAAACUGUCGUAAGUUAAACCCUUCUCACCGUCGAUGAACUCGACGUAAGUACGGAAUACUUCGUCGAGAAUUGCGUUGAUUUGUUCGUCGCUGAAUUUGACUCGAGGGUUUACGGCCACCACUAAAGCCGCCAUUUCUUCUCUAUUACGGCCACCGUCGCGGUUCGUGUCAAAUUGUUGAAAAAUUCUCUUCACUUUCUCUGAUCUGCUUCCUCUCGUAGCCAUUUUUUUUUUCUGUUUUUCUGGGGGUCAGUUUGGUUUCUCAGUGUUUGUUUGAGAAAGCGGAAUUAGUAGAUAAGGGAAUAUAAGGAAAAGUUGAUAAAAAGGCAAAGGGUGGUUACUUUAAUUGUUGGUGAGAAUAAUGAUGAUGAUGGCUUAAUUCUGGGUUUUGUUGGAUCUGAAUGAAUUCUUAACGGCAAAAGUUAAAGAGUAGAAGAAGAGCAAGAGGACGGACUCUCAUUCUUUCCCUUUUUUCUUUUAAUUUUAAAUAUAUCAAAAACGGCAGCGUUUUGGAGAAACAAAAAAGAAAAAAAAAUUAAAACAAAACGACGCCGUUUUUGUUUUCGGGGUUUGACCCGGGGCAAACAUCAGCACUCAUUCAUAAAAACUCCAUCCCAUCGCAUUUAAAACAAAACAAAGAAAAUAUUGAUUAGAAAAAAAAUUACACGCAUGGAAUAAAAGAAUAUAAAAAUGGAAUUACCAGAGGGAGCUAGUGCCGGAGUAGGAACCAGAAGGCAGCGCCAUAUGAUGCUCUUGUUAUGGUUUUCCUUCUUGUGGGUCUGCGCUGAAGUCGAAGAUGAAGAAACAAGAAAGAGCCAGCAAAUUGAGAAAUCGACUACCAUCUUCGAUUCCGACUCGCAUGGCCAUUUUUCUUUGAUGAAUGAAAUAUUGUUUUACUCCCUAAUUCUUAACCAAAUUACAAGUUUUGACUUCUGUUUGUAUGUUCUUUCAUACGGGUUCUUGUUCACAGGAAUAACAAAUGGGCCGGACGUGUGGCUAAGCCCGGGCCUGGUGUCGAUAGCCAGGCCUGGGCUUUUACGAGCCCAGGCAUUUUAUUCUGAGUAUGAUCCUUAUAUCACUUCACUUUUGUAAUCGUAAUUUUAUUGUACUGAAAAUUAUAUGAACGAUUAAUAUGAAUUUAAUUAAACAAACAUGUCUUUACAACUCAUGCAACCUUACUAUUUUCUAAUCCUAAUAUGUGAUAUAAUUAAUUUUACUGAUAAAAUCAAAAUAAUUUUUAAACAAUGAAGAAAUAAAUUAUAAUAACAGUAAAUUUAUUACGAAAAAGUAUGUUUACAAAAUUUAUUUUAAAUGAUAUGAAAUCUAAUUAAAAUUCUAUUCUAAUUUUAUGCCCUUUUUUACAAUUUUAUUAAAAAGUGGGAUCUCUUAAGAUUUUAGGAGUGUUGGAAUUCUAUUUUUCCAGAUUUGAAUUUUAGUGACCUUUACUUCAUUUAAAUUUUUUGUUAUAAACUUGCAAGCAAGUGCAUUUAGGAUAUCUUUGGUGAACUGGAUUGUAACAAUAAUUUUAUUUAUUAAAAUUAUUAAAAGUAUUUAAUUAAUAAAACUUCACGUAUCCUCGGGUCUAACCAAUCAAAUUCUUUCUCUCAAAAGUACACAAAAGUGAGAUUGGCUCUUGCCUAUUAGUUAACAUAUGCAUAUUAAUUAACACUGACAGAUAUAUAGAUAUACAGCACAGCUAGCAGCACAUUCGACUUACAGAUAUACAGAACUUGAACAUAAUUCACAUAUCUGAAGGGAGAGGGAUAUCGAUGUUGCGGCCUGCAAUUCAUAACAUAUCAUCGGUCAUUUAAUCUAGAAUUGAGGAGAGAAAAUGAGUCUAAAUUCGAAAACUUUGGCACUAUUUACAUAUCAUUAUUUGGGUGAAAAUUCAUUUCUCUGCUUUGAUAUGAUUUGGUCUUUCAUUGUUACGGUGCCAAUUUUUUAUUUAAAGAUGUAAGGUAGUGGUACUAUAGCUUAUAUUUUCCGUAAUUACUAUCCGGUAAGUACAAAAAUAAAAUACUAGUUUAAAAUAUAAAAAUGAAAAAUUAUUUUUAUAACCAAUAUUCAAUUAAAUACAUUUAAAACUCUAUUUUUUCUUAAUAAAAAAAAUUCUAAUUUAUUUUCUCAAUUUAUCUAAACAACUUUACCUAAUCAAGCUAAAUCUACAUAUUACCCUAAACCUUAAUUCAUAAACACCCAAUCAAUCUAAUUGUUAAAUCUUAUUUCAUAAUAAAAAAAAAUUAAUUUCUUUUUUAUUAUUUAUGGUGCAAAGGAAAAAAUGAAUUUAAAGGUAAAAUUGAUAUUUUAUUUAAAUUUUGUUAAUAUUCUAAUAAUAUUAAUGUCUUGGUGGUUAAUAAAAGCAUAAAGUUAAACUUUUGUAGUAUUUUUAAUAAUAUGGUAAAGAUAUAUGUUUGAUAAUUUUCUUAUGUCUUUUUACGUUAAAUUGAGUCUCAAGUAUAAUGAAUAAAUAAUACAUAUUAUAAAAUUAGUGUAGAUAAAUAAUACAACUUGAAAAUAUUAUAGUAUUCUUAAUAAUAGAGAAAUUUAAAGGUGGAUAGUUGAUUGUUUAAUGAAACAACUACAGAAUUUUCCUUUCAAAUAUCUUUUUGAAAAAACAUGAUUGAGUAAAAAUUAUUUUACAGAAUGACCUUUCAAAUGCCCAUUCGACAAGCCAAGAAGAAAGGGUAGCUAACAAAUUUACAAGUACCAGAGAUCCAGAAACACAUUUAUAGCCAAUCCAUUUAUGAGUUACAUUCAACACUCUCACAAACUGAAAAAAUAAAAAUUAUUACGGUCAAGACGCACACUUUUUGACAUCCAAAAAGCUAAACAUUUGAAGUUCUUCAAUACAAAAUGCAUACUAAAUUGGCACAAUUAAUGCCCAUGGAAGGGUCAUCAAUUUAAGCCAACAAAUUUGCCAAAGUUUUAACAGUGAACACAAAAGGAACAUGUAAAAUUUGAAGUUGAACAAAUCUUCACAUGCAUACAACAAGCCUUAAAACUUUAGUCUUCACAAUUUGAGCACGCAAUAAAUAUUAAGUGACCACCCGCAGAACAAGUCUAGAAUAAACUUGUUAGGUUCUUGCGCGAACUGAACCCCUCUGAAACACUAAAAGAGAAAGUACAAAAUAAAGAAGACCAUAUUACGUGGCUAACUAACAGCCAUUCCCAAAGAAAUGAGAGUGAUGAUAACGUCUUUUUUUUUUUUUUUUCCUUUCAAUCAUAUUUCUCGUCAUCUUCUUCUUCACGGGCAUCUACACUGACGUCUCCCUCUUGGCUGGCAUCUUCCUCGUUUGUAGUCGGUCGCUAUCCAACCAACAAAUUGGGCAUUAAAGAACAAACAGAGAAAAUUAUAACAAUAAGAACUAUAAACAUGAAAAGAAAAAAAAAAAAAAGAUAUUUGAAGGGAAAUUUUGGUAGAACUCUAUGGCUCAUCCGUGAAAUUAAUGUUAAUAUAUAUGUUUAUGUAAUGACGGUCUAUUGAUUUUAGGAUAGAUCAAUAAGCUAUUACAAACGAAAACAUGAACCAACUAUAUGUAGAGUUAAUUAAUUUAAAGUUCUCAAGAGCUUACCUCUGCUCCAGAAUUCUCGGAAUCAGCGCGAAACUUGGGACAACGACAAACGCGUGCAAGUGGAACUGGGAUCUGAUAACCCGUAGGCCAAAAGUUGGUGAGGUUUGGUAAAUCUUUCAGACUCACGUACGGAAGUUCGUCCAUAACAAUUUCAUCGUAAUCCAUGACGUGUGCUCCAUCUUUAUCCCAGAAUACUUCUUCUAAUUCAUCAUUACUAAAUAUCUCUAGUUUCAUUAGUUUUUGAAGACUUGGAGCUACGCUGAUAUGAAAUAGAUACUUUAGUUUGGGGCAAUGACCGACAAAGAUCCAUGUGAGUUUUGGGAAACAUAUAGGUUGGAGAUGAUCCUCAUCCUCAUCCUCAUCAAUGAUUUGCUCUAAUUCCCAGCAUUUCCAAAUAUAUAACUUCUCCAAUUGCAACAGAUUUCGAGCAAGUGUUGAUGAGAGGAGACGUCUCAGCUUAAUGCACCCCCUUACGGUUAAAUCAGUAAGAUUUUGCAGGCUAAAAUUAUGGGUGGGACCUUCAUGAUAUAAUAAUACUUGCAGUUCUCGAAGAUCUUCCAAUUGCAACGACUCCAAACAUGGGAAUAGUUUGUUUUCUUGUCCCUCAGCGAUAAUAGCUUCCACUUGAAAUACCACCUGUACUCCAAUUUCCACAAUAUUCAAUUCUUCCAAAUUUUUUAAUCCAUGCUUCAACAGUGCGGGAAUUGUGUCACACAAAUGGGAGCAAUCUUCCACAUCUAGAGUAUUUAAGUUCUGAGACAAAUAAAUAAAUAACUUGAUACAAUUAACAUCUAUUAGCAGCUACGAUUAUCACAUGAUAAGCAAUAAACUAACACCAAAAAAAAAAAAUCUAAAUCCGUACAAAAUAGUUAUACUUUAUGAAAGUAAUGGAUUUAUUAAAAAAAUGAAAUUAGUUAAAAGAGAUCGUGUGAAGUGAUAUAAUGGUGAAAUCGGUUUGUUUAUGAAAAUUUUGUAUUCUAUUUCUAUGGCUUGAUUAACGAAUUAAUUGAAUUUGCUUAAUAUUAUAUGUACUCCACCAGUGUUUGCAUCCAUUUUUUUUUCCUUCAAAAGCGAAGCGAGAUUUGACUUUCAUUUGAAGAAUGAAUUUUAGGCCCUAAAAUAAGGAAGUUUCCCUAACAUAUUGGAUUUUAUUAUUAUCAUCACCAUUAGCACUACGAUCAUCAUCAUCAUCUCUCUCUACAAAGCCAAAUGCAAGGUGGUAUGAAUGGCGGAUCAUAAAAAUUAUUGAUAAACUAUCAAUUUGAAUAAAAUUGAAGAAAAAUAAAGAAAAAAACAUAAACACAAACGAACAUACCUCUCCAAGAUACUGCAAAUUGGCUUCAAGUUCAGUAUUGUGGACAGUCAAGUUUGGACAGCUGGUUACAUCUAACUUUUCCAACGCUGGCCAAGUUGAAUAAUAAUUUUCUGAACAAAAGCUAAUGAGUUGGGAGACCUUCAAGGCUUAAAUUUCUCAACAAAGAGAGCUCGAGUAUUCUAUUUUCAUCUGCUACACUUAUUUCCCCUUCAUUAUGAUCAAACUUUACUUUGACGAUGCAUUCCAGUCUCUCGCAUCCACUCACUUCGAGACUUUUAAGCUGCACCAAACUUCGAGCUUGUGACAACGAGAAGAUAUAUGUCAAGUUGUUGCAUCCGUACACACUCAGUGCUGUAAGAGUUUGGAGGCUCACAUGUUGGGCGGGCGCCUUCCAUAUCUGCUUCAGUUCUGGUAACUCCUGCAUAUAUAACCUUGCUAAUCUUGAGAGCAUCAUAGGAUUCCCACUCUCUCCUUGCGGCGACUGAGAGGCAUCCAUUAUGCAUUCUAAAUCUUCACAAUUGUUGACAAAAAGAAAAGUCAACUUAUUUAAGCCCCUUGGAUCUAUGCUUGGCACAAUAUUAUGACAACUUAUUAUGUCAAACAAAGGUUUCAAUGCAGAAAAUAAUUCUUUCGUAUAUUCUUCUCCAAAUCAGAGGCAAUAUAUGAAGCUAAUUACAUCCUAAAAAAGGAAGAAAUAAAUUGUUUCUAUAUUUAAAUACAAGAUUGAUCAACUAAAAAGAUUCCCGGACGUAAUAACAAAAUCAAUUCUAUAAUUGACAGCACAUGCCGACAGCUCAUGCUAGCUCAUGCCGACACUCCCCCUCAAGUUGGAGCAUAGAUAUCUAUCAUGCCCAACUUGUCAAUUAUAUCAUGAAACACCCUUCCUGAUACUGUUUUUGUGAGUAUGUCAGCCAACUGAUCUCCAGAUUGAACAAAUGGGAACUGUAUAGUUUUCUCGUCAAGCUUCUCCUUGAUGAAAUAACGAUCUACUUCAACAUGUUUUGUGCGAUCAUGUUGUACAUGAUUCUGGGCAAUCUCUAUGGCUACUUUAUUAUCACAUUUAAGAUUCAUGGGUUUUGCAUAAUCAAUCCCCAAAUCUUUCAGUAUGUUCUUGAUCCAUAACAUCUCACAUACACCUUGUGCCAUUCCACGAAAUUCCGCUUCAGCGCUUGAUCUUGCCACAACCUUCUGCUUCUUGCUUCUCCAAGUGACGAGAUUGCCUUCAACAAAUGUAAAAUAACCUGAGGUAUAUCUUCUUGUUGUCUGGUCACCUGCCCAAUCAGAGUCCGUAUAUCCUUCAAUGUUUGAGACAGUAUUUUUUGAGAACAAUAAACCUUUUCCAGGAGCACACUUCAAAUAUCUCAGAAUUCGAUAGACUGCAUCCAUAUGUUCUUCACUUGGUGAAUGCAUGAAUUGGCUUACUAUACUUACGGCAUACGCUAUGUCUGGCCUUGUGUGGGAUAAAUAGAUUAACCUCCCAACUAGCCGUUGAUAACGACCCUUAUCAUUUGGUAAAAUCCCAAGCUUGUGAUUCAUCUCUAUAGGCGUUUCAACUAGUUUACAAUCAAGCAUACCAGUUUCAGUGAGGAGAUCUAACACGUAUUUUUGUUGUGAAAGAAAAAUUCCACUUUUCGAUCUUGCUACCUCAAUCCCCAAGAAGUAUUUAAGCUGCCCAAGAUCUUUCAUUUCGAAUUCAGUAGCCAAAUGUUCUUGUAGUGCUUUCAUUUCAGAUAAAUCAUCCCCUGUUAACACCAUAUCAUCAACAUACACUAUUAACACCGUCACUUUUCCGCCUUUGUGUUUUAUAAACAAAGUAUGGUCUGAAUUACUUUGUUUAUAACCAGCAGCUUUCAUUGUCGCUGAAAACCUCCCAAACCAUGCCCUAGGUGACUGUUUUAGUCCGUACAAGGACUUCUUCAGCUUACAUACUUCAUUCCUAUGCAUAGAACUAUGUUUGACACCAGGAGGUAGCUCCAUGUAAACUUCUUCUUCUAAAUCUCCAUUGAGAAAAGCAUUUUUGACAUCGAACUAUUUUAAGGGCCAAUCUCGAUUUGCUGCUAUAGAAAUAAUAAUACGAAUGGUAUUUAUCUUGGCUACUGGUGCGAAAGUGUCUUGGUAAUCUAAUCCAUACCUUUGUGUAUAUCCCUUUGCCACUAGUCUCGCUUUAUACCUAUCAAUGAUUCCAUCCGCUCUGAGUUUUACCGUGAAUACCAUCUACAUCCAAUUGUUUUCCUUUCCUUAAGUAGUGAAACCAGUUCCCAAGUGGCAUUUUUUUGUAGAGCUUCCAUCUCUUCAUUCAUCGCCUUAGUCCAUUUUGGAUCCUCCAAAGCAUCCUGUACACUACUAGGAAUAGAUAUAGUGGAUAAUUGAUUAAUAGUAAGUGCAUAUGAUUCACACAACCUAUGAGAUGACAUGUAGUUACUGAUUGGGUAUUUUAUUUUGGAUUUGGGAUCAGGUUCAUAUUGUUUAUUUGGAAUUCCUCUAUUUGACCUUUGUGGAUAUUUAGGAUUCAUGUCUUCUACAGAAAAAAAUGGUUCAUUAGACUCAUUAGACAAUGGAUUUGAAAUUACAUGAGGAGGAACACUUUCGGUUAAUUCUUCAGUUAAUGGUGUAGACAUGGGUAGCUCUAGUGGCCUUGAUUGUGCUUCAGACAUGUCCAGAAAAUUGGAGGGAUCACAUUCGGUUUCAGUCAUGUUAUCACACCCUUGUUGAACCUCAUUUCCAUCACUGUUUUGAAGUUUUUCGACCAUGUCUUCUAAUUCUACAAAAUCACCUCCUCCUUCAUUUUCCCUUUGACCAUUCUCUUCACACAAACUCUCCCCCUGGAGGGAAUGGUAAGAGACUCCCCCUGAGUAAUAAGGUUCUAAUUCAUGAAAAGAGACAUCCAAAGUUACAUGCAAUUUUUUUGUGUGUGGAUCAUAGCACCUAUAACCUUUUUGAAGAUCAGAAUAGCCAAUAAAAACACAGCGUUUGGCACAUGGAUCAAGUUUAGUUCGUAAACUUUUUGGAAUGUAAGCAUAAACAAUACAACCAAAUAUUCGGGGUUCAAGAUUAGGAAGAUGAGGAAUUGAGAGUAAGGAUUGCAUUUUUUGUUGGGGAGUUUGAAAAUCUAGCACUCGUGAAGGGGUUCGAUUAAUGAGAUAAGCUGUCCCCAAUAAAACCGAGGCAUGUUCAUGCCAAAAAGAGAAGCACGAACCACCUCUAAAAUCUGUCUAUUUUUCCUCUCAGCCAGCCCGUUUUGUUGUGGGGUGUAAGUGCAUGAGGUCUGAUGACGAAUUCCAUGAAUGUUUAAAAACUUGCCAAGAGAGGCAUCCAUAUACUCAGUACCAUUGUCAGAUUGAAGUACACGAAUCUGCUUUUGAUAUUGAGUACUUACCAUUUUGUGAAAUUCUUGAAAGGCUAGACAUACAUCGCUUUUUUUUAUAAGUAAAGACACCUAAAUCAUUCUAGUACAUUCAUCAAUAAAUGUCACAAAAAAACGAGCUUUAGAAAGAGAAGCAACUUUUGCAGGACCCCAAACAUCGGAAUGAAUCACCACAAAAAGGUUCUAGACUUUUAUUUAAACUUGGUAAAUAAGAAGUGCGAUGGCUUUUAGCCAUCUCACAAAUGUCACAAUGAAAAUUCAAAUCAUUUAGAGUUGAAAAAAGAUGAGGCUGUAAUUUUUUGAGAUAACCAAAAGAAAGGUGUCCUAAUCUACGAUGCCAUAACCAAACAUUUGCCCGAGUUCUAUCUUUAUUAGAAGCUUGAUUUGCCUGACUGAUAUUUGGUCCCUCAUUUUCUGUCAAUUCCAAGUAAUAGAGUUUACCCCGUCUAACACCAUAAUCAAGAAUCUUCCGAGUUAGGAUGUCCUGAAAAACACAAAAAGCGGGCCAAAACGUUACAGUGCAAGCAAGUGUGGAGGUAAUUUGGCUAACCGACAAAAGAUUAUAUUCAAGAGAUGGGACAACAAGAACUGUAUCUAAUGUAAGAGUAUUACUCAAGGUAAUAGACCCUUCCCCAAUAAUAGGAGAAGUACUACCGUUUGCAGUGGAGAUAACAGAUUGAGAAGAGGGAAGAACAGAUUUUAAUUGGCUAGAAUCUCUGGUCAUAUGCUCAGAUGCACCUGUAUCAAUAAUCCAUAUUCUAUUCUUAGAAGUUACAGAACAUACAGAUGUCUUACCAAUAAUACCUGGGUGGGCAACAUUUGCUGAAGGGGAUGGUUGUUCUUCAUCCUUUGCUGCUGUCACAUUAGCCUUCCCAGAUAUUUUCUUACGGGGCUUCUUUGAGAAAUCCCACCAAUCUGGAUAGCCAAUGAUUUCAUAGCAGCGUUGUUGUGAAUGACCUUUUUCUCCGCAGUGAGUGCACACAAGGUUGUUAACUUUGCUGGAUGAUUGAUUGCCUCGAUUUUUUGAAGAUCCAUUUCGGUUUUGACUGGCCAGCAUGGCAAGGUUCUCCGAAAUUAAAUUAGAGCCUCUCAUUGUUUGUCUCUGUUGGUAAUCCCUUCUAACAUAAGCAUAUGUGCUUUCUAAAUCAAGUUUUGGGUAUUUUCGCAAUAUUUCUCCACGAACCUGUUCAAACUCUGAGUCGAGGCCACUUAGAAAAAUAUGAACUCGAAGCCUAGCCAUUGCAGAAUGCAGCUGUAAUAGCCCUUCGACUGUGCCUUCUUUAGUGGUAGUCCUAUGAUCGAUUUCCUGAAAAAUGGCAACCAGUUCAUUGUAAUACGUUGGCAAUGGUCGCCCAUCCUGUUUGGUAGAGAAAGAUCUCUGGUUCAGCUCAAAAAUACAGGUUUCAUCGGUUCCAUCAUAGAAGGUUUUCGAUACAGCCUCCCAUAUAUCUUUGGCUGUAGGGAGACGAAUAAAUCGUUGCAUCAACGAUGGACUCAUUGAGUCAAUCAACCAGCUCUUGACUCUUUGAUUUUCAGUAAUCCAUGAUCCAAGAUUAGGAUCUCCUGGUGCUGGUUUCUUCGUUUCUCCAGUAAGAUAACCAGCUUUGUUGCGAGCACUAAUCCGCAUCUCUAUGAGUUGAGACCAUAAUGAGUAGUUGGUCUCAUCCAGAGUGAUUCCAGUUGGAAAUGCCGAGUUGUCUUGAUGAACAACAACUUGUGGUGCUGGUGGUGGGAUAAUAUCCAUUGAUACGCCUGUGAUAUCAGUCAUAGAGAUCACAACAACGGUGAAUAUUCAGAAUACGAAUACAAAUUUCGAGAGAAAAAAAGAAAAAAGAAAAUAUUCGGUUGUCAACACAAAUUCUCUUGAUGAGGAACCUGCUCUGAUACCAUGUCAAACAAAGGUUUCAAUGCAGAAAAUAAUUCUUUCGUAUAUUCUUCUCCAAAUCAGAGGCAAUAUAUGAAGCUAAUUACAUCCUAAAAAAGGAAGAAAUAAAUUGUUUCUAUAUUUAAAUACAAGAUUGAUCAACUAAAAAGAUUCCCGGACGUAAUAACAAAAUCAAUUCUAUAAUUGACAGCACAUGCCGACAGCUCAUGCUAGCUCAUGCCGACAUAUUAUCCUGCUCAAAUCAAGAAAUUCCAGAUUUUGAUACAAUGCUGAAAAAAUAUUGAGCGAGGUCGCUUCAAAAGGGUAAUCAAUGAUUAAGCUCCUUGUCUUAUCAGCAUCUUCCAUUUUAUAGUCAACUCCUUCACCUUUAAUCGUGUACCUUUGCAAUUUUGGGAAUGUAAAAUCUUUUGAAAGAUAUACAACAGAUCUGCCAACUUGGAAGUUAAACUCAGCAAGCCUAGCAUUACUUUCUUCUGAACUCAUCACUUCAACCUCCCAAUCUUUUAUCCGACCAUAAAAUUCUUCUAAUUGAGGAAAUUUUUUUAUCGUAACGGGAGAAACAGAACCAGUAUCAAUAUAUAGAAGUUUCAAUCUACGAAGUUCAUCCGACAAAUCUUCAGGAAUUUCAAUGGGAGAAUUCUCGAGAUAAAGAAGUUCAAGUCUUUUCAACUUUCCAAGAAAAGACGCGUCACUCACAUGACGUCCAAUCAACUGCAGAACUCUGAGGCUAUUGGCAAGGAAUCGAAGCGAUUUUAGUGAAAGGACUCCAUUGAUUAUAGUAACAACUUUCAAUGCUGGCAUCCCUUCAAAAAAAUUUUCUGGAACUUGCAAUUUGUAGCGAUAUAGAUUAUUGUGCAGUCGCAAAAUAUGAAGGUUAGGGCAUACCAAACGACUAGGAAGCUCUUCUUGUUUAUUUCCCAUUACAGAGAUUCCUCUAUAUUGCUCCAGGCCUUCUUCCAUUGCCCGUUCUACCAAUCCAAUGCCAACUUUACUAAAAAAUUUCUUCUCCACUAGUGCUUCUGAGCCUAUCCAUAUGGCUACAUCACGAACUAUGUCAUGCAUUUUCACAGAUCUGUCAUUACCAGUGUCUAACAGCAGUGAAGCAGCUUUGAGUCCCUCAAUUAUUCCACGCAGUAGGCUUCUGGCGUUCUCUAUCGACUCAGCUGGAUGCCAAAUCAACCCCACACCGUAUCCAACCAAAACCUCCAAAUAAAUGUCAUAAUCUUCUGGAAACAUCGAACACAACAAGAAGCAUAACUUGGAAUCCUCACCAUUCAAAUUGUCGUAACUAAAUUUAAGACAACCACAAACGUUUCGCUCAUCCUUAUCAAUCCCUUCGAUUGCAUAGAGUUUUGCUUCCCUUAGGUUAUGUAGAGCUAGAUUCCAUUCAUCAAAUCCUUUUCCUCUUAGUGCACUUCCAACAGCUUCAAUAGCUAAAGGCAGCCCCUUACAUUCUCCAGCAACAUCUUUGGAAACAUCAUUGAAGGUGGAGUCAUUCACAUCAAUGCCGGCAUUUUUUUGCAGUAAAGCCAAUCCUUCUUCUGGCGUUAGUGUACCCAGUGGAAUCUGCGAGUCACAACGCAUGCGUUCACAAACUGACUGCAGGCGAGUAGUUAGAAGGAUUUUGCAGCGAUUGUCUCUAUCACCAAUGGGUAUACCUAAUUUUUCCUUCAAGUUUAGUUCGUUCCAGACAUCAUCGAGGAUUAUGAGGAUUUUGGUGCUUUCGCUCGCAGAAAACAUCGAGCGCAGUUGGUCUGCUCCAUCUUUUUCAUCUUUCUGCUUUAAUUCCCAACCUAAUGAAUUUACCAGCUCAUUUUGAACAUUUAUUAUGUUUGGAUGCUGAGAUACAGUGGCUAGCCCCACUUUAUCGAAAAUCUUUUGUUGCCGAAGUUGACUGCCCACAAAUUUUGCCAAGGUCGUCUUUCCUACACCACCGAGGCCAUGCAAUCCCACCUUCUUUGUGCUCUCUUUUUUCAGCGCGUCAAUGAUCAGAUUGUAAGCUGAUUCUGUGGUCUUGUAAGUAGAAGAAAAAUAACUUGGUAAACUUAAUUCUCUCUCUAAUGGUGGAGGUUUAGCAAGGGCAGCUGUGUUGAAUUGGCUGUAGUGUUGUAGCAGAUCAAACAACUUCCUAGUCUUCUCUGAUGCUUUUCCGCCCAGACUAUAUCGGCAACCCCAUUCAGGACACAAUCCAUGAAGACUACUAUCCUUUUUAUCUAUCUCUGCUUUCAACUUUUGAAUAUCGCCCAAUUCCCCGUCUACAUCCUUCAGCCACUCCGUUACAUUUUGAUCGACUACUAUGUCGGGGCGUUUUUGUCGUUGAUCUUCUAUUCUCUUAUUGAUGACAUCUAGUGCCUUCUUCAACUUAGUUUGUUCAACCUCAAGUUUUUUCACAAUGCGGUCGAAACAGAAUAGAUAGGAAGUUCUUUGAUUUCAUUCACCAAAUAUUUUCCAAUCGAUUCUAAAAGUGGUUUAAAAAUUUCUUUUAAACAAUCUUUUAAAAUUUCCAUGCUAUUUAUCUGCAAAUAAAAAAGUUGAUCUCAAUACGCUAUAAGCAAAAGAACGAGGCUUGAUCACAAGAUCGAAUGAAGACGUUUAAUUACCUUUUUUUGUUAUGUGAAUGCACGUUUAUUAACACCAGCUUUUUUUUUUUUGGUCUAAUCCAUCCGGUAUCCGGUGACCACAUUGGGCCCCGACUACUCCGGAUUCGGAGAGAGGGCGUAAUUCUCCUCCCAACGUAGGCGACUCCACCAAGACUCGAACUGGGGAGCAAACCCAGUCGAGCCCCUGAGGGGUUCAGCCCGCUGCCAACUGAACCAACCAGUCGUUGGUUUAUUAACACCAGCUUUGAUCAAUAAGAGCAAAAUGCAAACGCCGGGCUUCAAGAGUUCUAAGUGGCCUUUAGCUGCAGAAUAGAAGAUGACAAAUAAGGUAAAACGUUCCCAGCAAACGUGAUAUGUGGUGGACUUAAAAUGAUACCUUAUUUGGGAUGAUAAAGAUUGGGGUAAAUUCUCUUUUGUUCUCAAAAUUUUGAACCUAUUAUCAGUUGUAGUAUUUGUAUUUUUAAAAAUUACCUAAAACAUGCAUGUCACUACUUUCAUAGCUAUUGAACAUUUCAUUUCAAAUAUAAAAUACUAUAAAUUAAAAAUCAAACAAAUCUAUCAUGCAACAAACGAAAAGUAAAUACUAAUAAUUAGGUUUUAAUGGAAACUAAUAUAAAACAUAGAGGUUUUAAUUAAUUUUUGUGAUUUCUUUUAAUGUUCGAUUUAGAAUUGAAUAAUUUGUAUAAGGAAAAUAAACUGCAAAAUAAGUUUAUAUGCCGAACUUAAAAUAGUUUCAUAUUAGUAAUCAUAUAAUUAUCAAAUUUUUUAAUAAAAUUUAUUUAAAAAUUGACCAAUUGCGUUUCAUGAGGAAAACAGAGAGCAUAAUGGACUUAUGUUGCGACUUGGGAUUGAAAGGCCAGAAGGUAGUGUUAGCCUAUAUGGCUAUAAAAUAUUGAUUUUGAUGAUAACAAACCACAUGUAUUGACUAAGCAAAGAUUUAUAAAUUAUGCUUUUAUAAUAAGAAAAUAAUGUUAUGGAAUUAAAGUAUUUUGGACUAAAAUGAAAGUAUUUUAAAAUCUUUGAUAGUGUUUUUAAAUUUCGGAUUUGGACCUAUUUAAAACUAUUUAAAUGUUUUUGGGUCAUUCUAUAAGUAUGGGUCAGUUGAAAUUUAAUGGAAAAGUUUACGACAUAGUCAAAGUUCGAGAGCUAUUUUCAAUUUGAGGAUAAAACAAUGUUGCAAUUGUUGGCUUGUUGCAACAUUCCAUAACUUUUGUGUAUUUGUGGCUUAAGUAUAUGGCAGUCCUUGAUAUUGUAUAUUACAUAUAUCCUGCCUUCAACUCACUGAGAGUAAGAGUGCCACUGUUGUCAGUGUCCAUCUCUCUAAAUUUUUCCGUUAGCUUUUGCUUUUCUCCUGUUGGAAGAUUUUCCACAAUGACCUGAAAAUCCACUCAGUUUUAUCAGUAGAGGAAGCACAAUUAAAUGCAUAAAUUUAAUGGCUUGCACAUAUAUAGCUAACUGAAUAUAAUAACAAGUACUUCGCAAUAAAACAUUGUUGGUGAGGAAGUGCAGAUGCAGAAAUUCGAUCAAGCAUUUAACUAAUGAUUGUCGCUGUUGUAUCCAAUUCUCAUACUUAGCCCUAAUCUGAGCUAGCUCCUAAAUGGGAAGAAUCUUUUUAAUUACAUGCGUAUGUAUAUAAUUAUUAGUUAGCUAGUUGUGGUCAAUGUGACCUGUAUUUUAUCAAUGGAAUUUUAAUCAGGUGUGCGCGACAUCACACAUUGUGCACUAGAUCAAUCCUCUUAUCAAUUAAUAUAUAUUAUAUAUAGAUAUAGACACGUAUGUGAGUGGAGGAAGAAAAAAAAAUUAAGAAUAAUUUUGGCAUUUUGAUGGGUUUUAUAGAGUAAAAUCUAUAUUUUCAAAUAUGAUAAUUCUUUAAUUUAAUUUGGUGUUAUGAAAAAAGGGCAUUUUAAAUAUGUUUUAAGUUAUAAAUAACUCCAUCCAAAAUUUAAAAAUGAAAUCUGGGGGGGGGGGGGGGGGGAGGAGGGGGGGAAUUUCACCCGAACUAACAAAGGCCCAGAGUAGCCGCGGCUUUUUUCACCAAUUCUCUAAUUCCCAAUGUGGUCUAAUUAUUUACAAGGAAUAUGAGAUUCUCUACCACUCCAAUUUAUCCCAUUGUUAGUAAUCUUAUUAGCUGUUUUAUAUCCUAUUUUUAUUAUGCUCCCCAAACAAAUAUGUUUCACCUAAAGGUGCCCAACGGGCUGCACCGUCCGUCUGAAUGAACGCAUGAGAGGCUCCACAUGACCCGGCAAUCUUUUUCUUUUUAAUGAGGGCGUGACUGAUAUGCUUUUUCAAGUCUAACGCUCUUUUUUUUAAAAUCCAUAUAUUUUUUUAAGCUCAUGUCAAAUUCGGUAGUAAGAGAAUGCAAUGCUAGUUAAUAAGUUAAAGUGCAUCCGUGCCACUUUUUUCUUGUUGUUUUAUUUGUAUGAUAAUUAUCAUGGACCCACGUAACUUUCUUUUCCAUUUAAAAUUUUAUAAUAUAUUAAAUUAGACAAAAGAAAUGAAUCCCACAAAUAAUUUAUUUUAUAAUUUUUUAAAUAAUACUAUUUUAAAAUAAAUUAUUAAAACAAAUUUUAUAUUCACUAAAAUUAAUCAUAUUCAUAUUAUAAAAUAUAAAAACAACAUUUGAAAAAUAAUAUCAAAUACACCCUUAAAUUUUAUAUCGGCACUAGAACCGAUGAACAAUUUUUGACAAAGAUGUUGCGACCUAAGUAGGGAUAGCAACUAAAUUCGGAUCCAACUCGGAUAUGUAAGGAUCCGAAAGAUCCAGAUCCAGAAAAUUUUUUAUCUGAAUAUUAAAAAAUGUUGAUCCGGAUAUAGAAAUUUGGGAUCUGCACGGAUUGGGAUGGAAGUACAUUCGGAAAAUUGGAUGUCGAGAUCCGGAUAAAUUUUGUUUCAAAUUAAAAAUAUAUAUUAAAAAUUAAAUAAAAAUUAAAAAAGUAAAUUUUAUUUGUGGAUUUAUGAUGUUGUUGUAUAUUAUUCAUGUUGAAUUAUUAAUUGUUGGAUUAUGAUUGAAUUUUGUUUGAAAUUAUUGGGUAAAUUUUUGAAUUUUAUUUUAAAUUAAAAAUAUUUAUUAAAAAUUAAAUAAAAAUAAACAUUAAAUUUUAUUUGUAAAUUUAUGAGAUUAUUGUAUGUUAUUCAUUUUGAAUUAUUAAUUGUUGAAUUAUAAUUAAAUUUUAUUUGGUAUUAAUAGGUAAAUUAUUAAACUUUCAAAUUAUAUAUUAAAUUAUUUAAUUUUAAAUUUUGCAGAUCCGAAUAUCUAGAAUAUUUGUCCGCAUAUUUUUUUACGAAUCCAGAUAUAGAAAUAUGAAUAUGGAUCCAAAUUCGGAUUUUGACAACCCUAGACCAAAGCAUGAAUGUGCCUAAAGUUUUUACUAAGAACAUGGAUCAUUCAAUGACCCGACAUGUUUUGCAGCUCUCAUUAGUAUAAUUGAAUAAUUAAUUCAUCUCUAUAUUCAGCUUACACCGUCUCAAAUUGCAUGCAAAUACGAAAGUACACAUCUGAAUCGUUCACUUGAGGAAAAUUAAUUUUAACGCAAUAAGUCCUAAUUCUCCACGUAGAAUUUUAAUUCAAAGCAUAGCAAAUUAGACAUAAUUCUAAUUUAUAUGGGAAAUAUAAUUAGCGAAGACACUCUUUAUAUAAACAUUAUUGUCAUAGGAUGCCAAACCUAAUAAGAUUCAAGAUCUUAACAUACUUCAUAUGAAAUUUGAUCUUGGCGCGUACCGACACGCUUAACAUCAAGACUCUACUUCAUAUAAUGUAACUUCAUGGAUUUUUUGCUCUCUUGUGAAAUUGACAAUUAUUGGCGCUGUGUGGCAGUGGUACAUAAUAAAAUAAACGUUUAUUUUUAGAAUAUUAUUAUUUAUCUCAAUUUUUUAUUUAAUAGUUAAUUUUAAUAAAUUCUUAAACUGUCAUAAUCAAUUAAUUUUUUACAUUAUGGCAUCUUAAAUAAAUUUUGGAUCUAUAAUAAAUAAAAACUGGUAACGUUUGUUCUAUUAAAACAUAAAACAACCGUAACAUUGGUUUUUACAUUUUGAAUUUUUCUUGCAUCACUAUUUAGAAAAAUGAUGUUAAAUCAACUCACAAAAUAUAUCAAGCCAUCUAAAAUCCAAAUAUUAUUACAUUUGUAUUUGCAUUGUUAAAUUGUUGGAACGACGGCAAAGCAAUUGAAAAGAGAUUAACAAAAAAGUAAAGAUUGGCCAAGGAUUAUUCAUGUUUAGGAAAUGCCUUAACUUUUGAUAUAAUCAUUGUUAUAAUUAUAUUGUAGAAAUAAUCAAUUACCUAAUGUUUGUGGUGGUAAAUAUUAUUAACUUGUUUUACUAUACCCAUGUUUAUGUUGGUCUCCUUUUUGUCCAUUUCUGUACAACGAAAUAUUUGCAUGUUUCGAUAGAAAUUGGUUUAAAUGACAUUUAAAAUAGUAUAUCCCCAGACAAUUAACGAAAAAUUUGGAUGGUAGGAUGAAGUAAUAAGUAGUUUUACAAAUUACCGUAUUAGAGGUAAAAAAAAAUCAAGAGGUUACUUGACAAUUAUGACAUUACUAACUACAAAUUUAACACAAAAAGUUUAAUUAACUUUUCUUUUUGAGAUGACAAAAUCUCUGGUGUUGAAAACAAUGAGGUUUGAGGUUCAAGCUUGAAUAUCAAGUUACAAUUAGUAGAUGGUCUUAGGACAUAUCAAAGAUUUCUUUAAAGACAAAAUAAUAAUUACAAGCAAUAGGAAUUUAUGGUAUUCAGAACAUGUAUAUCUUCGCACAUGAAGCUUGAGUCCAGCAAAAGAUGCAGCUAGCCAAUCCUUCAACUUCCAAAACCCCACAAAAUCUCUGUCAACAUUGUUAGAGUUAUAAAUAUAAAGAAUAUUUUUGUAAUGAUUCUGCUGAUGUGGCAGCUGAGUAAGCAAGGCUAUUAUUGUUAGUUUGUAAGUUUGUUAUGGAGCUAAGAAGUUAGUUAAUCACAGCUCACUCUCAACACGUGUGUGAGCAAAUGCAUAAGGUUCUGGAUCUUAGUAUAUAAGGUCAACAUAUGUAUUCAUAAUUCAUUGAAUAAGAUUCGAUCUAUUUUUUCUUAUAGUUUCUCUUAUUGCUCAUUAAAUUUUCCUUCAUUUUCUCUGCAACCAAACAAGCAUAAAUAGCUUGGUUAAACUUCAAUUUGGUAUCAGAGCCACAUCUAGUCUAAUCUCAUGGCAUUAUCAAGCUUGAACACAAACAUCUCUUCUUCAGCAACAACCUGUACUUUCACAACUCCAAUAAAACUUGAUCGAUCAAAUUACUUAAUCUGGAAAUCUCAAAUUCUAUCCUCAGUUCGAGCAAAUGAGCUUAAGAGUUUGCUUGAUGGAUCCAGAAUCUGUCCAGAUCAAUUUCUCUCAAGCACUCAAGGAAAUUCAGAUGCUAUGUUCAAUGCUUCUGCAAGUUCAACUAUUGCUUCACGAGAGAAUCCUGAGUUUAAUGUGUGGAGAAAGCAAGAUCAGAUGCUACUGAGCUGGCUGCUAUCCUCUAUCAGCAUUGAAAUCCUCAGCUUGUGGUAAACUCUAAAACCUCUUAUGAACUGUGGUCUAGUUUAGAGCAACAAUUUGGAUCUGAAACUGAUGUUAAGAAAGUUCAUCUCAAAAUGAUGUUGAAUAAUCUGAAGAAAGGAUCUAUAACUAUGACAGAAUAUUUUAGUAAGUUGAAGUCAGUUACAGAUGAGCUUGCUAUUGCUGGAAGUCCUGUUAGUUCUUUGGAUUUUAUAACUCAUCUCAUCUCUGGAUUAGGUCAGCCUUAUUAUCCAGUAGUUGUGUAUAUUGAAGCAAAUGUUCUAAAAAUGAGUAUUAAUGAGGCUUAUUCAAUGUUGUUGACACAUGAGGCACGUUUAGAAAGCAAUCAAUCUAAUUCUUUCAAGGAAGUGAAACAGAACUAUGCUGCUAACUUAGCUCAGGCUGGAAAUAAUCAAAAGAAAGUUAACAAUCAGGGAGGCUGGAAUAAUAAUAGUCAAGGAGGCUGGAAUGGAAACACUGGAAACAAACCUGGAUUUCAUAACUGGAAUGGAAACUUUACAAACAGAGGAGGUUUCAAUUCAGGAAGGGGACAAAAUUCAGGUAGAGGACAAUGGAAUAAUAACUGGAAUAACUGGAAUGGAAAUCAAGGUAGAGGCAAUUUUGCUGGUGCUGCUGGAAAUUUUUCUGGUAGAUUUCCUGGUGGCUAUAAUGGAUUUGGAAGAGGAGGAGGCAGAGGAAAUAUUGUUUGUCAGAUUUGUUUCAAACACAAUCAUACUACAGUUGAUUGCAAAGAUAGAUUUAACAGAAAUUUUGUUCCUAAUUUUUCUGUGCAAGGAAAUUUUCCAGAUCAGAAUCAAACUUCUAGAUCUGCUUUCAUGGCUACAUCAGAAGGAGUUGCUGACCAAGGAUGGUAUCUGGAUAGUGGAGCAACACAUCAUCUCACAAACAAUGUGGUGAACCUAGCUGAAGGUAAACCUUAUCUUGGAUCUCAGUUGCUGUUAGUUGGUAAUGGACAAGGUCUUAGAAUCACUUCCAUAGGCAAUAUCUGUCUCUUUACAUCCUUUGGCAAUCAAUUAAACCUUUCCAAUGUUCUGUGUGUUCCCAAAAUUACCAAGAAUCUUAUUAACUUAUCUAAACUUCUCUCUGACAAUCAUAUAAUCAUUGAAUUUGUUUCUAAUCUUUGUUUCAUUAAGGACAAGAUGGUCUCUUUAAGCUACUGACUCAAGAUACACCUCUUUCUGAUUCUAAAGCCUUGGGUCUCAAACCUAGUUCAAUGUUGUCUGUUUUUUCAAAUAAAGAGAAUGUACACUCUUUGAAAGAGUUGAAUAACCAAAUAAAUGUCUGUUCAAAUUUGAUCAAUUCCAAUAAUGAGAAUUCUGUCAGUUUUUUAGCUUCCAGUAGUGAGUCUAUGUAGUUGCUACACAAUAGGUUUGGUCAUCCAACCAAACAUGUCUUGCAAACAAUAAUGAAAAGUCUUCCCAUGCAUUCAACCCAUUCUCAAUCUCUUAAUUUUUGUGAUGCUUGUCAAUAUGGCAAAUUACAUUAAUUCCAUUUUCCAGUCACUGAUAUAAAAUCAAAAUUCCCUCUCCAACUCUUAUAUGCUGACUUAUGGGGUCCAGCUUCUGUGUUGUUUAUGGACGGAUACAAGUACUAUAUUUCUUUUGUUGAUGAUUUCACAAGAUAUUGUUGGAUAUUUCCACUCACACUCAAAUCUGAGGCAUUUGACACCUUCAAAUAUUUCAAGUCUCUUGUCGAAAAACAGUUUUCUUUAUCCAUCCAAACACUACAAACUGAUAUGGGGGGUGAGUUUAUAGCUUUCAGAUCAUUUCUCCAACAAGAGGGUAUUCAAUUUAGAUAUAGUUGCCCCCACACUCACCAUCAAAAUGGUGUGGUGGAAAGGAAGCAUAUGCAUGUUGUUGAAACUGGACUCACACUCUUAGCUCAAGCUCACUUACCUCUCUCUUUUUGGUGGGAAGCUUUUCAUACAGCCACUUACUUAGUGAAUAGAAUGCCAACACCUGUUCUAAACAAUUUAUCUCCUUUUCAGAAACUAUACAAUCAGCUUCCAUAUCACAAGUUUGCUAAAGUGUUUGGAUGUUCUUGUUUUCCUUUUCUUCGAAAUAAGUGAAAAUUAAACCUACAAUUCAAAAUAGAGGACUGUAAAUGCGUAUAAAUUGAAGAAGGUAAAUUUUGUGUGUGCGUAAAUAUUUUAGUUAACAACAAAAAAUUCUAACAAGUUAAUAUAAGAGUAUCAUAGCAGUACAAGAGAAUUUUUUUUUUUUUUUAAUGUUAAGAGUUAUCGUGAUACCCAAUAUAUAUGUGUGUGUGAGAGAGUGGAGGAAGAAAAAAAUAUUAAGAAUAGUUUUGGCAUUUUGAUGGGUUUUAUAGAGUAAAAUCUAUAUUUUCAAAUAUGAUAAUUCUUUAAUUUAAUUUGGUGUUAUGAAAAAAAAAGGGUAUUUUAAAUAUGUUUUAAGUUAUAAAUAACUCCAUCCAAGAUUUAAAAAUGAAAUCUUAGGGGGGAAAAAAUUUCACCCGAACUAAGGCCCAAAGUAGCCGCGGCAUUUUUCACCAAUUCUCCAAUUCCCAAUGUGGUCUAAUUAUUUACAAGGAAUAUGAGUAGGUGUGGGCACGGUUCGGUCCGGUUCGGUUUGGAUCGAAAUUAAGCAGAACCAAUUUAAAUCGGUUAUUUUAGAAAAAGAACUAAAUAAGAACCGAACUCAAUAAAAACCGAAGAUAAACGAAUCUUUUCGGAUUGGUUCGGUUCGGUUCGGUUUUUUCGGUUUUGGGCCUAUUGGGCCUAUUUUCAAUUUUUAAAUUGUUAGCCCAUUAGGCCUCAUAAAUGUAAUAAUUUUAUUCAACAAUUAAUUUAUCCUAAUUUCAUUACAAAUAUUAACAAUAAAUACAAAGUAUUCAAAACACAUUUUAUCAUUAAUAUCUUACUAACUACUAAUAAGGUACUUACAAAAUAUGAAAUAUUAAGAUUUCAAAAUACAUAAUCAAACUCCAAUACUCCAUCUACAUAAACAUAAUGUUGUAAAGAAAAAUAAAAAUAACAACAAUUAAAACUUACAACACAAAAUAAAAAGAAAAUUUGGAAACAAACACCAACAACAAUUUUUAAAUAUAUAUAUAUACCAGUAAUUGUGUGUGUUCAUGCCUAUUUUAGUUAUCUCACGCAACCAAUUAAAAUUUAACACGUGUCUAUUUAAAUAAAAUUUCAAGAAUAACUCGGUUUUUCGGUUCGGUUUUUUGGUUCAGCUGAGUGAACCGAAUAUCGAACCUGUAUUUCGAUUUUUUUUACAAACCAUAUAUUUCAGUUAUUUUUUAAAAUUAAAACUAGUCCGAACGGAACGGAAUGGUUCGAAUCAAUUUUCUCUAGUGCACGAUUUUUUUGCCCACCCCUAAAUAUGAGAUUCUCUACCACUCCAAUUUAUCCCAUUGUUAGCAAUCCUAUUAGCUGUUUUAUAUCCUAUUUUUAUUAUGCUCCCCAAACAAAUAUGUUUCACCUAAAGGUGCCCAACGGGCUGCACCGUCCGUCUCAAUGAGCGCACGAGAUGCUCCACAUGACACGGCAAUCUUUUUCUUUUUAAUGAGGGCGUGUCUGAUAUGCUCUUUCAAGUCUACAUACCUAACGUUCUUUUUUUAAGUGCAUAUAUUUUUUUUAAAGCUCAUGUGAAAUUCAGUAGUAAGAGAAUGCAAUACUAGUUAAUAAGUUAGAGCCUACAAAAUAAUAAUAAUAAUAAUAAAAUUUUCUUUAAGGGUUAACAUUUUAUUGUUAAUUUGAAUUUACAUACAGUUAUAGAUUAUAGUCUAUAAUAAUAUUAAUACUUACAAGUUUCAAAUUAAAAUUUAAUAAUUAACGUUUCAUUAACACAACUAUAUUAUCUAAUUUUGCAAUAACCAAUUAUAAUACAACAAUACAUAAUUCUAAUUUCAUAGACCAUGGUAAUAAAAUCUAUACGUUAAUGAAAAAUUUUAUUUUGAUAUACGUCGGUCUGCUUGUUAUUGAUGGCCGAUGGUCGUAUGCUAGCCUGCUAAUGAAGUGUGUUUAUUAUUGGUUUUUUCACGUGUCUUGCUUUACCACAUCUCUAGUCAAAUUGUGUUCUUAAAAUCCACAGCCUAACCUAGCCUCUGUGUGUGUCCUGUUGUGCCAUACUAUACAAACACGUAUCCAGUACAAUGCCACAUACCGGUCGGCCCUUAGCCAUCUCUAGUUUCACCCCUAAAUGAAAUCUAAACGGCUACUGGCAAGUAAGAAAACUUGUUAUUCUUUAUUUUGAAAAUAAAGGGAAUUGCUUAGUUUGAUAUUGUUUUUGGUAAGUCAUUUUUUUGUUUUGAAACAUUUUUCUGAGAUGUUGUUGUAUUUGGUGAAAAAUAAAUUAUUUUAUUUUAUACUUUUAAUGAAGAAAAGUAGAGAAAAACAUUUUGUUGUUUUCGACAACAUUUGCCUUAUAAGUGCACCCGUGCCAUUUUUUUCUUGUUUUAUUUGUAUGAUAAUUAUCAUGGACCCACGUAACUUUCUUUUGCAUUUAAAAUUUCAUAAUAAAUUAAAUUAGACAAAAGAAAUGAGUCCCACAAAUAAUUUAUUUUAUAAUUUUUUAAAUAAUACUAUUUUAAAAUAAAUUAUCAAAACAAAUUUCAUGUUCACUAAAAUUAAUCAUAUUCAUAUUAUAAAAUAAAUAUAAAAACAAUAUCUGAAAAGUAAUGCUAAAUACACUCUUAAAUUUUCUGUACAGCAUUAGAAUUGAUGAACAAUCUGACAAAGAUGCUGCGACUUAAGUAGGGAUGACAAUUAAAGCCGAAUUUGGAAAAAUUCAUGUCUGCAAAUUAAAAAAUGUGGAUUCGGAUAUAGAAAUUCGGAAUUCAUACGGAUCCAAAUAAAUUUUAUUUUAAAUUAAAAAUAUAUAUUAAAAAUUAAAUGAAAAAUUAAAAAAUAAAUUUUAUUUGUGGUUUUAUGAUGUUGUUGUAUAUUAUUCAUGUUGAAUUAUUAAUGGUUGGAUUAUGAUUGAAUUUUAUUUAAAAUUAAAAAUAUAUAUUAAAAAUUAAAUUAAAAAAAAUUAAAUUUUAUUUGUAGAUUUAUGAGAUUAUUGUAUGUUAUUCAUGUUGAAUUAUUAAUUGUUGAGUUAUGAUUGAAUUUUAUUUGAUAUUAUUAGGUAAAUUAUUGAAAUUUUAAAUUAUAUAUUAAAUUAUUUAAUCUUAAUUUUUACAAAUAUGAAUAUCUAGAAUAUCUGCCUGCAUCCGUUGCAGAUAUUAUCUGCUUCCAGAUCCACAUCUUUUUACGAAUCUAAAUAUAGAAAUAUGAAUGCGGCUCCGAAUCUAGAUUUUACCAACCCUGAACCUAAGCAUGAAUGGGCCUAAAGUUUUCACAACAAACAUGAAUCAUUAAAUGACACGAGAUGUUUUACAGCUCUCAUUAGUAUAAUUGAAUAAUUAAUUCAGCUCUAUAUUCAGUUUACACCGUCUCAAAUUGCAUGCAAAUAGGAAAAUGCACUUCUGAAUUGUUCACUUGAGGAAAAUUAAUUUUAACUCAAUAAGUCCUAAUUGUCCACGUAGAAUUUUAACUCAAACCAUAGCAAAUUAGACAUAAUUCUAAUUUAUAUGGGAAAUAUAAUUAGCAAAGACACUCUUUAUAUAAACAUUAUUGUCAAAGGAUGCCAAACCUAAUAAGAUUCAAGGUCUUAACAUACUUCAUAUCAAAUUUGAUCUUGGCGCGUACCGACACGCAUAACAUCAAGACUCUACUUCAUAUAUAAUAAUGUAACUUCAUGGAUUUUUCGCUCUCUUGUGAAAUUGACAAUUAUAGGCGAUGUGCCAGUGAGGCAGUGGUACAUAAAAUAAAGGAUAAAAGUUCAUUUAGUCCUUAUAUUUUAAUAUUAAUGUCUAUUUAGUCCCUGUAUUUGUUAAAAUACCUCGAAACAUUCCUGCCGUUAAAGUAUUGAUGCCCUUACUGUUACUUUUUAUUUUUUUAGCUUACUUUUACAAUAUUACCCUUUUAUAAUAAAUUUUUUGUUUGGACAUUAAUCAAAAUAAAAUAAUUAAUUAUCAAUUUAACCCUAAAAAAAUUAUAUUAAUUUUUAAUUGUCAAAAAUUAAAUUGUCAAAUAUCAAGUGUGCAAAUGGUGCUUGCAAAAAAAUUAAUAUAAUUUUUUUUAGGGUUAAAUUUGGUAAUUUAAUUAUUUUAUUUUUAUUAAUGUCCAAACAAAAAAAUUAUUAUAAAAGGGCAAUAUUGUAAAAGUAAGCCAAAAGAAAUAAAAAGUAAUGGUAGGGGUAUCAAUACUUUAACGGCAUGGAUGUUUCGAGGUAUUUUUAAAAAUACGGGGACUAAAUGGACACUAAUCUCAAAAUACAGGGACUAAAUAGACUUUUACCCUAAAAUAAAUGUUUAUUUUUAGAAUAUUAUUAUUUAUCUCAAUUUUUAUUUAAUAGUUAAUUUUAAUCCAUUCUUAAACUGUCAUAAUCAAUUAAUUUUUUACAUUAUCACAUCUUAAAUAAAUUUUGGAUCUGUAAUAAAUAAAAACUGGUAACGUUUGUUCUUUUAAAACAUAAAACAACCGUAACAUUGGUUUUUACAUUUUGAAUUUUUCUUGCAUCACUAUUUAUAAAAAUGAUGUUAAAUCAACUCACAAAAUAUAUCAAGCCAUCUAAAAUCCAAAUAUUAUUACAUUUGUAUUUGCAUUGUUAAAUUGUUGGAACGACGGCAAAGCAAUUGAAAAGAGAUUAACAAAAAAGUAAAGAUUGGCCAAGGAUUAUUCAUGUUUAGGAAAUGCCUUAACUUUUGAUAUAAUCAUUGUUAUAACAAUAAUGCUACACAUCCCAAAUUUUUUAUCCCAAAAAGUUAUCCCAAAUGAUAUGUCAUUAAUUGAGUGGUUGAUAAUUCUUUACAAGAUCCAAGUGAAUUAAUUGUAUUAUCUCACCAACCAAUUGAUUAAUGCCACAUCAUUUGGGAUAACUUUUUGGGAUAAAAAAUUUGGGAUGUGUAGCAUUAUUGUUGUUAUAAUUAUAUUGUAGAAAUAAUCAAUUACCUAAUGUUUGUGGUAGUAAAUAUUAUUAACUUGUUUUACUAUACCCGUGUUUAUGUUGGUCUCCUUUUUGUCCAUUUCUGUACAACGAAAUAUUUGUAUGUUUUGAUAGAAAUUGGUUUAAAUGACAUUUAAAAUAGUAUAUCCCCAGACAAUUGACGAAAUAUUUGGAUGGUAGGAUGAAGUAAUAAAUAGUUUUACAAAUUACCAUAUUAGAGGUAAAAAAAAAUCGAGAGGUUACUUGACAAUUAUGACGUUACUAACUACAAAUUUAACACAAAAAGUUUAAUUAACUUUUCUUUUUGAGAUGGCAAAAUCUCUGGUGUUGAAAACAAUGAGGUUUGAGAUUCAAGCUUGAAUAUCAAGUUACAAUUAGUAGAUGGUCUUAGGACAUAUCAAAGAUUUCUUUAAAGACAAUAAUAAUUACAAGCAAUAGGAAUUUAUGGUAUUCAGAACAUGUAUAUCUUCGCACAUGAAGCUUGAAUCCAGAACAAGAUGCAGCUAGCCAAUCCUUCAACUUCCAAAACCCCACAAAAUCUCUGUCAACAUGUCUGUUGUACUAAGCACAUUCAUAGGGGUAUCAACAGCUUACAGCUCCAAAAUAUUUUCCCCAAAAAGAGUUGAGAGAUUUCACUGAAGCUAAUUUGUGACUUGUGACUGCCCAAAUGUUCUAUAACACGGUAUGAUUAUUCUAGUAACACAAAUCCAACAGCAUGCAACAUAAUCUACUCUCUAACAUUGUGCAUUAGCAAAAUAAAACAGAGUAAAAAGAGAAACCAUGCCUGUGAAUCUCUUCUUUUCCCCCUGCCACCCCUUUUUUUGGUGAAGUCCAUCAAAUGAAAAUGCAGCAUGACCAUGUUGGCCACUGCCACUGCCAUUACUUCUUCAACUGUGGCUUUUGUUGCAGGAAAUAUUCAAGUGAAAGAUUGGAUUAUAUAAUUCAAGAUUCCAAUAAACCUGAGCUGCAAAGGUUGCCUUCCACUAGCCUAUCAGAGACUAUGCUUUCUAUUUUCCUAGUUUUUUAAUCAUAAUUUUGCAAGAUUUAUUUAUGGAAAACUGGGACAAAAUUUUAUGUAAGAUACCAUAAAGCCAAACACAAUCUUUUUAAUUCUCAGCAGCAAGAUUUAAAGUUAAAAAAGGGAAGCCAUAUAAAUAUAACUAUGUUUGGUACAAGUAACAAUUAUUUCAAGCUUUCAGAAAUGCUAGCAAGAGAUUGUAAGAGAACUUUACCUAGUCACAGAAUAUGUCAAACAUACUACCACCAACUGUCUUUAGCACGAUUGUUAUGGAAGUAGCUUUUGAAUCGGAAGAUUCCAGCUUCCACCAGGCACCAUUAUUUUCAUUCUUGAUACAAUCUGCAUCACUGGCAUUAGUUAUAUCAUCAACAUUUGCAUCCUCACUCUCAUCAUCCCAAUCAAGGCUUCUUCUCCAGCUCUGGAUUAUAAGUCCACUCCGACAUCUUCAAACAUCUCGGUCCUUCCAUUUGCCAACAACCGAUAUGGCUUCCUUCCUUGCCUUCCCCAUUAAUAUAUCACUCGAAGGAAAAAAAGCAUCAGCAAUUCUCUUCAACGCCUCAUCGUUUAUAACCCCCCAAAAAAAGGGUCUUCAGACACUUCAACUUUGCCUUCUGCAAAACCUCCACAAAAUCUGAAUUAUCCAACACAACAGCCAGACACUCAAUCCUUCUUUUGUCCAUCAUAUCCACCGUAUGAUUCCUCAACAAAAUAUGUACAGCUUGUGGCUUAUCUAACACUGUCUUGAUCCAAAACCCCGCUCUUUUCAACUCAUCUGCCAAACCAUAACCCACUUUUGGAGUCAAAAUUGUCCUUGCAGCCCUUUUAUAUUUUUCCAUCUCCAUCGAAUACUUGCCACUCAAAUGGAAUUACCAGACAGGAAUCCCAGUAACAAGUCCACUCAACUUCUUCUCAUCUGAUCCCUCUUUCACUCUGGCGGAAACAUUAAUAACCAUUCACCAGCCACAAAUUACCCAAGUAAGUACUCGUGUCGUCGACACUUACCCUUCACUUCAUCUACGCAAACGAGAAUUCAAAUUGCUUACUAGCUAGUGCUCGAGCAAAAGCCAGAAUAAAUUAAAUAUGUGUGUGUGGUAGCGAAGUUAUCUAUAUAUAUAUAUAUAUAUAUAUAUAUAUGAAGUUGGGACACGAGGAGAUGACGUGGCAUCACCAUUUCUCAUCUUUGUAUAUUCUCUAUUAUCUAAUAAAUAGAGAAUUUUUUUUUCAGAUUUAACUUUUCAUCUUCUCAUAAUUAAUUUAAUUGUUAUUACACAAUAACAAUUAUGUAAAAAUUUUAAUGAGGCAUAUUCUUUAUAAUGAACAUCCAAAGGGAAGUGUUAUGAAUUUAUUAAAAUAAAUGUAGAUGUUCAUAACAUAUAUCUCUUAUUCUCACCACUAUCUCUCAUUAGCAACCUUUAGCUUCCCUAUAACUCCCACUAUCUCACAAGGAAUUAUGAUCCAUAAUUUUUCAUUAAUUUCAUAGAGUGAUUAUGUAACUAUAAAAGGAGAGCUCAUCUUUUGUUCUGUACACACACAAUUAGAAUGAAUAAAAUCACUCUAUAAUAUAUUCUCUCAUUUUAUUCUUUAUCUUGCGUUGCUUCUUUAUUUGUAUUGCUGGUUAAUAGUUUUUUUUUUUUGUUUUUUAUAAGGCUGCCUCAUCUUCAAAAAAAAUCAAUUCAUAUUUUUUAUCAGUUUCAUAAAGUGUAAAGUAAAAAAAAAUAAUACUAAAUUCUUUUUUCAAAGUCGCAUGAAACGCGGUUCUAUUUUUUAGUAUAUAUAUAAAGCUGGAACUGGAGGAGGUGAUGUGGCAUCACCAUUUCUCAUCUUUGUAUAUUCUCUAUUAUUUAAUAAAUAGAGAAAUUUUCUUUUAGAUUUGGCUUUUCAUCUUCUCAUAAUUAAUUUGAUUGUUAUUACACAAUAACAAUUAUGUAAAGAUUUUAAUGAGGCAUAUUCUUUGUAAUGAAUAUCCAAGGGGGAGUAUUAUGAAUUUAUUAAAAUAAAUGUAGAUGUUCAUAACAUAUAUCUCUUAGUCUCCCCACUAUCUCCCAUUAACAAUCUUUAGCUUCCCUAUAACUCCCACUAUCUCACAAGGAAUUAUGAUCCAUAAUUUUUCAUUAAUUUCAUGGAGUGAUUAUGUAACUAUAAAAGGAGAGCUCAUCUUUUUGUUUUGUACACACACAAUUGGAAUGAAUAAAAUCACUCUAUAAUAUAUUCUCUCAUUUUAUUCUUUAUCUUGCGUUGCUUCUUUAUUUGUAUUGCUGUCUAAUAGUUUUUUUUUUGUUUUUUAUAAGGCUGCCUCAUCUUAAAAAAAAAUCAAUUCAUAUUUUUUUAUCAGUUUCAUCAAAUAUAAAGUAAGAAAAAAUGAUAAUACUAAUUUUUUUUUUCAAAGCCGCGUGAAACGCGGUUCUAUUUUCUAGUUAUACAAUAAAGCAAACCAAAAUAAAUUCUACACUCAUAUAUAUAUAUAUAUAUAUAUAUAUAAAGCUGAGACUUGAGGAGGUGAUGUGGCAUCACCAUUUCUCAUCUUUGUAUAUUCUCUAUUAUCUAAUAAAUAGAGAAAUUUUCUUUUAGAUUUGACUUUUCAUCUUCUCAUAAUUAAUUUGAUUGUUAUUACACAAUAACAAUUAUGUAAAGAUUUUAAUGAGGCAUAUUCUUUGUAAUGAAUAUCCAAGGGGGAGUGUUAUGAAUUUAUUAAAAUAAAUGUAGAUGUUCAUAACAUAUAUCUCUUAGUCUCCCCACUAUCUCCCAUUAACAAUCUUUAGCUUCCCUAUAACUCCCACUAUCUCACAAUGAAUUAUGAUUCAUAAUUUUUCAUUAAUUUCAUGGAGUGAUUAUGCAACUAUAAAAGAAGAGUUUAUCUUUUUGUUUUGUACACACACAAUUGGAAUGAAUAAAAUCACUCUAUAAUAUAUUCUCUCAUUUUAUUCUUUAUCUUGGGUUGCUUCUUUAUUUGUAUUGCUGUCUAAUAACUUUUUUUUUGUUUUUUAUAAGGCUGCCUCAUCUUAAAAAAAAAAAUCAAUUUAUAUUUUUUUAUCAAUUUCAUCAAAUGUAAAGUAAGAAAAAAUGAUAAUACUAAAUUCUUUUUUCAAAGCCGCGUGAAACGCGGUUCUAUUUUCUAGUUAUACAAUAAAGCAAACCAAAAUAAAUUCUACACUCAUGUGGGUGUUUCGUUCGCAAAAUCUGGACAAGAAAAAUAAUAUUGAUACAAUCUCCAAAUAAAGAGCAUUCCUCUUGGUAAAAUAGACAAAUCCUAUAAAUUUUGAUUAAUGGUGCCAAAUGAAAGAGUUGUAAUUUCAUGUACAUUUUGUUAACAUGAAUAAGGGUACAAAAUAGAUAACAAAGUGACAAAAACAAAGCUAAUCACAAUGAAUGAUAAGGCUUAGAGUAAACAAAAAGUUAUAAUCUUGAACAUAAGUGGCGCUCAAAGCCAUGAAUUUGAUAUCAUCCAUGAGGGGAGUUCAAACAAUAGCAUGUAAGAAGCAACAAGUGUUGAGAAAAAAAAAAUUUCAUUCUACCACAACAGAAUAAAUUGUAAAGAAAUCCCAGUUUGUAUAAAAGAAAGAAAACAAAAUUAAGGAAAACAUAAGCACAACAAAAUUCGACUGAUUAUUAAAAAUGAGAAAUGAGUUAUAAUGAGAAUUUUAGCUUUGUUGUGAAAUAAAUUGGGAAGUAUCCAAAGUACGCAUGUAAAUAAUAAAAAUGAUAAGAAGACGAAGGGAACAUAAUGAUAAUAAGCAAGCCAAAUAUUAAAAUGCAGAUUCUACGCUUCUGCCCCCCCAUACUUCAAGUUAGUGUCUCGCUAAUCAUUUUAGAUGUAUCAAUUACAAAGGGAGGCCAUCUAUUUAUAGUAAGCGUACGCCUCUAAUGCUUUGCCAAGUGUCCAUUGAUAAUAUCACAAGGGAAAUUAAAUUGGUGUAUGUGUAUUACACCUCCUAAAGUCAUGUUAAGAUAGUGUGCUGAUAAAGCUUGUUGCACGUGUGAUUGGUUAAGUCUGCUAGAAAUGCAAACGUGUAAAGCUGAGUCAGCAAGUUAGUUAAGGUUAUUAUGAAUGCUUAGAUUCAGCUCACGUGUAUUGUAUGUAAUACUUAGAUUCAGGUCAUGUAGAUUGUGUAAUCUCAAUAUAAAUACUUGAUGAUCAUGAUUCGACAUUCCUCACAGCAGGAGCUGUGGAUCUUUAGACAUCAGAUUUUAAUUUCUGUAAUGUUAAAUUUGGAUCCCAUAUUCGACAUUCCUCACAUCAGGAGCUGUGGAUCUUUAGACAUCAGAUUUUAAUUUCUGUAAUGUUAAAUUUCCCAAAACAUUAAAAAAAACAAUGCUGUAUACAUGGUGAAUGAUCUGGCGUAUCUAUAGGUAUUACCCAAGACAUUUCUGAGAACCUGAACUAGGAAUCCUUGUAUUUUUCUUUAUGUCAAGACAGUGACUUGAAGAUUUUAGAUUAUUUUUUUUGGCCAUUUUAUAAUUGUUGGCAUAUUGAACUUGAGUAAUUUUGAUAAACCAUAGUUCAGGAAUGUCUGAUAGAAAUAUUGGAGACUUGAACUUGAAUAUUAGAUUUGAAAUUAAAGAGGUAAGCCAUUAAAAUACAUCAAAGGAUUUGGAAAAUGGAGGAAUUGGAAUAUUGGUAUGAUGGGAUUACAAGAAAGGGAAACUUUUGCAUCAACAUCAAGCAUUGGGCAUUUUCAUUUGUCCUAUUCUAACACCAGUUAGGAAUAUCAACAAGGAGUUACGCUAUGAAUUAAGUAAUCUGCCAGUAAUGCAAGCAUUGAAUGUGAAGAGCUUCACAUAACUUUGAAUUAGCUUAUGAUUUAACACUAUUCCUUUUUGUGUGUGAUCAUGCAUUACGCCGUACUAGAUUUUUCUCUUUCUCUGCGGGAGAGAAAAGAAAGAGAAACAAUGGAUGCAAUAUAAAAAAAGUAAUACAUAUUUACCUAUUUAGUAGGCAAUUUACGCCAACGGUGACACUAUCACAUCAUGAGCGAGUUAUGUAAUAGUUCUUAGAUGAGAUCAUUCUUGCUGCAUUAUUAUUAGAAGUAUCUAUUUAUGCAAGAUUGAUAAUUUGAAUACACGUCCAAAUUAACAAGAGUUUUUAGGCAGUUUAAUUUAACUAACUAGCUAUUUAGAAUACACAUCAUAAUAAAAAAAAAGUACAAUUUAAGAUGUAUGAUUAGACUAUCUAUCUGCUCAAUCAAGACUGAGUGUGAUAUUUCCUCCGUAAACUCAUAGUUAGUUUUGUCACGCUUACAAAUCAAACUACAUUAACAUGAUUUAGGUAUUAGGGCAAGAUUGGAAAAAAAUGUCGAUAAUGCAAUGAUUAUGACGGAGAACAAACCUACAAACAGUACAGCGCAUGGACCUUUUUUCAAAAGAAAUUAUUCUUGAAAGAUAAAAAAAUUCCUUGCUUUUUACAUUAUUUUUUAAUGUAAAAAAUAUUCUCAGUUCUUGACUUGGUAUCAGAUUUUUACGUUACUAGAAAAAUCUAGUACGGCGUAAUGCAUGAUCACACACAAAAAUUUGAGGAGUUGAUGAUAAUCUCAAUAUAAAUACUUGUAAUCAACAAAUACAAUAAUAAGAGUCAUCAUUCUUCAUUUUCUCUCAGUUUCUCUCAUAUUUUCUCUGCAUCCAAACACAAUAUUCUCAGUUCUUGACUUGGUAUCAGAUUUGCAGUUUAAUUGUCAUGGCUUCCUUCCUUAAGCACAAAUUCAAACACAAAUCAGUCUCCUUCAUUCUUUACCGUCACAAAUGCGAUCAAACUGGACAGAUCUAACUAUACGAUAUGGAAAUCUCAGAUCCUCUCUUCAGUGCGUGCCAAUGGACUUGAAGGCUUUCUUAAUGGAACUAAAAUUUGUCCAGAUCAGUUACUUACUCAAGAGAUUGAAAGUUAUGGUGUUGAAAAUGCUGUUGUUGAAAGCUCAACUGAUAGAUCUCAGGAGAAUCCAGCCUUUGUUGCUUGGAAAAGGUAGGAUCAAUUGUUAUUAAGUUGGCUCAUGUCCUCCAUCAGUGUUGAGAUACUUAGUCUUGUGGUAAAUUCUGAUUCUUCUCAUAAACUUUGGACUAAUCUUGAAGAAAAUUUUUGGAUUAGAAACUAUGGCUAAGAAAGCACACUUAAAAAUGAUGUUAAGCAAUCUCAGAAGGGGAUCAAUGACAAUAACUGAGUAUUUUGCCAAACUUAGAGCUGUAACUAAUAAACUUGCUCUAACUGGUAGCCCUGUUUCUACUCUAGACUUUAUUAAUCAUCUAAUCUCGAGAUUAGGCCAGCCAUACUACCCUGUUGUUUUGUAUAUUGAAGCUAAUAUGAUGAAAAUAUUUGUCAAUGAAGCCUACUCUAUGCUUUUAACUCAUGAAGCAAGAAUUAAAUUUAAUCAUCCGAGUGCAAAUAAAGAAGCAAAGUUGAAUUAUGCUGCUAACAUAGCUUAGGCUGGACCUAGUAAUAACAAUAAGAAGUCUAGUAAUCAAGCUAAUUACUAUCAGGGCAACCAAGGUAACGGGAAUAGAAAUGCUCAUUGGUGUGGUAACAAUGGAGGAAGAGGUGGCUUUGGCAGAGGUUUUUCAGGGCAAGGAAGGGGUAAUUAGAAUAAUGGUGGUCAUUGAACAAUGGACCUUGGAGUAGUAGUCGAGCAGGUUAUAAUUGUUCUGAUAUAAACAUUAUGACAUGGUUGCUGGUGAACCUGUAAACAUAACCACAAAAGUAAGAAGGCAUAAUUUUUUUAUAAGAAACUCAAAAAUGUAUUAAUGAUGAAAAUUUUAAAAUAGAUAGUGGACCAUCUGUCCAGUAAGAAAACAAAAAACUGAAUAUUUGUGCUAUAAAAAGGCACACCCAAUCUCACCCCUAUAAAAGGCUAGAAUCAGCUACAAAUCCCUACCUCAAAACCCCAUCCCAGUUUAGAUGAAUGAAGAAAAAUGAUGAAUCUUGAAACUCCUUAGAAACUGAAGCCCAAAGUGAAGCAAGAAGAUGAACUCUAUCCCAAGCAAGCAAUAUGGCAUAUAUCUCCAUUAAUGGUUCAAAUAAAGUGAAUGGCUUUCUCUGAUGAGUGGGAAAUUGUCAAGAUCAAUAGUCAAACUCACGCAAAGUAAACGGACUUAAUUCUCAGAGGCUACUCAUUCUAAGUCUUAAAGAAAAUUUUUCUAAUUUCUAAAGAUUAUAUGGGGAAAAAAUCAUUAUUUUUAAGAUGGAAAAUUUGAUAUGGUGUUUAAUGUCUGAUCACAAUGAUAAUAUGAGUACUAACAAAAACAUCUUUAAUAGGCAUGGUGCGAGUAAAACACCUUUGUAAUGUACCUCAUCAAAUAUAACCCAAGCCACUUCGCGCGUAAUCUCUGAGCCUUUGUACUGCAUACUACGCCAGAUUUCAGUAGUCAUCACCUGAAAUUAAACUUCAUAUAAGCAAUCCACAAAUCAAAGCGCUGCAACACCCAAAAGAUGACACUACCAAGUUGACCUACCAAACAAGAAGCAUUAGGGUCAAUUGUGACAUCCCCAGUCAUCAAACCAACAUCUGAAACUCUUCUUUAAACUCUUCUGAUUGCUGAGUGCCUUAAUCGGUGAAGUAUAUAUCACACGUUGCUUAUUCCGCAACGACAUAGCAAUAGCAUACAAUGCUACCACAGUUUUCCCAGCAGAUGUAUGGGCCGAUACCUGUCAAAUAAAUGAAAGGCAAAUCCAAAUUAAAAAAAGAAAAGAAAAAAAAAACUAUUUUUAUUUUCACACAUGAUAACACUUCAUGCAAAAAUUCUUAAUUCUUAUCGGUGAGCUGAAAAGCAGAGCGCUUUGUACCAAAGCACUUCCAAAUUCGAAUUAAUGUUUUUACAAAAAAUUACAGCUUUAUAUAUUUGUAUGUGCGCGUGCGUAUAAUAAUAAUAAUAAUAAUUAACGAACCGUAACGGACUCGCCGUUGUCGAGGCACUUGAUAGCUUCGGACUGGAAUGGGUCGAGAGUGAAAGGGAAUUCCUUAGCAUGUUUAGCGUCAGCUUCAGCCACUUGACCAAGACGCAUUAAACAUAAAACGCGGCGUUUUCAUGGACUAGUACAUUCCAUGCUUCGAAAGUUUUAUGGUUUAGACUGAUUGGUUUGAUACAUUAUUUGUUUGUUGCGUUUUUCUUGCUUUAAAUAUUAUGUUGGAUACUUGGAUUGAUAAGUUUUGUACACGUUUAUAUUGCUCGCAGUAAAUAAUUUAUGACAUUUAAAAAACUAUCAACCGUCUAUCAAAAGAUUUCUACUAUAAAUAUAUAUACACAAAAAACUUUUAAUUUGGUCAAUUUGUUCUCUUAUUUAUUUUUGUUCUAUUUCUCUUUUCCUUUCCUUUCAUUUUAUUGUUUUAUGGUAUAAAAUAAAAAAAUAACCUUAAAAUUUAAGGUGAUGUUUGGUUGGGAGGAGAGAAUGUAGGAGAGGAAAGUAAUUUAAAUUCUCUUGUUAUUUCCAUUGUUUGGUUUGACAAAAUGUAUAAGAAUUAAAUUUUUAUUAGAAUUUAAUAUCCAUCAUAAUGUAGAAUUUGAAUUCCAUAUUAAGUAGCGAAGAAUUUAAAUUUCUCUUCUAUUAGAAACUAAAGGUUCCAAAAUUACCCUUCAACUUUUUAGCUUAUUUAAUGCCAUUAAUAAUAAUAAUUUAAUAUUAUAAAUGGACCUCCACCGGAAAGUCGCCGGACUACCCCCGGAUCUCGUCGGACCACCGCCGGAAGAUCGUCGGACCACUGCCGGAAAAUCACCGGACCACCGCCGACCUCGCCGGACCUCCGCCGCCGGCCACCGGAUCGCCAUUUAUAUAUAUAUAUAUAUAUUAUUACUAAUAUAAAUAGUUUAAUAUUUAAGGUAAAAGAUAAAUUUGUCUAAAGAAAAAAAUUAUAAUUCAUUUCCUUAUCAAAUUUUAUAUCAAACCAAACAACAAAAUUUAAUUUCACUACUCUUCUCUAUUCCUUUCUUCUCCAUUCCUCUCCAUUCCACUCUUUUCCACUCCUCCAUUUUCUUCAAACCAAACAUGACCUAAGGGUAAAAUACUCAUUUUACUAAAAUUCCGUUUAAUAUCAUAACGCUGUCAAUGGAAAAAUAUACGAGUGAUAUAAAUUAAAAACAAAUAAAUUGAAAGUUUUUAUGUAUUUUCCUUUUAUUUUUUUAAUAGCCGAUUGAGAUUUCCCUUCAUAUUUUUAAAUUCAAUAGGUUUAGACCGUUUAACAAAUCUUAAAUUAAAAAAACCCGCGGUGUAAUAACAAACUCACAUCAAACCCUGUACACUGUCAUCCCUAAUUAUAUUUACCACUUCAUACUCACAGUGAUAAUAACUGUGUAUCACAAUUGAUUUUGCAUACGGGUAAAAGUUCCAAGUCCGGAUAUUUAGUUAAUGAAAUUUGAUGAAAAGGGCAUGAAAGAAAAUAAGAAAUUAAAUAAUACAGGAGGUAUUAAUCAUUACAUAUUUAGUUAAUGAAAAUUGAUGAAAAUAUUUCUGCAGACGUGAGCCAUAAUUAUAUUACCGUUAAGAAUGAAGCAGAAGAGUUUCCCCAAACAAGCUAAAACACAGCACUUCAAUUUAAAGAAUUUUUAUAUCACAGUACCGGGGUAAAAAGUUUAAUGCAACAACAUACAUUAAGUUAAUUCCAUAAUCUAUCCCCAAAGAAAGACAAACACAAGCUUAUAAGAUUAAAACUUUGGAAAACAUUAGAGUCGGACAAAAUUGUGUAAUCUUCAGAGUUUGGAGCCUAGUUCAUCCAGGAAAGCAAAAGAAAUAAUAAUAAUAAUAAUAGUGGUGGUUUGAUCUCAAAAGGUGGCAUCAAAGUGGUAACUUUGAGGUAUUGGAAGCAAUAACGUCUUCAACUUUGUCCUGAUUUCGAAGUCCCUUAACCCAUCCGCCAUCAAUGGAUUGAAUGCUUCCAUUCAACCCAUCAUCCACAAAAUCACCAACCCGUUUCACCUUCAUCUCCUUGGGCUUAACAGGGUACUUUCCAGAGAAGCAAGCAAAACAAAAAAUCCGAGAAUCAUCGCCUAACAACUUGUUCAAGCUGUCAAUCGGCAGAAAAGCAAGCGAAUCACACCCAAUAAACUCCCUGAUUUCCUCAACGCUCAUCCUGUUGGAAAACAACUCCUCAGUACUUGGAGUGUCUACUCCGUAGUAACAAGAAGCUAUGAUUGGUGGGCUUGCAGCGUACCCAAGUGCAGCCACCACUCCAGAAUCUGGUACUGCAAUCACGACAUCACACUCAGCAGGAGCCUCGGUAGCAAGUACUUCCCCAAAAUGAUACCUCGACUCAUAAACAGACCUUCCAAAAACAACAGAAUUAGGCAAAGCAAAAUAAAUAUGCUCAACGAAGCACUGCUUAGGUUCAGGGUGAGGCAUCAAACAAGGUGAUUGAACCCCAUCUUUAUCCACCAUCAAAACUUCACCGGGAUAUACCGUAUGUGGCCUCAAUCAAAUAGUGCACAAGUCUCUGACGCAAAAACCAGAGCACCAUUACUCCUCCUACCCAUCACCAAUGGCAUAAACCCAUACGGGUUACGAACCGCAACAAGCUUAUCCUCAGUAACAAACACCAUUGAAUAAGCACCCUCAAGCUUCUCACAAACAUCCACAAUCCUCAAAAAGAACGGCCUAGCUUUCGAUAUCGGAAUCAAAUGGAGAACAACCACAGUAUCAGAACUAGUAUUGAAAAUGGAUCCAUUAUCUUCAAGCUUAGCCCUCAAAGUAUUAUAAUUAACUAAUGUGCAACACCAACAGAACCAAACCUGUACCCAGCAACAAAAGGCUGCACAUUCUUAAGCAUAGAACUACCCGCAGUCGAAUAUCUAACAUGACCAAUGGCCAUAUCACCCGGCAAUUGAUCAAGUUUAGACUGAUUAAACACAUCAGAGACUAAACCAACACCAGUAAUAGACUGAAGAACUUUGUUAUUCACAGCAACUAUACCUGCACCUUCUUGGCCGCGAUGCUGCAUCGCGUGUAGCGCCAAAUAGCACAAACGCGAGGCCUCUGGGUCACCAUAGAUGCCCAUAACACCACACUCCUCACGGGGCUUAUCGUCGUCAUCAUCAUCAAAACUGCCAAAACCGUCAUCUGGAUAUUCUUUAUUUGUGGUGAAAAACUCAGAGAUGGGGUUUUUUGAUAGAACAGUGAAGUUAUUUUUGUGGAUUAAAGAUUGUUGUUUCUGAGGAAAAAAAGGGUUUUUUUGCAGGGUUUUGGAGAAAAGAGAAAGAUGGGUUUUUUGCGACGGCUUAGGGUUAACAGAUGGAGAUGGGUUUGAGAGAGGGCAGAUGUUGGCGUGCCUGUUGUGGUGGCUGCCAUUAAUGGCUGAAUUUAUUCUAUUCUAUUUUAUUUAUUGGGUUGCCUUGCCCUUGCUCAAAGAAAAAACAGAGGAGGUGUGUGGAGGGAGACAGUGGCGAAGGGUACUUUAAGUAGAGGGGAACUUGUUCUAGGUUUUUUUCUGGAAUUGUGAGGGAAUCUGAUCCUGGGUUUGUGCAUAUGAUUCAAUUACUUAUAGGUGAUACUGUUGUGUCACCACAAAUUCUAAUUGGGAAGCUUCAGCUGUCAAUUUUUUUCCAAGGGUUAAUUAGGUAGAACUUUCAUGUCGUCGAUUUUAUUUGGAGAUUCUAAAAGUAGUUUCCAAAUAAAGAGAUGGACCAAAAUCAACAAUGUGACAAAGAUACUUUAGAUUUUUUUUCCUUGUGGGACAUGAAAAUUGAUGCAUGUUCCAAUGCAUUGCUCUAUCAGAAUUGGAAUUAAACUUAGUUUGUAUUCUCCUAUUCCGAAAGCAAAACUUAUAAGUGAUAUUAUAAGAAGAAGAAAUUAAGAACCAUAACAAAUUUGAUGAUUCUAAUUUGCUAGAAAUAUUGCAAUCCAAAACUAAGAAAGUUAAAACCAAUUAUUAGAAGAAAAAAGUAGGACGGAAGCUCCCAGAAUAUUGUUAUGUGUUGUAUUUUUUCAGUUUGUAUUUCCCAAUCAAUAAGGAAAAGUAAGUACACACGUUACAAAAAUUUAAUAAAAAAGAUUGGAGGUGACAAAACCGUCAAUUUUCUAAUUAACUUUCUCUCCUUUCGAAUUUCCUGAGUUUGGUAGAGACUGCUUAAGUGGUGUAUCUAUUAUAAACAAGCAAAACUAUGUUGCAACAGUGGUACGGUACCACUGUUGCAACAGUGGUACGGUACCACUGUUGCAACCAGCUAUUGAAUCUAUAGUUGUAUAGUUACAUUAGCAAGAUCCAAUAGCUAAACGAAACAAUAGUACCGUACCACUGUUGCAAUAUAGCUAGACCCAUUAUAAAUACCUGAAGUCAAAGUUAAUGUUUUAAUUGUUAAGAAAAGUUCGAAGAAGAAAUUUUUGUAUAAGAGAAUUGGGUUUAAAUUUAGAAUUCUUUGGAAGGAAAUGAGUCUAAAUUCCAAUAAUAUAAUUCAGCUCUAUUUAUAUAUAUCAUUAGUUGGGUGAAAAAUUAAUUUCCCUCAUUUGAUGUGAUUUUCAUCAUUUAUUUUCAUAUGAUGAUAAUUUUUUGUUUAGAGUGAAGUUAUUGGCACCCUUUCAUUAUCCUUAUAAAACCCUACUUCAAAUAAAAUUACACUUAAAGACAAUAGAAUUAAAUAACAUAGUUUUUUUUUUCAAACAAAUUACUCACAUUCAUAAUUUUUUUUUCUUCUAAUUUUCUAUAGGUUGCUUUGCAUCUAACUAAAAUAAAUUGUACAAAUUUAGAAUAAUUUAUUAUUCUUUUUAAAUUUCUUAUUGAUUAAAUAUUUGUGUAUUUAAGAUAGCUUUAAAAUUAUAAGAUAAAAUAUAUAUAAUUUAAGCCAAUGAUUAACAUUCAAAAAUUUCUCUCUCAUAAAAGUUUUUAAUUUGUGCGUAGGGUAAUAAUAAAAUUGCAAAAGAAAUGAGAAAUAGCAUAACACUAUUUUGAGUUUAAACAAUAAAAAAAUUAAAUGAAAAAUUAGAAGUGUAUUUAAAAAAAGGAUAUUUUUAAAAGUAAAAUAAAUAUAAUUAAAAAAAAAGAGUUUCAUGAGGGGUGCAAGCAAUAGUUCAACUCUUUUGUUUAUAAGUUUUAAGAUGUUGGUAUCCGUAGCUUAGCUUUUCCCUAAUUAUUAUAUUAAAAUGCAACAACAAUGAUGAUCAACCCUAAUUUCAUGGAGGUCAAAGAUUUUGGUCAUGCCGCAUUAAUUAGUUCGGUCAUACUUUCUACAAAUUUAUUUACAUUUAAUAAUUUGACCAAGACUAAGGCGCCGCCUGGAGUCAUAGAAUUUUAUAUGUCAAAAAUGCAUUUCACUUCAAUUAAGCCAUAAAUGUCGUUUAAUAUGCUUAUUUUGUAUUUUUUUAAAAAGUUUUAUUAAUUUUUUUUGUUUUUAAAAAUAUCAUUUAUUUAUUUUUAAAUUUUUUUUUUUAAAGGUAAAUAAGUGGGUAAAGUUCAAAUUCAAUUUUUAUCCCUUACGUCAUGGCUCCUAAGAUUUGAACUUAAGUGACCAAAUGUAUAAUAAUAGGCAUCUCAAAUAUCAUUUCUAAUUAUAUGUAAUUUAUUAAGUGAUUGUUAAUCUUUACAAGAUCCAAGUGAAUUAAUUGUAUUAUUUCACUACUAAUUGAUGAGUAUCAUAUUAUUUGGAAUAACUUUUGAAUAAAAAAAUUGUGAUGGAUGAAAUAUUCUUUUGAGAAUUUAUUGACUUAUCUCAUUUAUGAUUUAUUGUUGCAUUUAAGUGAUAUUGCAAAUAAUUUUUCCAAUAAUAUUAUUGUUUUGACGAGUAAGUUUGGAGUAAAUAAUACAUAUGGCAAGUGUGAGGUUUGUUAUUGCAUAUAUUUUGUGGAUCCAUUUUAAAGCCAAAAAAAAGGCAUUUCAAUUCAUUAUGAUUCCAGAUAAUUUCAAGCCAUAUGUCAUUAUUGGGAUAAAAAUAAAGUAAAAUGAUUAAAACUAUUUUUAUGUAAUUUAUAAAAAUUAAUGAAGCAACUGCAAAAAUUUUUAAACGAAAAACAAUUGAAAUGUGUGUGGAAAAAGAAGAAAAAAAUAAGGCAUUUAAAUAUCUUCUUAAAAAAUACGAUUGAGUAAAAUCAUUUUAACAGAAUGCUCUUCGAAAUGCAAUUCCACAUUAUUUUUUUUAUUGCAGUGGGAUAUUCCAAAAUUGGCACAACUCAUUAAGAAUUCGGCAACUAAAAUUUUAUUUAUCACUCUAUGCAUUUGACAAAUUAAAAAGAAAAAAAAAUCAUAUAUCUUCUGUUCAAAAGAAACCUUGGUAAAUAUUGUAAAACAAAUUACCAAUUUUUUUAAUUUAUGCCAUUAUAUCGUCGCUAUUUUCUCGCCCACUUUCUUAAAAUAGAAUCAAUAUUUAUUGAUGGGUUGGGUUCCAAAGUAAGUACCAAUUCAACAAAAUGGUUUUAUAGCAGAAAAAACACUUGUAAGACAUUCAGAACACAUUUUUCAAUUUUGUCUUUUGAAAAUGAGUCUUGAGUUUCCACAAGCCAAGAAGAAUGGCUAAAAAAUGUAUGGUAUCAAAGAAAGAGAAACACACACACACACAGAGAUUAGUGAGGAGAUAUAUGAGUGUGUAAUUUGUAUAUAUAUCCCCAUUAAUUGUUGAUAGUCCAAUGGGUAUAUGCAAAAGGAAAAAAUUGGCUGUCCUUUUAAGACAAAAUUGACUGUCACAUGAAAAUGUUAGCACACUUGCCACGCAACGAAAAUAAAGAUUCCAAGAACAAACUUUAUAGUCCCCUUUCUGUCCAAACAUAUGCGAUAGAAAUUAGUGUAAACGACACUUGAAAUAUAUAUGUAGAUCCUCACACAAUUGAUUAAAUAUUUAGAGUAGGAUGGAGUGAUAAAUAGUUUCACAAAAUUAUUGGAAUUAACUACUUAAUACAUGAGAUCUAUCUCAUUAAGUAUAAAAGAUUGAGUGCUGCUUCAAAAGCAUGACGUUGCUGGCAACAAAUUUAACACAAAAAUUUAAUUAACUAUCCUAGUUGAGAUAAUAAAAUCUUGUGUUGAAAACAAAAGGUUUGAGGUUCGAACCUUCUCAUUCAAGAAAAUCAAGUCAAAAUAUUACAUCUUCCAGCACAUAUCAAAGAUUUUUUCAAAGGCAGACUGAUAAUUCAGGGUAAAACAAAAAAAAACACAAGGACUAUAUGCUAUUCAAGACAGGUAUACCUUGGACAUGAAGUCUGAAUCCAAAACAAGAAGCACCUAGCUGAUCUUUCACUUUCAAUUUCCAAAAUCCAACAAAAUCUUUGUCAAAAUAUCUGAUCUAGUCUCAUAUUAAGCACAUUCAUAGCCGUAUCAACAGGUUCAAAAUAUUUUCCCCAAAAUGAGACAGAGAUUCCACUGAAGUUGAGUUGUGAAUGUCCCAACGUUCUGUAAUUAUAUGGUUCAGGAUACCAUGCCUAUUAAUCUUUUUUUUUCCUUUUAAAAAAAGGAAGCCAUAUAAAUAAUGCUUAAAACAUUAUUUGCAACAAGGAACAAUCAUUUCAUGCUUUCAUGUAUUAGAAACUUUCCAAAAAUGCUAGCAAGAAAAUGAAAUGGAACUUUACCUAGUCACAGAAUAUGUACUGCUGUUAGCCCAAUUGUUAUGAAGUGGCUUCUGCAUCAGAAGAUUCCAGCUCCCACCAAACAUUGUUAUCUCUCUUCUGAAUACAAUCUGCAUCGUUGGGCAUGAGUUAUAUCAUUAAUGUCUGCAUCCUCACUUACAUCAUCCCAAUCAAGUGCUUUUUCUCCAUAUCUGGAUUAUAAGUCCACUCCAAUCUCUUCAAAACAUCCUAGUCCUUCCAUCACAACUGAUACGACUUCCUUCCUAAUUACUUUCCCAUUAAUAAAUCGCUCCAAGAAAAGAAAGCAUUAGAAAUUCUCUUCAACACCCCAUCACUCAUAUCCCCUACAACAACCCUCUUCAGACACCUCAACAUUGCCUCUUGAAAGACCUCCAUAAAAUCCGAAUCAUCCGACACAACCACCAAACACCCAAACCUUCUUUUGUCCACCAUAUCCACCAUAUAAUUCCUCAACAAAACAUCGGCAUCUUGUGGCUUAUCUAACACCAUCCUGACCCAAAACCAUGCUCUUUUUAACUCAUCUGCAAAACCAUAACCCACUUUUGGAGUCAAAAUUGCGCUUGCAGCCAUUUUAUAUUUUUCCAUCUUUAUUGAAUAGUUGCCAACCAAAAGCACUCUCACAUUCCCUCUAGCUGAUUCUAUUUGAUUCGACCUUUUCUUUUGUUCCUCAUGAAUUUGCCUAAAAUGAUUAACAAGUUUGUCAUUAUUAUAAAAUCUCCUUCCACAAUCACCAAUACAUACGGCUUAGCAUGCCUAAUUACACCCCUGAUUUCUAAUUGGUUAAACAAUUCUCUUUCUUUCUUUGCUCUCUUACAACUUGAGGCACAUAACUAAACGCGUGGCUAUUAGCAUUUGCCACCAUGCAUUUAACAACCCCAAAUGAAGAUAUUAAUUUUUUUAGUUUAAUUGCUGCUUCAAAAUGGGGUACUGAAUUUGGAUUUUGUUAUCCAAAUACCAAAAAUUUCCCACAUUGUGAUGGACAGUUUUUAGUUCUAAAGUUGAUGACUGGUUUUGCGAAUCAGGCUUCAAAUGAGAACUUCUAAACAAUAAGACAAAUGAGUUUUUGAGUUUCUAAUCUUGUAAACUUUGUUCUAUUGUAUAAGUUAUGAAAUCGCUGAAACAUCACUACAGUUACAGGUCUUUAUGUGUCAAUGAACUGCAGAAGCCGAUCUUCACGUUUUCACGCGGAAGUGCACAUUUGUGAGGCGUACUCUUCAUGCACGAGGACGUGCAUGGUCAUGGCGGUGGGAGAAUGUCACGGACCGCAAUCGUGGCACCCAAGAUAUGUGCUUGUAUGCUAAUGUCGAUUAUGGUUGUGCUGAUUGUUGGAGACGUGCUUCAGGGGCGUGCAUGUGGGGAAUAUAAUGGCCCUAGACUCUUUGGAGUUCAGGCAGGCCAACCCGGUUUAGUUUGGGGAGCUUGUUGCUAGUCGAGGACUUAACCUUGAAGAGGGGUCUAGGCAAAACCCUACACACACUAGUUGGGAACUGGAGUCGUUCUCCUAACAAGCCCAAGGCAGGGCGAAACCAGUCGAUAUUGUGCCACUUCCACUAGGCUUACUCUCGUAGUAUGGGAUGCGGGAGUGCCGCACGGGUUCAAAACCUCUCGUCUCGUGACACUCUGCUCAAAAGCUAUGCUGCAAGAUAUAACAUCUUUGCAAUGUUAUACUUUCUAAAAGUAAUAAGAAAUCAUUUUAAAAAAAAGUAAUAAGAAAUGAAACCAAGGGGUAAAUCGAACACCAAAAGAAAUUUAGUCGGCCAACCACAUUAUGUUCCCACACAGUCCACUAAUUAAGUUAAUAAUUAAAGGGAAUCAAAAUCUAAGAAAUCUCAUCUUCAAGCAGAAUACAAACACACCGCGAUUGAAAAUCACAAAAUCGUAAAAAGAAGUUGACUUGAAAAGGGGUGGGCCGCCUCAUUUGCCCACCAACCACACCACACACACAAACACUCCAGCACACACACAAACUCUCUAGCUUUUGUAAAAAACUCUCUUGUAUAUUCUCUCUUUGUCAGUAAUAAAAUCAUAUUCAGCCCUAUUGCUCUACUUCUCUCUAGCAUUUUCCUCAAGUGUUCUUGCUUCGCUAGUUUGAGGAGUGGUCUAGGCUUGCUUAGCAACUUGUUUGCUACAAGGACAUCUUGGUCACAAAACAUGGACAUGCAAGGAAAAAAAAAAUAUUGAUACGUUCUAAAAAUAAUACGCAUUCUUCUACAGUGAACCAAAAAAUUUAGGCUAAUGGUAGCAAGUGAAGGAAUUGUGAUUUCAUGUGCAUUUUGUUGACAUGAAGGUAAAGAACUUUUUUAUAGUUUAUAUUGUUUAAUAUAACAUUUGAAUUGCAAAAUAGGGGUACAAAAUAGAUACACGAAGGGAUAAAACUAAGCUGAUUAUGAUAAAUAUUGAAUUAUAAGAUUUAGGUUUAAUCAUAAAGACAUAAGUGGCCCACAAAGUCACGAAUUGAUAUCAUACACGAUGCAAGUUCAAACAACUGCAUAAUAAGUUGCCCCAAUCUAAACUAUUAAUCUAGUAACUAUUCUAGUCGAUGGGGGAUAAUUUUCCUAUCACCAUUUAUCACGUGCAAGCCAAAUUUGUUGCUUGGUUCUUACAUGUGGUAAGGUAAUAUGAAUCCACUUGUGCAUAAAUUUGGCUCCGAUAUUAUAUAGAAGCUUAUGACCCAAAAUUAUACUUAAAAGUUAUUUCAAGAUUUGAGGGUUGCCUCAAGGUAAUAUUAUUAUUAGCCUGGUAACCCUUUUUUUGGUUGAUAUGUGAUAUUUUCCCUAUAACUUUUAUUAAUCUUUAUGCCUAUGUUUUGUCAUUUAUCCCAAAAUAUAACAUUAACAAAAGUUCCAAAAUUUCCUUCAAGAGAUAUACUUGAGACAAGUAAUUUGUGCAAUAACUUUGUGAAUUGAUGAGCAAAUUCAGAGAAAAGAAUAUAUGUGCCAAACGUAAUGUUUAUUAUUGUGUUUAUUUGUAGAGCUAUUUAAAGCCCCAAAAAAAAAAAAAAAGCACCGGUCCGCUAUUAUUUCAAAUAAGUUCAAGCCCUAUGUCAUUAUUGGUACAAAAAUGUAUUAGAAUGGUUAAAAACUAUUUGUAUUUAACUUAUAAACUUAGGAAAUUAUCAACUGUCCACCCUUAAAUUGCAUUGUUAUAAAAAAUAUUACAACAUUUUCAGGUUGUAUCAUUCAUCUACCAUAAAUUUACAAUCUGCAUCAUUUAUCCACCAAAUCAUUAACUUUGUUAAAAAGUGAUAGACGUCACAAGGGUAAUUUAGACAUUUAACACACACAAAAAUAAAAGAGAAAUUAUCUAAGCUUACCAUGUUAUCAAAAUUGCUACAAAAUUUUAAAUUUAUUCAAUUUUCCAAUCUAAGUUUAUGCCUCCAAGAUGUUAAUUGCAGUUUGUAAUUAAUGAGUUCAUAAGGAUAAUUUAGACACUCAAUAUGCAAAAUAAAAAAUAAAAUAAUGGCUUAAAACAUUAAAACAAAAAACUUGAUAUUCAAUUAAAUACACAUAAACUCUAUUUUUUUCUUAAUUAAAAAUAUUCUAAUUUUUUUUCUCAAUUUAUCAUCAUAAAUUUACAUUAAUAAACUAAAUCCACAAAUUACCCUAAUUCAUAAAUGCCCAAUCAGUCUAAUAGUUUACUUCGAUUUCAUAAUUAAAAAAGCUAAAUUUAUUAUAUUAGUUAUGGUGCAAAGUCAAAAAUGCCCUUAAAUUCAAGGGUAAAAUAACAUUUUAUUUAAAUUCUAUAAAUUAUUCUAACAAUGUUAACAUUUUGGUGGACGGUUAAUAUAAAUUGCAAACUUAAAAUAGAAAAUCAAAUAAAUUCAAAUUUUCAAACUAUUUAGGGCAAAUUUAGGAUAUAUGGUUAAUAAUUUUCCCAUGUCUUUUUACAUUGGUUGAUACAAGUUACAAACUUAAAAUAGAAAAUCAAAUAAAUUUAUAUUUUCAAACUAUUUAAGAUAAACUUAGGGUAUAUGGUUAAUAAUAUUCCUUUAUCUUUUUACGUUAAAUUGAGUUUCAAAGGUAAAAUGAUCAAUUUAUUAUAAUUCUGUUAAUUUUUUAGUGGAAACAAAUGAUAUAAUAGACGAAUGAUAUAAAUUGUAAAAUUAAGGUGCAUGAAUGAUACAACUUUAAAAUAUUGUAGUAAUUUUAAUAAUAGAACAAUUUAAGGGUGGAUUGGCAAUAAUUUAAACUUUAAUGAAGCAGCUAAAAAAAAUUUUUAACAAAGAAAAAUAAUUGAAUGCUUUGUGAAACCAAAAAUAAUUGAAAUGCUUUAAGAAAAAUAAAGGAAAUUAAAUAUCUUUAUAAAACCAUAAUUGAGUAAAAUCAUUUUACAAAAUGCUCUUUCAAAUGCACAUUCCACAAGCCAGGGAGAACGGGUGGCUAACAAAAAUCUCACUUUUUAUGAGUUUAUAAAAUCUCACUUUUGCAGAAUCCAAAAAUAGCCAAUACUAAUCACACAAAAAAUAAAAAUUAUUGCUGUCACGACAUUACACACUUUCUUCGCGGUUUAUAAAGCUAGAACAUUUUGAAGUUCCUCAAUACAAAAUGCGUGCUGCUACUAAAUUGGCCCAAUUAAUGCCCAUCGAAAAGGCCAUCAAUUUAGCCAUCAAUUUUGUCAAAAUUUCAACAAUUAAGAAACAAUGAUCGCAAACGGAACAUGUGAAUUUUGAAGUUGAAGAAAUCUUGAGAUACAUACAACAAAGCCUUGAAACUUUAUUCUUCACAAUUUGAGCACGCACUAAAUAUUAAACAAGUAUAGAACAAAGCUUAUUUUUAGCUUCUUGUGCGAACUGAACACGCUGAAUGAAGCUUUUUUUUUUUUGGAUUUUUGGAAUUUUUUAAAGUCAUUUAUGUUCGCUGCCAUCUUUUUCUUCGCUGGCGUCUUCCUCUCGGGGCUGGCAUCUGCCUCGUCUGUAGUUUGCUGUGCCUAUAUAUCCAACCAAUAAAUUGGGCAUUAAAUACGAAUGAAUGAUGAAUAAAAUGAUUAAAAAAAAACAGAGAAAAUUAUAAUAUAACACAUAUAUAUUGAAAGAGAAAUUUUGAUUUUAGGAUAGAUCAAUUAGCUAUCACAAACGAAAACAUGAACCAACUGUGUAUAGAGUCAAUUAACUAAAGUUCUCAAGAGUUGACCUGUGCUCCUGAAUUCUUGGACUCAUCUAUCUCCUUCUGAAUUUCCACGAAGCUUGGGACAAUUACGAACAACUUUAUGGGAUGCAGAUGGAAAUGGGAUCUGAUAACCCGCAGGCCAAAAGUUGGUGAGGUUUGGUAAGUCUUCCAGUAUCAAGUCCCGAAGUUCAUUCAUAACAAUUUCAUUGUAAUCCGUGACGUCUGCUCCAUCUUUAUGCCAGAAUACUUCUUCUAAUUCAUCAUUAGCUGCUAUACAUAGGUGCUUCAGUUUUUGAAGACUUUGAGCUAUGCUGAUAUGAAAUAGAUGCUUUAGUUUGGGGCAAUCAAGGACAGCGAUAUUUGUGAGUUUUGGGAAACAAACAGGUUGGAGAUGAUCCUCAUCCUCAUCCUCAUCAAUGAUUUGCUCUAAUUCCUGACAAUUCACAAUAGAUAACACCUCCAAUUGCAACAGAUUUCGAGCAAGUGUUGAUGAGAAGAGACGUCUCAGCAUAGUGCACCCGUCCACCCUUAAUCUGGUAAGACUUUGCAGGCUAAAAUUAUGCGUGGGACCUACGUGAUAUAAUACUUGCAGUUCUCGAAUGUUUUCCAACCACAACGACUUCAAACAUGGGAAUAGUUUAUUUUCUUGUCCCUCAGCGAUAAUAGCUUCCACUUGAAAUACCACCUGUACUCCAAUUUCCAAAAUAUUCAAUUCUUCCAAAUUUUUUAAGCCGUGCUUCAACAGUGCUGGAAUCGUGUCACUCAAAUGGGAACAAUUGGCCACAUCUAGAGUAUUUAAGUUCUGAGACAAAUAAAUAAAUAACUUGAUGCAAUUAAAAUCUAUUAGCAGCUAGGAUUAUCACAUGAUAAGUGAUGAACACCGCAAAAAUAUCAUAAUACAUAUGUAAACUAAUAAAAUAAUUAAAAAGUAAUGGAUUUAAAAAAAAAUGAAAUUAGUUAAAAGAGAUCAUGUGAAGUGAUAUAAAUGUGACAUUAUAUUGUUUGAGAAAAAUUAGUAUUCUAUUAAUUUCUAUGGAUUGAUCAACUAAUUAAUUGAAUUUGAGUAAUAUAAUAUACACUUCAGUAGUGUUUGCAUCAAUUCUUUCUAAACCGAAAUGAGAUAUGACUUUCAUUUGAAAAAUGAUUUUAGGCCCUAAAAUAAAGGAAUUUCCUUAAGAUAUUUGAGCAUUAUUAUUAUCAUCAUCACAUCCACGAUCAUCAUCAUCUCCAUAGGACCAAAUAAUUAAUGGCUGAUCAUAAAAUUUAUUGCUAAACUAUCAUUUCGAGUAAAAUUGAAGGAAAAGAAAAAACAUAAACACAAACAAACAUACCUCUUUGAGAUAUUGCAAAUUGGCUUUAAGUUCAGUACUGUUGAUGGUCAAGUUGGGACAGUCAUGAAGCUGUAACUCUUCCAAUGCUGUCCAAAUUGAACAAUAAUUUUCUGAACAAAAGCUCUUGAGUUCUGGGAGUUCUUGAAGUGUUAAUCUUCUCAACAAGGGGAGGGCGAGCAUCGUAUUUCCACCUUCGACACUUAUUUCCCCUUCAUUGUGAUCAAACUUUGCUUCGACAAUACAUUCCAGUCUCUUGCAAAAAGUCACACUGAGACUUUUAAGCUGCUCCAAACUUCUAGCUUGUGACAACGUGAAGAUAUAUGUCAACUUGUUGCACCUUUGCACAUUCAAUUCUGUGAGAGUUUGGAGGCUGAUCACAUGUUGGGCGGGCGCCUUCCAUAUCCACUUCAGUUCUGGUAAUUGGAACAUAUUUAACUCUACUAAUCUUGAGAGACUCUUUCCAUGCAGCGACUUAGAGGCAUCCAUUAUGCAUUCUAAAUCUUCGCAAUCGCGAACAUCAAGACAAGUCAACUCAUUUAAGCCCCUUUCAUCUAUGCUUGGCACAAUAUUAUGACAACCUAUUAACCCCCUCAAACGAAGAAAUUUCAGAUUUUGAUACAAUGCUGAAAAAAUAACGAGCGAGGUCGCCACUUCAUGAGGGUAAUUCUCAAUGAUUAAGCUCCUUGUUUCAUCACCAUGUUCCAUGUCAUGAUCAGAUAAUUGACCAUUACCGAUGACGUACCUUUGCAUUUUCGGGAAUGUAAAGUCUUUUGGAAGACAUAUAACUUGGGAGUUCAACUCAGCAAGCCUAGCAUUACUUUCUUCUGAACUCAUCUCUUCAACCUCCCAAUCUUUUAUCCGACCAUAAAAUUCUUCCAAUUGAGGAAAUUUUUUUAUUGUAAUGGGAGAAACAGAACCAGUAUCAAUAUAUAGAAGUUUCAAUCUACCAAGUUCAUCCGACGACAAUUCUUCAGGAAUUUCAAUGGGAGAUGACUGGAGAUAAAGAAGUUCAAGUCUCUUCAACUUUCCAAGAAAAAACGCGUCACUCACAUCACACCGAAUCAACUGCAGAACCUGGAGGUUGGUGAGGCUCUGAAGCGAUUUAAGUGAAAGAACUCCACCUAUUAUAGUGACAACUUUCAAUGCUGGCAUCCCUUUAAAAAAAUGUUCUGGAACUUGCAAUCGGUGGUCGUAUUCAGGAUUCUCCAAUCGCAAAAUAUGAAGGUUAGGGCAUACCAAACUACUAGGAAGCUCUUCUACUUUAUUUCCCAUUACAGAGAUUCCUCUGUAUUGUUCCAGGCCUUCUUCCAUUGCCCGUUCUGCCAAUCCAAUGCCAACUUUACUAAAAAAUUUCUUCUCCACUAGUACUUCUGAGCCUAUCCAUAUGGCUACAUCACGAACUAUGUCAUGCAUUUUCACAGAUCUGUCAUUACCAGUGUCUAACAGUAGUGAAGCAGCUUUGAGUCCGUCAAUUGUUCCAAGCAGUAGGCUUCUGGUGUUCUCUAUUGACUCAGCUUGAUACCAAGUCAACCCUACUGCAUAUCCAACCAAAUCCUCCAAAUUAAUCUCAUAAUCUUCUGGAAAUAGCGAACACAACAAGAAGCAUAACUUGGAAUUGUCAUCAUUCAAUUCGUCGUAACUAAAUUUGAGACAACCGUAAACGUCUAAGUUCUCCUCAUCAAUACCUUCUAUUGCAUAGAGUUUUGCAGCCUUUAGGUUAUGUAGAGCUAGGUUCCAUUCAUUAAAUCUUUUUCCUCUUAGUGCACUUCCAACAGCUUCAAUAGCUAAAGGCAGCCCCUUACAUUCUCCAGCAACUUCUUUGGAAACAUCAUUCAAGGUGGAGUCAUUUACAUUAAUUUUGGCAUUUUUUCGCAGUAAAGCCAAUCCUUCUUCUGGCGUUAGUGUACUAAGUGGAAUCUGUGUGUCACAACCCAAAGAAUCACAAACUGACUUUUUGCGAGUGGUUAGAAGGAUUUUGCAACAAUUAUCUCUACCACCGACGGUAAUACCUAAUUUUUUCUCCGAGUCGAGUGGUUUCCAAACAUCAUCAAGGAUUACGAGGAUUUUGCUGCUUUUACUCUCAGAAAACAUCAAGCGCAAUCGGUCUGCUCUCUCUUUUUCAUCUUUCUCAUUUAGUGCCCAGCCUAACGACUUUGCCAACUCACCUUGAACCUUUAUUAUAUCUAGAUCCUGAGACAUAGUGGCUAUCCCCACCUUAUCGAAAAGCUUUUGUUGCCGAAGUUGAUUGCCCACAUAUUUUGCCAGGGUUGUCUUUCCUACACCACCGAGACCAUGCAAUCCCACCAUCUUUGUGCUCUCUUUUUUCAGUGCGUCAAUGAUCUGAUUGCAAGCGGAUUCUGUGGUCUUGAAAAUAGAAGUAAAAUGCCUUGGCAAACUUAAUUCUCUUUCUAAUGGUAGAGGUUUAGGAGAGGCAACUGUGUUGAAUUGGCUGCAGCCUUGUAGCAGAUCGGACAACUUGCUAGUCUUCUCUGAUGCUUUUCUGCCCAGACGAUAUCGGCAACACCAAUUAGGACACAAUCCAUGAAGACUACUAUCCUUUUCAUCUAUCUCUGCUUUCAACUUCCAAACAUCGUCCAAUUCUUCGACUCCAUUAUUCAGCCACUCCAUUACAUUUUCAUCGACUACUAUGUCGGGGCAUUUUCGCAGUUCAUCGUCUAUUCUUGUUUUGAUGCCAUCUCGUGCCUUCUUCAACUUAGUUUCUUUAUCCUCAAGUUCUUUAACAAUGCUGUUGAAACAGAACAUAUAGCGAGCUUGGUCAAUGGCUGCAUUCACCAAUAAUUCUUCAACCUUUGAUUUUAAAGCUUCCAUGCUAUUUAUCUGCAAAUAACGAAGUUGAUCUCAGCACACUAUUAGCGAAACAACAAGGCUUGAUCACCAGACAAAAUGAGAACGUUUAAUUACCUCUUUCUGCACUGUGAAUGCACGUCUAUUAACACCAGCUUUGACCAAUAAGAGCAAAAUGCAGAGGUGGGGCCUUAAGAGUUUCGGUGGCCUUUAGCUGCAAAACGGCAGAUGACAAAUAAGGUGAACGUUCCUAGCAAACGUGAUUUACGGUGAAUUAUAUUCAAAUUAGAUUAUUUUAAAAGUUGGUAAAUUAUUUAUCACUCUAUCUUAAUGAUACCUUAUUUGGGAUGAUAAAGAUUGGGGUAAAUUCCCUUUUAUUCUCACAUGUUUAUAGUAUUUAUAUUUUUAUAAAUUACCUAAAACAUCCAUGUAACUUACUUUUAUAGCUAUUGAACAUAUCAUUUCAAAUAUAAAAUACUAUUUCUGUCUAAUAUAAAUUAAAAAUCAAACAAAUCUAUCAUGCAAUAAAUGAAAAGUAAAGAAUAUUAAUUAGGUUUUAAUGGAAACAAAUAUAAAACAUAGAGGUUUUGAGUAACUUUUGUAUUUUUUUUAAUGUUCAAUUUAGAAUUGAAUAAUUUGCAUAAUGAAAUUUUGAGGUUUCUAUAAUUUAUAUGAAGAUAAACUGCGAAAUAAGUUUAUAUGCCGAAAUUAAAAUAGUUAUAUAUUAGCAAUCAUAUAAUAAUAAAAAAUUUUAAUAAAAUUUAUUUAAAAAUUGGCCAAUUGUGUUUCAUGAGUAAAACAGAGAGCAUAAUGGACUUAUGUUGGGUCUUGGGAUUGAAAGACUAAGGGUAAGGGGCCGGGAGGUAGGACGGUAGGAAAAUUAAUUUUUGUUAUUUUUAAAGUAUGGUCAACAUUAGUGACUUGGAGGUGAUUGCCGUUAAUCAAUUACCUUUAACUUAAGAAUUAAUACAAAUAAAUGGAAAAAAUAAUUUAAUGAAAAUUAAUUUAAUAAAAAAUUGCACUAAAAACUUAGAACUCAAAUUCUCGAUCAUUUUAUCCGUACGUUUUAAUCCGACGCUCAGAAUUGGCAUAAAACAAACUAAUAUAGCCAUUGGAAAUAAAACAAACAUCAAAUCAAGAGCCUAUGAAACAAUAUUAUCUCGUACCUUCUUCCUUAUAGAUCCUCAAUUGCUGUUGAAAGCUGCAUAUGACAAUAUAAAUAAACAUGAGAUCAAAACAUCAUAGGAUAUAUCUAGCCAAUUAACAUCAUAUAUAACUCCUUGUUCUCAGUCAAAUCUUUCAUUCUUAGAUUAAAAAAAAAAUGAAAUAAUAACUGUUAAGUGAUAUAGGAAGCAAAAGUAACACACCGAAAUGAAAGCAGCUAGUUCACAGAUGACAGAUGCGGUGACUUCAAGAGCAUGAAAAAUGAUUAAACUUUGGUAGAAGGGUCUGAGCCGUGUUUCACAAGUUGCUAUUGACUUCGUGGCUUCGCUUUUAUUUAUUAUUAUUAUUUUUUUAAAUUCUAUAUCAGUGAGAAUUGAAAUGUGGAAAGUGAAAUGAUACACAUGCCUUAUCAUCUAUCAUGAGGGGUGAUUUGGUAAAACCGAUUUAAAAUAAAAAAAGUUUAAAAAAAUUUAAAAAGAUGCUUUGUGUCUGACUGCUUGUAUUUGGGGUAUUUUUCGGGUUGUUGAGACUUGAGAGUGAGUUUAAUUAAAUAUAAGAUUUUCAUUUUUCUUAUUAUAUUUUUCUCUUUAGAAUGAAUUUAAAUCUCAUUCUUAUUAAAUUCAUUUUUUUAAAUGAAAAUAGAUUUCUCUCCACACAUUUGAGAUAUAUUUUAAAAUUAAUGUUAAGCAUAUCUCUAAAUUAUAUUAUAAAUAUUUUUAUUUAAAAUCUCAACAGAUUUCAUAACACACAGAGAGAAAUACAUAUAUAUGUUGUAAUGUUUUAAUGAUGGAUCUCUAAAGUUAUCAAGUUAAAAAAUAAAUAAAUAAAUAAAAAAUACACACUUCAACUUAUUAUAUGAUAAAAUAUAGUAUAUUAAAGUGAGUAUUUUUUGUGUGAAAUAAAAUUAAAGUGAGUACUAUUACCACCUCACAUCUUAUAAAUUCUAGAAAAUAAUCAAGGCUUGACAUACUUUUAUUUAUGCAAAAGCAUAAGAAAAUAAUUCAAAGUACUAAUUAGUGUACUAUUCCUCAAAAUUCUAGAAUAGAUUUGUUAGUUCUCUUUAGCCAUAGAUUGGUCCGUGAUUGGCACCGCAAUAGCUCAUAAUCACCUCAACAAUUGUUCCACACGGCCCAACAUGACACAUUGUAAACUAGUCUACAAGAAUUUUUUGAGUGGCUUUCUAGCAAUAUUCUUAGAGAAAGUGUUUAGUAGUUUCAAAUCUUCUUUUUUUAACACAAAUGUUGGCAUGAUAUUCUUAAUAUAUUUCUAAAAUCAAAAUAAGAUGCAUAGAGGACGAUAAUUUUAUUUCAUAAUUGAAUUUUUUGCAAAGAAAGUUUGAACAUGAGAGUGAUGAGAGAUGAGAAUAUUGAUGAUGGUGUGUACUUUGAAUGGAAAAAUAGAUUGGAAAUAUAUAUAGACAUAUUAAAAGAAAAAAAUUUGGUCUAUUUCAUAAGAGAAAUAAAAAAUUAUAAACGCGGGUGUUAAAAUGUAUUCAGAAUUUAUAAAUUUUUAUAAAUAUGAUAAUCAUCAGACCCUUAUAAAAGUAUAACAAAAAAGUUUAAAAUUUUUUAAUAAAUGUAGAAGAGAUGAACGAAGAAAUCAUCCACCAGUUCAGAAUUAACAAUCAAAGAUAUGAGGACUUGAUUGAAGAAAUGAUGAAAAAUAAAAGGAAACUGGGUUGGUUAGCGGGACCCUAAUAUUAAUGGUGAAAAAUAAAAGGACACUGGGUUGGUUGGCAGGACCCUAAUAUUAAUGGCAAAAAAUAAAAGGACACUGGGUUGCUAUCAAUUUCGAUCGUGUAGGUUCAUAGCCGGGGAAGUAAUUGGGCACAAAUAUCUCGGAUGAGAAAUAACCAUUUUAUCCCGCAACCAUAUGUUUAUGGCCUCUAAAAAUUUUCACCUCUUUCACUUUCUGGAACCCGUGCUUUCUGGCACAUGCACAAAUACUUGGUUGCUACUUAUAGAGCGUUUUUGGAAUUGCAACAACAUGGUGCUCUUUGAUAAUUCAAAAAUCCAAUAUAAUUUAUAGAGAAUUACAGAAUUGUGGUACGUGAUAAUUUGCUGAUGCAAUGAGGCGCCGAAAUUCUUAUACAUGUGAUUUAAGUUAUAUAUGUAUAAUUAAGUAAUUAGAAUAUACUAGUUGGGGGUAUUUGUGUCCAUGAAAAUUUACAGCUGGUUGUUGACAUUACACUGCGGGUGUGUAAGUGUAAUCAUGGAUCUGACCAUUCAAAUUUAAAAAAUGGGGGUCCCGCUAGCUUACGGAGUUAGUAAUUAUUAGAUAUGCAUAUAUGCUCCCAUACGAUAAUCUUAUCAUAAAUUUGAAGGAUACGAGGACUUGAUUGAAGAAAUGAACGAAUAUUUGAAUUAAAAAAAAUUUUAGAAUAAAGACAAGUAUUAAUUUACUAUGAAUGCAACUUACAUAAGCUGUAAGUUAGCGGGACACUAUUAAAUCACAAGCAAAAAGCAAUCUGACUUCUUCUUGAUUCCGUAAUUUGGCUGUCAAAAUGUAAUCUAUAAAAAUUACGAUACCUCGAUUCAAAAAAAUGUUGUUUCUGAUGAAAUAAAUGAAAAUUGAACGUACAAUCUGCCACGAACACUGUUUAAUUAACCGUUUAUUUCCCCUUAAAUUUUUAAUCUCAAUGAAACAUAGAUCUAAUGGGAACUACAUAUAUAUAAAAAUACUAUAGAUUGAAGAAGUUGAAUUUUUCUUGUGUGUUAAGUAUUUUUAGUUAAUACGAAAGGAUUCUAGCAAGUUAAUACAAAAGUAUCAUAAAUUCAUAGUAGUACAAGAGAUUUUUUUUUUCUUUUGAUAUUAAGAGUUUUCGAGAUAAAAAAAAAAAAAUAGGUGAAAGAAGAAGAUGAGAGAAGAAAAAAUAUUAAGAAUAGUUUUGGCAUUUUGAUGCGUUUUAUAGUGUAAAAUCUAUAUUUUAUAGUAUAAAAAGGUACACCCAUAAUUUAAUGAUAAAAUUUUAGGAAAAAAUUGCACUCGUCAAAAAAAAAAAAGAAAAGGCUCAGCUUAGCCCAAAAAUUUUUUAUUAAUCGUCUAGUCGCUAAUGUAAUCUCUUUUUUAUGAGAUUCUUUGGCGUUUUAGUUUAGUCCAUUGUUAGCAAUCCUAAUAGCUUUUAUGUGCAUCUAUUUUUAUUUGGAAUAUGUUUCAAGCUUGAAUAAAAUCUGCGGGACAACUGGUAAGUAAUAAAGCUCAUCAUUUUUUUAUUUUGAAAAUAAAGGGAAUCACUUACACUUAGCAUGAUAUUAUUUUUGAUAAGUCAUUUUUUUGGUAGAUUAUUUUUUCUAACACGCUCUUAGAUUUAGUGAAAAUAAAUUGUAUACUUUUAAUGAAGAAAAGUAAAGAUCAACAAAAUAUUUUGUUCUUUGCGACAACUUUUGCGUUCUCAAGUGCGCCUGAUACCCUUUUUUUUUUAACAUGGGCCCACGUGCCAUGUUUCCAUUUCAAGUUUCAUAAGUUAACAGUAGAAAUGGGUUCCACAGAUAAUUUAUUUUAUAAUUUUUUUUAAAAAUUACUAAAAUAUAAUAAAUAAGGUAAUAAUAAUUAAUAAAAAAGUAGAUUUUAAGAUGGAAAAAUCUUUUUGUGUACUUAAUAAAAAGAUGAUAAGAAUGGGAUGCUUUUAGUUUACAUUCUCAUAGCUAUUUAUACUGAAAAAUUACAUCAAAAUUUAAUUAAUAAAUCAGUGAACUGCAGACUUAUUAAAUUUAAGCUAUUUUAAUAAGUCAUAAAUAUACUAAAUUAAAAUAGUAAUAAACCCAUUGUUACACAAUACUCUCCAUUGAGUGUUCACCAUUUUAAGAUAAUCAUAAAAUGACACCGGAAGUGCUAUUAUAGCUGUCUCAUGGAAAGCCUUCACCAAUAAAAAGGAGGAUAGAGCACAUACAUCCAGUUUUUAUACCCUUUGAUGCUCAGUCGACACGUGCCAAUGCUAUAGACUAGCUUUUCGAAGGUUGAAGUGGGUAUGCUAUUAGUAAAAAGACCUGCAAAAUUAUAGUGUACCUAUUUGACAUCAACUUUUUUUAUCUGCUGGAGCUUAUGAUUAUAGAAGAUCUUCGGUAAGAUGUGUUUGAUUUUAUCUUCUUUUAUAUAUCCUCCUCUAACUUGUGUAAUAGUAGUAAACCCCUGCCCGUUUUUAUUUCGUUUAGUAUUUUCUAAAUGGCCGAAGGAAAAUUGGUAAAAACUCAUUUAAAAAUUAAAAAAAAAAAUCAAAGAAAUUCAAGAAGAAGCUUUGUAUCUGUCAUUUGUAUUUGGGGUAUUUUUUUGGUUGUUAAGUGAAUGAGCUUAAAUCUAAAACAUUUAUUUAUAUAUUUCUUGUUGGAAAGAAUUUAAAUUUUAUUCUUAUUAGACUUAUUCUCUUUAAACAAAGGUAGAUUUUUCUCUAUGUGUUUAACGUGUAUUUUAAAAUUAAUGUUCAACAUAUCUUUAGAUUCUAUUAUAAAUAUUCAUAUCUAAAAUCUCAACAGAUUUCAUAAUAUAUAAAUGUAUAUAAAGAGAGAGAAUAACGUUUCUAAUAAGAAAUUUAUUAAGUUAAAGAAUAAUUCAAAAGAUAAAUUUGUAUUAAACCCAUUUAUAUGAUUAAUUAAGGUUUUAAACAAAUUUUGGACUUGUUCUAUUGUAGAGCUUAAAUUCAAAAUGGAAGAGUGAAGAAGGGAAAAAGAAGACGAAUAAAGAAGAAAAGAGGAGAACAACUUAUACAAAAUAGGGAGAACGAAAAAGUGAAGGGCAGAAAAAGAAAAAGAAUAAAGAAGAAAUUAAUCAUCGCUGAUAUGAAAAUAAUUCCUUCUUCUUUAUUGUUCUUAGUGGUUCUACUUUUUUUUAUUGGAUUCUAAAUUUUUGUCGUAGAUGGAUUAUAAGAACUAGAAAAUUAUAAAGAUAAUUUUUUAAUUAUUCGAUUAAUUAAUUCCAGCAGAAGACAAGAAAUUGAUUCUGCUUCGUUAGAAAGCCAUCACAUUCUAUACGCAAUUGCAAAAAGUAUAUAUUUUUGUCUGUUUUAGACAAGAAUAAAAGGGAUACCUGGUAUUGCAAAUCUAGACACGUUUUAGUGCUUUAUGUCCGAAUGAAUUCUUUCUUGCAACAAUAAACUUGGCCGAUCAGGAUUUGCCGUUUACAUAUGUAGGUCCUGUUGGUUCUGUAGUAGGACUCAUAAAUUUUUAUUUUUAAUUUACUGAAUCCAUAAAUUUAAAAUAACGGUGCAACUCCUGAGGAUGACAAUGGGGCGGGUGAGGUCUUGGAGUCCUGAAAAAAUUUAUAUCUGCAUAUUAAAAAAUGUGGAUCCGAAUAAGAAAAUCCGCAUGAAUCCGAAUGCAAGUGCAUUUGGAAAAUCGGAUAUCGAGAUCUGGAUAAAAAUUUAUUUCAAAUUAAAAAUUAAAUUAAAUAUAUAUUAAAAAGUAAAUGAAAAAUUAAGAAAGUAAAUUUUAUUUGUAGAUUUAUGAUGUCAUUGUAUAUUAUUCAUGUUGAAUUAUUAAUUGUUGGAUUAUGAUUGAAUUUUAUUUGAUAUUAUUGGGUAAAUUAUUGAAUUUCAUUUUAAAUUAAAAAUAUUUAUUAAAAAUUAAAUUUUAUUUGUAGAUUUAUGAGAUUAUUGUAUGUUAUUCAUUUAAAAUUUUUAAUUAUUGAAUUAUGAUUGAAUUUUAUUUGAUAUUAUUAGGUAAAUUAUUAAACUUUUAAAUUUUAUAUUAAAUUAUAAGCAGUAGGAAAUUAUGGUAUUCAGAACAUGUAUACCUUCGCACAUGAAGCUUGAGUCCAGAACAAGAUGCAGCUAGCCAAUCCUUCAACUUCCAAAACCCCACAAAACCUCUGUCAACAUAUCUGCUCUACUUCAAUAUCAAGCACAUUCAUAGCGGUAUCAACAGCUUACAGCUCCAAAAAUAGUUUGAGAUUUCAUUGAAGCUAAGUUGUGACUUGUGACUGUCCAAAUGUUCUGUCACACGAAAUGAUUAUUCUUGUAACACAAAUCCAAUAGCAUGCAAUAUAAUCUACUCUCUAACACUGUGCAUUAGUAAAAUAAAACAGAGUAAAAAGAGAAACCAUGCCUGUGAAUCUCUUCUCCUCCCCCCACCACCCCUUUUUUUGGUAAAGUCUAUCAAAUGAAAAUGCAGCAUGACCACAUUGGCCACUACCACUGCCAUUACUCCUUCAACUGUGCCCUUUGUUGCAAGAAAUCUUCAAGUGAAAGAUGGAUUAUAUAAUUAAAGAUUCCAAUAGAAGCAGCAAAGGUUGCCUUCCACUAGCCUAUCAGAGAAUAUGCUUUCUAUUUUCCUAGUUUUAAUCAAAAUUUUGCAAGAUUUAUUUAUGGAAAACUUGGACAAAAUUUUAUGUAAGAUACCAUAAAGCCAAACACAAUCUUUUUAAUUCUCAGCAGCAACAUUUAAAGUAAAAAGAUGGAAGCCAUAUAAAUAUAACUAUAUUUGGUACGAGGAACAAUUAUUUCAAGCUUUCAGAAAUGCUAGCAAGAAAUUGUAAGAGAACUUUACCUAGUCACAGAAUAUGUCAAGCAUACUACCACCAACUGUCUUUAGCACAAUUGUUAUGAAGUAGCCUCUGAAUCGGAAGAUUCAAGCUUCCACCAGGCACAAUUAUUUUCAUUCUCCAUACAAUCUGCAGCAGUGGCAUGAGUUAUAUCAUCAACAUUUGCAUCCUCACUCUCAUCACCCCAAUCAAGGCUUCUUCUCCACCUCUGGAUUAUAAGUCCGCUUCGACAUCUUCAAACAUCUCGGUCCUUCCAUUUGCAAACAACCGAUAUGGCUUCUUUCCUUGCCUUCCUCAUCGUUUAUAUCCCCCCAAAAAAGGGUCUUUAGACACCUCAACUUUGCCUUCUGCAAAACCUCCACAAAAUCUGAAUUAUCCAACACAACAGCUAGACGCUUGAUCCUUCUUUUGUCCAUCAUAUCCACCGCAUGAUUCCUCAACAAACAUCUGCAGCUUGUGGCUUAUCUAACACUGUCCUGACCCAAAACCCCACUCUUUUCAACUCAUCUGCCAAACCAUAACCCACUUUUGGAGUCAAAAUUGUCCUUGCAGCCCUUUUAUAUUUUUCCAACUCCAUUGAAUACUUGCCACUCAAAUGCACUCUCCUACCUCUAGCUGAUUCUACUUGAUUCAACCUCUUCUUUUGUUUACACUCAUGAAUUUGGAUAAAAUAAUUAACAAGUUUGUCAUUAUUAUAAAAUCUCCUUUCACAAACACCACAUAAAUAUGGCUCAGCAGGCUUAAUUACACCCUUGCUUUCCAAUUGGUUAAACAAUUUUUCUCUUCUCUUUGCUCUCUUACAACUUGAGGCACAUAACUAAAUGCAUGGCUAUUGGCAUAUGCCACCAUGUAUUUAACAACCCAAGUGAAGAUAUUGAUUUGGGGGUUUGUUGUCCAAAUCCCUAAAAAUUCACACAUUGCGUUGGACAGUUUUUAGUUCUACAAUUAAUGAUACGUUAUGUGAAUUAAGCUCCAAAUGAGAACAUCUAAACAAUGAGACAAAUGGGCUCUAGGUUUCUAAUCAGUAAACAUCGUUCAGUCGCAUAAUUUAUGAAAUUUUUGAAACAUCACUACAGCUACAGGUCUUUAUGUGUCAAUGAACUGCAGAAACUAAUGAUCUACUAGUAGUAGACGUUUGUUGUCCCCACCGUUCCAGGAAGAAAAAUAAGUAGAAGAACUACUUUUAGACCAAAAUUAAAAAAUUGAAACUAUCUUGAAAGACUUUCCCUUCAACUAAGUAAAAAAGAAAAGAAAAAAAAAAGGUAUUAGACAAGCAUUUUCAAAGGAAAAAGAUCAUCCAUUUAUUGUAUGUACUCAGGAAAAAUAAAUGUACUAAUAGGUAGAAACACAGCAAUAAAACUCAAAAACUAACAUCUAUAAAGCUCAAUAACAAUUAUGAAUUAGAUAUUUUGGUCCCUUCAUAAUUCCUCCUCUUGACUUCACAUUUCCCCUCAGCCCGUGAUAAUUUUACCUAUUGAAUUCACAUUUCCCCUCAUCCAUUGAAUUUUCCCAAUAACAAGAUGAGUCUAAAUCUGUUAGGAAAUUGAUGGGUGAAGCAGACACGCAGCUAAAGUAAAAUUGGAAGAAAAUAAAGAACAAGCACAAUAGAGGACACCAGAAAUUACGUGGUUCGGCUUUUAGCCUACGUCCACGGGCGAAGACAGAAGGAAAUAUUUUACUAGUGAAAAUGAGUUACAAGUAUUGUAGUAUUUUAGCUCACUUCCCAAAACCCCAAUACACCCAAACUCUCUAACUCACUAGACACUCAAGAGUUUAUUAAACUCUUAAAACUCUCAACACUCAAGAAAGCAAUGCUUCUCUCUCGAUGGAAAUUGAAUACAAAUGAAUGAGUGAGCACUUCCUUUUAUAGCCAAAAAAUGGCUAUUAAAUUAAUAUAUAUAUGUAUAUAUUUCAAAUGUAGUUACCAACUUCUUCUUUUUCUCCAUUUGGAUGGCACCAUUUUCUUUGGCCGGCUGCACCAUUUUCUUUUUUCAAAUGUCAAACCUGUGUGCUCAUUUUCCUUUCCAACUUGCUGCAAAAUUCCUCUUCUUUGAACAACAUGGAUGUUGACCAUCUAGAUGGCUGCUUUUGACAUUUCUCCCACUUGGAGAUUAGAUUGAGAAGCAAUCAAUCUCCACACCAUCCUUUCUGCUUCGCCAUAAUCAUGUUGCCUACGUUUCUGCUAGACCACAAGAGGAUCUACUCCAGACAAACUUAUCAGUAUUUAUCGGCUUGGUCAAAACAUCUGCUAGGUUCUCUUUGGUAUGGAUUUUCUGCAAAUCCACACUUCCAUCUUCCACUACUUCUCGAACGAAGUGAUACUGAACUCCUAUGUGCUUUGUCCUGGAAUGAAAGGCUGGAUUCCUUGCAAUGUGCAAGGCACUCUGACUGUCACAAAAUACAGGAAUUUUCUGUUGUUUGUGCCCGAGCUCCUCCAAUAACCUUUGUAUCCAAAUAGCUUCCUUGCAAGCUUGUGUAGCUGCCAUGUAUUCUGCUUCUGUUGUAGAUAAAGCCACAACGGUCUGCAGUUUCGAAACCCAGCUUACAGCUGCUCCCGCAAGUGUAAACACAUAACCAGUAGUGGAUUUUCUUUUAUCAAGAUCUCCUGCAAAAUCUGAAUCCACAUAGCCCCUGACAGUAAACUCUGAUCCUCCAUAACAUAACGCAACAUCUGAGGUUCCUCUUAUGUAUCUCAGAAUCCUCUUAACAGUUAUCCAAUGCUCUCUACCAGGAUUCGCCAUGUAUCGACUAAUUGCUCCCACUGCUUGUGCAAUGUCUGGUCUUGUACAUAUCAUAGCGAACAUCAAACUUCCCACUGCUGAUGCAUACGGUACUCGAGACAUCUCCUUCCUCUCUGCUUCAUUACUAGGACACAUACUUGAGGAUAAUUUGAAAUUAACAGGAAGUGGGGUAGAAAUUGACUUACAAUCUUGCAUGUUGAAGCGUCGCAAGAUUUUCUUCAAGUAAUUCUUCUGCGAAAGCCAAAUCUUCCUGUUAUUUCUGUCUCGGUGAAUUUGCAUCCCUAGAAUCUUGUUUGUUGGUCCCAAGUCCUUCAUGUCAAACUCCCUAGCUAACUGUGCCUUCAAUUCUUGGAUUCGAUCUUUGUUGGGACCUGCUACCAACAUGUCAUCCACAUACAAUAGCAAAAUAAUGAAAUCAUUAUCUUCAAACCUCUUGUAAUAUGCACAAUGGUCUGAACUGAGUCUGUUGUAUCCAAGGCUCAUGAUGAAGGAAUCAAAUCUCUUAUACCAACACCUCGGCGCCUGUUUGAGACCGUAUAGAGAUUUGUUCAACCUGCAAACCAAGUUCUCCUUUCCUGUUUCUGCAAAACCUUCUGGUUGGAGCAUAUAUAUUUCUUCUUCAAGUUCUCCAUGAAGAAAUGCAGUUUUCACAUCUAACUGCUCUAGAUGUAAGUCAAAUGUAGCACACAUUGCCAAGACUACUCUGACUGUUGUGAGUCGAACCACGGGCGAAAAUAUCUCGUUGAAGUCAAUGCCUUCUUUCUGAGCAUAUCCUUUCACUACCAAUCUUGCACGAUACCGCUCCACUUGGUCAUUACCAUCACGCUUGAUCUUGUAGACCCAUUUGUUUCCAAUGGCUUUUCUUCCAUGUGGUAGUGGUACAAGUUCCCAUGUCUUGUUCUUGUGUAGAGCUUCAAUUUCUUCCUGCAUUGUUGUCAUCCACAAAGCAAUAUCUGAGCUUUCUAAAGCUUCAUGGAAAGUUGAUGGCUCUCCAUCCUCCGUUAAAAGACAGUAUGCAACGUUGAUCUCUGUGACAUACUCCGAGUGCCACGUUGGCGGUCGUCUCUCACGAGUUGACCGACGAACUCUGGAGCCUCGGACUCGACUGGUUCUUGUUCCUCGUUCUCUGGUGCUGCUUCAGAAGAAUCUGAAUCUUCUGGAUUAUUUUCCACAUAUACUGGUACAAUCUCUGACUUUUCUUUUACAGUGCUUUCAUCCUCAUCUUUCCUUUGCAGUUGAUCUUCUAUAAAGAUAACAUCUCUGCUGAUGACGAUCUUGUGGGCAGUGGGGUCCCACAGACGAUACCCCUUUACUCCAUCAGCAUACCCUAAGAAGAUACAUCUUCUAGAUUUUGGAUCCAGCUUUGUUCUUUCUUGGGCAUUGUACAUCACGUACACAGGACAUCCAAAUGCAUGUAGGUAGGAAUAAUCAGCUGGCUUUCCAGUCCACAUCUCCAUCGCUGUCUUCAACCCAAUAGCUGUAAAUGGCGACCGAUUUACUAUAUAACAGGCGGUUUUGGCUGCUUCUGCCCAGAAUGAAUUGGGUAAACCAGCAGUCCUCAACAUAGCUCUUAUUCUUUCUGUAAGAGUUCUGUUCAUCCGCUCCGCUACUCCGUUUUGUUGAGGAGUGUAUGCCACCGUGAACUGCCUCUGAAUACCUUCUUGCUUACAGAAAGCAAGAAACUCUCCGUCUGUAUAUUCUCCACCAUUGUCUGUCCUUAAGCACUUGAUCUUUUUACUAGAUUCAAGUUCCAACCGCGCUUUGUAUUCUUUAAACACAGGAAAUACAUCUGACUUUUUCUUAAUUGGAUACACCCAACAUCUUCUGGAAUAAUCAUCAAUGAAAGUCACCAUGUACUUUGCACCUCCCAUAGAUAUAUCCGGUGAUUCCCAAACAUCAGAAUGAAUCAAGUCUAGAAUGCAUUUACUCCUAGCAAUAGAUCUACUGAAUUUUAAUCUAUGCUGCUUACUUGUAACACAAUGCUCGCAAAAUGGUAAACUUACCGAUUUGAGCCCCGGAAGCAAUUUUCGCUCAGAGAGAAUCUUCAAACCUUGUUCUGACAUGUGGCCAAGUUUGAGAUGCCACAUCAUCGUUGAUUCUUCUCCAUUUGAUGCGACACACGCAUCAGCCUCCUGUAGUGUUUCUCCUUUAAGCAUGAAUAAAUUAGCACCGAUCUUUUCUGCCUUCAUCAAUACAAGCGCACCUUUAACGAUCUUCAUUAUUCCAUUUUCCACAUGAGUUUUGAACCCAUGACUAUCCAUUUGUCCCAAAGACAAUAGAUUUUUCUUCAGGCCAUUGACAUGUCGUACCUCCCCAAUUGUGCGAAUUGUACCAUCAAACAUUUUUAUUUUGAUAGUACCAAUACCAGCGAUCUCCAAGGCAUGAUCAUCUCCCAUAUAUACAGAUCCUCCUGAGAUAGGUUCAUAUGUGUGGAACCAUUCUCUCUUAGAGGUCAUGUGCCAGGUAGCUCCUGAGUCUAUAAGCCAGACAUCAGAUAGUCGUUUUCUGCCUUCUGAAACAGUUGUUGCCUCGCUGUAGAGAAUUUCACCAUCAUCUGAGGUACUUGCUACACAACCCUGAGCAUUUGAUGACUCAGGUUCUUUGCCCUCUCUUCUCUUCUGGUUACUCCAACACUCUUUCUUGACGUGCCCUUUCUUGCCACAGUUGUAGCAUUUAACAUUCUUCUUACUUCUGGAUUUUGAUCUACCCUGAUUUUGACUCCCACUGGGGCCACGUUCCGUUGAUCUCCCUCUCGUCACUGAUAGCGCUUCUGCUUGCUGCGAACUUGCUUGUCUGUUUUCCUUGUUUUUCCGCCUGCUCUCCUCAUUUAAUACGGAGGCUGCAACAUCGUCGAAAACUAGACCCUCCACUGGAUUGUUGUUCGUCAGGUUGAUGAUGAGUUGAUCAUACGAAUCUGGUAGACUUUGAAGUAGAAGCUCUGCACGUUCAUUUUCCUCUAUAUUAUGACCCAACGUUGUGAGUUGUGAAAAUAGAGUCUUCAAUGUGUUGAUGUGGUCGGUCACCAUUGUAGAUUCCGCCAUUCGAAGAGUAUAGAGUUUUCUCUUCAAGAAGAUUUUGUUGUGUAGUGACUUGGCCUCGUACAAUUUUGUGAGAGUAUCCCAAAUUUCCUUCGCCGUAUUUUUCUCUGCCACACUGGAUAAUACUCCAUCCGCAAGUGCCAAGUGUAGAUCAGAAAUAGCGUUGCCGUCUACCUCGUUCCACUUGUCAUCAGUUAUCUCUAUGGGCCUUUCUCCAAUUGCUGCCAAACAAUUAUUUUUCCUCAAUACAGCUUUCAUCUUCAUUUUCCACAACGAAAAAUUAUUUCCGUUAAACUUCUCAAUUUCAUAUUUUGCCGCCAUUUUGUUGAUAAUACUGCACACAAGCUAGUGUACCACCUUGAAUAGUUGUGAGUAUGUGUGAGAAUGCACACCAGGAAAGUUCCCAGGAAAGACUAGAGGGGUCACAAUGGUCCCACUUAAAACCCAAACUCCUUAAGCUCUUAUCGCCUUUGUGACAGAACUUUCCUAGACAUGUACAGAACCACACAGUUGCUUUACUCACACCACUAUUCCCUGCUUUGCACCGCAAAAUUCUUGGAUGGCUUCCACCGUUUCACGUGAAUAGUACCGUAUACGUGAAUAGUGCCGUAUACGUGAAUAGUGCCGUACACCGUAUACGUGAAUAGUGUCGUACACCGUAUACGUGAAUAGUAUCGUACACCGUAUACGUGAAUAGUGCCGUACGCCGUAUACGUGAAUAGUCCCGUACGCCGUAUACGUGAAUACGUGAACAAUUCCUGACUCCAAAAAUACAACCAAUAGCUCUGAUACCACUGUUAGGAAAUUGAUGGGUGAAGCAGACACGCAGCUAAAGUAAAAUUGGAAGAAAAUAAAGAACAAGCACAAUAGAGGACACCAGAAAUUACGUGGUUCGGCUUUUAGCCUACGUCCACGGGCGAAGACAGAAGGAAAUAUUUUACUAGUGAAAAUGAGUUACAAGUAUUGUAGUAUUUUAGCUCACUUCCCAAAACCCCAAUACACCCAAACUCUCUAACUCACUAGACACUCAAGAGUUUAUUAAACUCUUAAAACUCUCAACACUCAAGAAAGCAAUGCUUCUCUCUCGAUGGAAAUUGAAUACAAAUGAAUGAGUGAGCACUUCCUUUUAUAGCCAAAAAAUGGCUAUUAAAUUAAUAUAUAUAUGUAUAUAUUUCAAAUGUAGUUACCAACUUCUUCUUUUUCUCCAUUUGGAUGGCACCAUUUUCUUUGGCCGGCUGCACCAUUUUCUUUUUUCAAAUGUCAAACCUGUGUGCUCAUUUUCCUUUCCAACUUGCUGCAAAAUUCCUCUUCUUUGAACAACAUGGAUGUUGACCAUCUAGAUGGCUGCUUUUGACAAAAUCAUCAAUCUCAUUAAACACUCACAUCUACUAAAUAAUAUCGCAUGCAGUAACUUUAAGUAAGGAUCUAAAACUUACAAGAAAAAGAAAACUACUGUUUAUUAAUUUCAAAAUUUACACAAAAUUACAAAUGAUUUUAUAAACUGUACCAAAACAUGUUCUCUAAAAGAGAUUCAUUAUCCUGCAUUUUCAAAAACAAUAUAAACUAACACUAGAAUAGCCAUUUGAUAAUGAUGUGAAUUUGGGCAGCACCAAGAAGCAGUGAGCCCCAUUUGGUGAAAGCAAAAAGAAAAAAAAUUAAAAUAAAGCACUAUAAAUUCUAAUCAAAUUAUUAACAUUAGCUACACAUCAAGAAACCAGAAUAAAAUCGUUAUCUAAACCACAUACUGAAAAAGAAAAAACAAUGCAGUUAAAAUUCUAUCAUUUUCACUUACAAACAAAUAAAGAAAAAAUUAAGAACAAAGGUUGAAGCAAAGAAUGAUUGUACCUUGAGGUACUUGAGGUUAAUGUUUCCAUAAACGAGACCGAGCGAAAAAGCCGAAACCAGAGCAACCUAUUCUUACUACUCAAAAACACGCCCAGAUCAGAAAAUAAAUGAUCAUUCAAUAACAAUUCAUAGGAAAAUGAUGUUUGCCCCGGGUCAAACCCCGAAAAUAACUUAAACGGCGUCGUUUUGAUUUUUUUUUUUCUUUUGGAAUACUCCAAAACGACGACGUUUCUGAUGAUAUUUUGAGAAGAAUAAAAUCUAUCUUCCUCUUCGUUUUCGUUUCUUCGUUUCACCUGUGAAAGAACAGAGCAACAGAGCAACAGAGAUCCCAACUUGGUCUUGUUCCGUUUGACCGUAAAUCUCUUCAUUUCUUCGUUUCUUCGUUUCUUCAAAUAACGGCAAUAUCACCCAAAACAAAGUUUCAUGCAAUGUUGUAAAAAAUAAAUUAUGAUUUGAGAACUGAAAAAAUAAUAUGAGAACUAAAAAAAUGAGACAAAUCAAGAAUAUGAGAACUGAAAAAAUUAAUUCAAUGUUACAAUGUUACAAUGUUCUAAAAACGAAGGCCAACUUCCUAAAAUAAAAUUAAAAAACAAAAUGCUACAAUGUUAAUCUUCGAAAAUUAAACUGAAAAAAUGAGACAGUACCGAAAAAAACAAAUCUUCGAAAAUUCAAGCUUGGCACAAUGUUAAUCUUUCGUCCAAACUCAGCUUUCAACCGUCCAAAUUCAGCUUGUCCAAACUCAGCUUUCAACCGUCCAAACUCAGCUUGUCCAAACUCAUCUUUCAACCGUCCAAACUCAGCUUUCAAGGACACAUUUCGCAGCCGAAACUCAGCCGAAACUCAGCUGCUGUUGGUCUUGUUCUUCAAUGGGUACCAAACGAAAAAGAAACGAAAAAGAAACUCAGACGCUUUCAACUCAGCUUCCAAGGACAAAUUUCGCAGCCGAAACUCAGUCGAAACUCAGUUGCUGUUGGUCUUGUUCUUCAAUGGGUGCGAAACGAAAAACAAACUCAGAUGAAGAGGAUGGAGCUUUAAUUAGUAGAUCCCGUUCUGCUGUCGAUGAGUGCUCCGGCUGUGGAUCUCGGUCGAGGAUGGAAGAAACGAAAAAGAAACGAACAAACGAAAAAGAAAAUAAAAGAAAACGACGCAAAUCAUUCAAUAAACAAACGAAAAAGAAAAAAAAAAAAGAAACGACGCAAACGACGCCGUUUAAGUUAUUUUCGGGGUUUGACCCGGGGCAAACAUCAGCACUCUUUCCUUUAUGAAUUGGGAAAAUGCUACUUUCCCCGGGUCAAACCCCGAAUUAUUUCAAAACGGUGUCGUUUUGUUUUUUUUUUUUCUUUUUACUUGCAUGAAACGUGGUCGUUUGAGCUAGUAAAAACAAAACAAACUAAAGCAGAAAAAACUCAAGUGCUUAUCUUCUCUGCCCCUUUCUUAAUUUCCUUUUGACAAACCACGGAAUCACACCCACAAACAACAAUCACCCACAGUCACGCGAACAGCCGGCACAGACGAAGGAUGAGCCCACAGACGACGGACCACCGCAUUGAAAUCUCUGUCCACAUCACCGGCACCAUCAUCGUAGGUCUGUAACAAACUGUCGUAAGUUAAACCCUUCUCACCGUCGAUGAACUCGACGUAAGUACGGAAUACUUCGUCGAGAAUUGCGUUGAUUUGUUCGUCGCUGAAUUUGACUCGAGGGUUUACGGCCACCACUAAAGCCGCCAUUUCUUCUCUAUUACGGCCACCGUCGCGGUUCGUGUCAAAUUGUUGAAAAAUUCUCUUCACUUUCUCUGAUCUGCUUCCUCUCGUAGCCAUUUUUUUUUUCUGUUUUUCUGGGGGUCAGUUUGGUUUCUCAGUGUUUGUUUGAGAAAGCGGAAUUAGUAGAUAAGGGAAUAUAAGGAAAAGUUGAUAAAAAGGCAAAGGGUGGUUACUUUAAUUGUUGGUGAGAAUAAUGAUGAUGAUGGCUUAAUUCUGGGUUUUGUUGGAUCUGAAUGAAUUCUUAACGGCAAAAGUUAAAGAGUAGAAGAAGAGCAAGAGGACGGACUCUCAUUCUUUCCCUUUUUUCUUUUAAUUUUAAAUAUAUCAAAAACGGCAGCGUUUUGGAGAAACAAAAAAGAAAAAAAAAUUAAAACAAAACGACGCCGUUUUUGUUUUCGGGGUUUGACCCGGGGCAAACAUCAGCACUCAUUCAUAAAAACUCCAUCCCAUCGCAUUUAAAACAAAACAAAGAAAAUAUUGAUUAGAAAAAAAAUUACACGCAUGGAAUAAAAGAAUAUAAAAAUGGAAUUACCAGAGGGAGCUAGUGCCGGAGUAGGAACCAGAAGGCAGCGCCAUAUGAUGCUCUUGUUAUGGUUUUCCUUCUUGUGGGUCUGCGCUGAAGUCGAAGAUGAAGAAACAAGAAAGAGCCAGCAAAUUGAGAAAUCGACUACCAUCUUCGAUUCCGACUCGCAUGGCCAUUUUUCUUUGAUGAAUGAAAUAUUGUUUUACUCCCUAAUUCUUAACCAAAUUACAAGUUUUGACUUCUGUUUGUAUGUUCUUUCAUACGGGUUCUUGUUCACAGGAAUAACAAAUGGGCCGGACGUGUGGCUAAGCCCGGGCCUGGUGUCGAUAGCCAGGCCUGGGCUUUUACGAGCCCAGGCAUUUUAUUCUGAGUAUGAUCCUUAUAUCACUUCACUUUUGUAAUCGUAAUUUUAUUGUACUGAAAAUUAUAUGAACGAUUAAUAUGAAUUUAAUUAAACAAACAUGUCUUUACAACUCAUGCAACCUUACUAUUUUCUAAUCCUAAUAUGUGAUAUAAUUAAUUUUACUGAUAAAAUCAAAAUAAUUUUUAAACAAUGAAGAAAUAAAUUAUAAUAACAGUAAAUUUAUUACGAAAAAGUAUGUUUACAAAAUUUAUUUUAAAUGAUAUGAAAUCUAAUUAAAAUUCUAUUCUAAUUUUAUGCCCUUUUUUACAAUUUUAUUAAAAAGUGGGAUCUCUUAAGAUUUUAGGAGUGUUGGAAUUCUAUUUUUCCAGAUUUGAAUUUUAGUGACCUUUACUUCAUUUAAAUUUUUUGUUAUAAACUUGCAAGCAAGUGCAUUUAGGAUAUCUUUGGUGAACUGGAUUGUAACAAUAAUUUUAUUUAUUAAAAUUAUUAAAAGUAUUUAAUUAAUAAAACUUCACGUAUCCUCGGGUCUAACCAAUCAAAUUCUUUCUCUCAAAAGUACACAAAAGUGAGAUUGGCUCUUGCCUAUUAGUUAACAUAUGCAUAUUAAUUAACACUGACAGAUAUAUAGAUAUACAGCACAGCUAGCAGCACAUUCGACUUACAGAUAUACAGAACUUGAACAUAAUUCACAUAUCUGAAGGGAGAGGGAUAUCGAUGUUGCGGCCUGCAAUUCAUAACAUAUCAUCGGUCAUUUAAUCUAGAAUUGAGGAGAGAAAAUGAGUCUAAAUUCGAAAACUUUGGCACUAUUUACAUAUCAUUAUUUGGGUGAAAAUUCAUUUCUCUGCUUUGAUAUGAUUUGGUCUUUCAUUGUUACGGUGCCAAUUUUUUAUUUAAAGAUGUAAGGUAGUGGUACUAUAGCUUAUAUUUUCCGUAAUUACUAUCCGGUAAGUACAAAAAUAAAAUACUAGUUUAAAAUAUAAAAAUGAAAAAUUAUUUUUAUAACCAAUAUUCAAUUAAAUACAUUUAAAACUCUAUUUUUUCUUAAUAAAAAAAAUUCUAAUUUAUUUUCUCAAUUUAUCUAAACAACUUUACCUAAUCAAGCUAAAUCUACAUAUUACCCUAAACCUUAAUUCAUAAACACCCAAUCAAUCUAAUUGUUAAAUCUUAUUUCAUAAUAAAAAAAAAUUAAUUUCUUUUUUAUUAUUUAUGGUGCAAAGGAAAAAAUGAAUUUAAAGGUAAAAUUGAUAUUUUAUUUAAAUUUUGUUAAUAUUCUAAUAAUAUUAAUGUCUUGGUGGUUAAUAAAAGCAUAAAGUUAAACUUUUGUAGUAUUUUUAAUAAUAUGGUAAAGAUAUAUGUUUGAUAAUUUUCUUAUGUCUUUUUACGUUAAAUUGAGUCUCAAGUAUAAUGAAUAAAUAAUACAUAUUAUAAAAUUAGUGUAGAUAAAUAAUACAACUUGAAAAUAUUAUAGUAUUCUUAAUAAUAGAGAAAUUUAAAGGUGGAUAGUUGAUUGUUUAAUGAAACAACUACAGAAUUUUCCUUUCAAAUAUCUUUUUAAAAAACAACAGAAUGACCUUUCAAAUGCCCAUUCGACAAGCCAAGAAGAAAGGGUAGCUAACAAAUUUACAAGUACCAGAGAUCCAGAAACACAUUUAUAGCCAAUCCAUUUAUGAGUUACAUUCAACACUCUCACAAACUUAAAAAAUAAAAAUUAUUACUGCCAAGACGCACACUUUUUGACAUCUAAAAAGCUAAACAUUUGAAGUUCUUUGAUACAAAAUGCAUACUAAAUUGGCACAGUUAAUGCCCAUCGAAAGGGUCAUCAAUUUAGCCAACAAAUUUGCCAAAGUUUUAACAGUGACCACAAACGGAACAGGUAUAGAAUAAAAGCUUGUUCGGUUCUUGCGCGAAGUGAACCCCUCUGAAACGCUAAAAGAGGAAAUACAAAAUAAAGAAGACCAUAUUACGUGGCUAACUAACAGCCAUUCCCAAAGAAAUAGAGUGACGAUAAUGUGCUUCUUUUUUUUUUUUUAGAAAAGAACACAGACCCCUAAUAUUUAAAUAAAAAACAUAAAAUUUCUUAAUAUUUAAAAAAAAACAUUCAGACCUUAUUGUUUAACAGAAACUGUUUUUUUAACAGAAAUUAUAAUUUUAAAAUAUAAUUACCAUUAUAUCCUUAUAACAUAUUAAAACUAAUUAUUCAUUGUCCAAUUUAUCUUUAUAUUAUUAAUAAAAUUACGAAAAUAAAUUUGAUAAAGAAAAUUUCAUGCACAUCUAAAAAUUGAUAAAGAAAAAAAAAUAACAAAAGUAAUUAGUAAGAAAUCUCCAAUAAACCGACAAAUUAAGAACCCUGUUCAUCAAACUACCAUAAACCAAAAAAAAAAAUUCUCGUAAUCAUUUAUUUAUAUUCUUGCACAUACAUCACAUAUGCAUCAAGCAUGCUAGAGAAGUUAAUUUAGUAAAAAAAAAUGAAAAUUAAAGAGAAUUCAACAGGCAAGAUCAGCAACCAAACGCAAGCACAAGCAGCAGCCAAACGCGAGAUUCAACAAGCAAGAUCAGCAACCAAACGCGAGCACAAGCAGCAGCCACAAGCGAGCACAAGAAGCAGCUAAAAGCGAGCACAAGCAGCAGCCAAACGCGAGCAAUUCCAACAGCCAAACGCGAGCGAUUCCAACAGUUCCAACAGCACAAGCAGCAGCCAAACGUCGAUUGCGAGCAGAUCCAGCAACCAGACGCGGUCUCGAUCGACGCACGAGCAGUUCCAGCAGCUUCUGGUAGCGUGAGCAGUUCCAGCAACUUCCGGCAGCCCUAGCAGCUUUCGGCAAAGGCAAACCGUGAGUGUGUGUUAAAAGAUUUGUCUGGAAUCAGCGUGUGAUGUGUGUGUGGGGUUUGUUUGUGCGUGUGAUGUGCGUGUGGGGUUUUAGUCAAUUCACUUGUUUUUAAUUUAUAAUUACGAUAUUAACCUUGUAAUGAUUUAAGGAAACGAUUUCCGUUAAGUAAUGGGUCCGAAUGUUUUUUUUAAAAUAUUAAAACGUUUUGUCUCUUACUCAAACGUGGGUCUCUGUACCCUUUUCCCUUUUAUUUAUUCUUCGCUGGCAUAUUUCUCUUCAUCUUCUUCUUCACUGGCAUCUACAUUGGCGUCUCCCUCUUGGUUGGCAUCUUCCUCGUUUGUUGUUUGCGGUGGCUGUCCAACCAAUAAAUUGGGCAUUAAAGAACAAACAGAUAAAGUUAUAACAAUAAGAAUUAUAAACAUAAAAAGAAAAAAAAAAGAUAUUUGAAGGGAAAUUUUGGUAGAACUCCAUGGCUCAUCUAUGAAAUUAAUUUAAAGUUCUCGAGAGCUUACCUCUGCUCCAGAAUUCUCGGAAUCAUCCAUCUCCUUCUGAAUUUGCAGGAAGCAUGGGACAAUUACGAAUAAUUGCAUUCACUGCAGAUGGAAAUGGGAUCUGAUAUCCCGUAGGCCAAAAGUUGGUGAGGUUUGGUAAAUCUUUCAGCCUCAAGUUCCGAACUUUAUCCAGAACAAUUUCAUCGUAAUCCAUGACGUCUGCUCCAUCUUUAUGCCAGAAUACUUCUUCGAAUUCAUUAUUUUCUUCUAUGCAUAUACGAAUUAGUUUUUGAAGACUUGGAGCUACGCUGAUAUGAAAUAGAUGCUUUAGUUUGGGACAAUAACAGACAGAGAUCUCUAUGAGUUUUGGGAAACAAACAGGUUGGAGAUGAUCCUCAUCCUCAUCAAUGACUUGCUCUAAUUCCAGGCAAUAUAGAAUAUCCAACCUCUCCAAUUGCAACAGAUUUCGAGCAAGUGUUGAUGAGAGGAGACGUCUCAGCUUAGUGCACCCCCUUACGGUUAAAUCAGUAAGAUUUUGCAGGCUAAAAUUAUGCGUGGGACCUUCAUAAUAUAAUACUUGCAGUUCGUCAAGAACUUCCAAUUUCAACUCUUUCAAACAUGGGAAAUGUUUGUUUUCUUGUCCAUCAGCGAUAAUAGCUUCCGACUGAAAUAACACUUGCACUUCAAUUUCUCUUAUAUUCAAUUCUUCCAAAUUUUUUAACCCACGCUUCAACAGUGCGGGAAUUGUGUCACGCAAAUGGGAGCAAUCGUCCACGCUUAGAAUUCGUAAUUUCUGAGAAAAAUAAAUAACUUGAUGCAAUCAAAAUCUAUUAGCAGCUAGGACUAUCUCAUGAUAAUCAAUAAACUAACACCAAAAAAAAAAAAAAUUCCAAAUCCGUACAAAAUAGUUAUAUUUUAUGAAAGUAAUAUAUUUAUUAAAAAAAUAAAAUUAAUUAAAAGAGAUCAUGUGAAGUGAUAUAACGGUGAAAUCUGUUUGUUUAUGAAAAAAUUGUAUUCUAUUUCUAUGGCUUGAUAACUACUUAAUUGAAUUUGUUUAAUAUUAUAUAUGCUUCACAAGUGUUUUCAUCCGACCUUUUUUUUACCCCCUUCAAAACAAAAACGAGAAUUUGACUUUCAUUUGAAGAAUGAAUUUUAGGCCCUAAAAUAAGGAAGUUUUCCUAAGAUAUUGGAUCUUAUUGUGAUCAUCACCGUUAGCACUACCAUCAUCAUCAUCUCUCUACAAAGCCAAAUGCAAGGUGAUAUGAAUGGCGCAUCAUAAAAAUUAUUAAUAAACUAUCACUUUGAGUAAAAUUGAAGAAAAAAAAAAGAAAAAAACAUAAACACAAACGGACAUACCUCUCCAAGAUACUGCAAAUUAGCUUCAAGUUCUGUAUUGUUGGCGGUCAAGUUUGGACAGCAUCUUAGGUCUAACUUUUCCAACGCUGGCCAAGUUGAAUAAUAAUUUUCUGAACAGAAGCUGGUGAGUUCGGGGAGAUCUUCAAGGCUUAAUUUUCUCAACAAAGAUAGCUCGAGUAUUCUAUUUUCAUCUGCUACACUUAUUUCCCCUUCAUUAUGAUCAAACUCCGCUUUAACGAUAAAUUUUAUUCUCUCGCAUCUGAACACUGCAAGACUUUCAAGCUGCUUUAAACUUCGAGCUUGUGACAACGAGAAGACAUACGUCAAAUUGUUGCACGCGUACACAUGCAAUGCUGUAAGAGCUUGGAGGCUCACAUGUUGGGCGGGCGCCUUCCAUAUCUGCUUCAUUUCUGGUAACUCCAGCAUAUAUAACCUUGCUAAUUUUGAGAGCAUCAUAGGAUUCCCACUCUCUCCUUGCGGCGACUGAGAGGCAUCCAUUAUGCAUUCUAAAUCUUCACAAUUGUUGACAGAAAGAUAAGUCAACUCAUUGAAGCCCCUUGGAUCUAUGCUUGGCACAAUAUUAUGACAACCUAUUAUCCUGCUCAAAUCAAGAAAUUCCAGAUUUUGAUACAAUGCUGAAAAAAUACGGAGCGAGGUCGCUUCAAAAGGGUGAUCAAUGAUUAAACUCCUUGUCUUAUCACCAUCUUCCAUUUUAUAGCCAACUCUUUCACCUUUAAUCAUGUACCUUUGCAAUUUUGGGAAUGUAAAAUCUUUUGAAAGAUAUACAACAGGUCUGCCAACUUGGAAGUUAAACUCAGCAAGCCUAGCAUUACUUUCUUCUGAACUCAUCACUUCAACCUCCCAAUCUUUUAUCCGACCAUAAAAUUCUUCUAAUUGAGGAAAUUUUUUUAUCGUAACGGGAGAAACAGAACCAAUAUCAAUAUAUAGAAGUUUCAAUCUACGAAGUUCAUCCGACAAAUCUUCAGGAAUUUCAAUGGGAGAAUCCUCAAGAUAAAGAAGUUCAAGUCUCUUCAACUUUCCAAGAAAAGACGCGUCACUCACAUGACAUCCAAUCAACUGCAGAACUCGGAGGCUAUUGGCAAGGAAUCGAAGCGAUUUUAGUGAAAGGACUCCAUUUAUUAUAGUAACAACUUUCAAUGCUGGCAUCCCUUCAAAAAAAAUUUCUGGAACUUGCAAUUUGUAGACAAAUAGAGUAUUGUGCAGUCGCAAAAUAUGAAGGUUAGGGCAUACCAAACUACUAGGAAGCUCUUCUUUUUUAUUUCCCAAUACAGAGAUUCCUCUGUAUUGCUCCAAGCCUUCUUCCAUUGCCCGUUCUGCCAAUCCAAUGCCAACUUUACUAAAAAAUUUCUUCUCCACUAGUACUUCUGAGCCUAUCCAUAUGGCUACAUCACGAACUAUGUCAUGCAUUUUCACAGAUCUGUCAUUACCAGUGUCUAACAAUAGUGAAACAGCUUUGAGUCCGUCAAUUGUUCCAUGCAGUAGGCUUCUGGUGUUCUCUAUUGACUCAGCUUGAUACCAAGUCAACCCUACUGCAUAUCCAACCAAAUCCUCCAAAUGAAUCUCAUAAUCUUCUGGAAACAACGAACACAACAAGAAGCAUAACUUGGAAUUGUCAUCAUUCAAUUUAUCGUAACUAAAUUUGAGGCAACCGUAAACAUCUAAGUUCUCCUCAUCAAUACCUUCUAUUGCAUAGAGUUUUGCAGCCUUUAGGUUAUGUAGAGCCAAGUUCCAUUCAUUAAAUCCUUUUCCUCUUAGUGCACUUCCAACAGCUUCAAUAGCUAAAGGCAGCCCCUUACAUUCUCCAGCAACUUCUUUGGAAACAUCAUUCAAGGUGGAGUCAUUUACAUUAAUUCUGGCAUUUUUUCGCAGUAAAGCCAAUCCUUCUUCUGGCGUUAGUGUACUAAGUGGAAUCUGUGUGUCACAACCCAAAGAAUCACAAACUGACUUUUUGCGAGUCGUUAGAAGGAUUUUGCAACAAUUAUCUCUACCACCGACGGUAAUACCUAAUUUUUUCUCCGAGUCGAGUGUUUUCCAAACAUCAUCAAGGAUUACGAGGAUUUUGCUGCUUUUACUCUCAGAAAACAUCAAGCGCAAUCGGUCUGCUCUCUCUUUUUCAUCUUUCUCAUUUAGUGCCCAGCCUAACGACUUUGCCAGCUCACCUUGAACCUUGAUUAUAUCUGGAUCCUGAGACACAGUGGCUAUCCCCACCUUAUCGAAAAUCUUUUGUUGCCGAAGUUGAUUGCCCACAGAUUUUGCCAAGGUCGUCUUUCCUACACCGCCGAGACCAUGCAAUCCCACCAUCUUUGUGCUGUCUUUUUUCAGUGCUUCAGUGAUCUGAUUACAAGCCGAUUCUGUAGUCUCGAAAGAAGAAAAAAAUCUUGGAAUAGGCAUUUCUGUGUCUGAUGGUAGAGGUUUAGGAAGGGCAACUGUGCUGAAUUUGCCGCGGUCUUGUAGAUCGGACAACUUGCGAGUCUCUUUUGAUGCUUUUCUACCCAUCCAAUAUCGGAAACCCCAAUUAGGACACCAUCCAUUAAAACAACUCUUCUUUUCAUCUAUCUCUGUUUUCAAAUUUCGGACAUCGGCCAUUUCUUCGACUACAUCCGCCAGCCACUUCUCUACAUCUUUCUCAACUACUAUAGCGCAAUGUUUUUGUCGUUCUUCUUCUACUUUUUCGUUGAUGCCAUCUUGUGCCUCCUUCAAAUUAGUUUCUUUGAAACAGAACAGAUAGCGAGCUUGUUUUACAGUAGCAUCCACCAAUAAUUCUCCAAGCUUUGAUGCAAUAGCCAAUAAAAUUUCCAUGCUAUUUAUCUGCAAUUAACAAAGUUGAUCUCAGUACGCUAUAAGCAAAACAACAAGGCUUGAUCACAAUGUUUAAUAAGUUUUUUACUGAACGUUUAAUUACUUUCUUCUAUUCUGCGAAUGCACGUUUAUUAAUGCCAGCUUUGAUCAAUAAGAGCAAAAUGCAAACGCCAGACUUUAAGUAGCCUUUAGCUGCAAACAGAAGAGAAGAAAUAAGGUAAACGUGAUAGAUGGUGGAUUAUAUUGAAAUUAGAUUACUUUAGAAAUUUUUAAAAUUUGAAGAUAAUUAUCCCAUUCUUACUUCAAUCAAUAUUCUAAUACAAUAAUUCCAUAAAUCUCAAAUAAUAUCUUAAGAUUUUUUGUUUUCCUCAAACACUCAUAUGAUUAGUUUAAUUAUUUAUUACUCUAUUUUACUACAUAAUUGAUGCAAAUAACACUUUGUUUGGGAUGGUAAAGAUUGGGGUAAAUUCCCUUUUAGUCUCUAAAAUUUGGGCCUAUUAUAGCUAUUGAACAUACUUUCAAAUGUAAAAUAGUAUUUUCUGUCUAAGAUAAAUUAAAAAUCAAACAAAUCUAUCAUGCAACAAAUGAAAAAUAAAGAAUAUUAAUUAAGUUUUGAUGGAAACAAAUAUAAAAUAUAGAGGUUUUGAGUAAUUUUUGUAUUUUUUUAAUGGUUGAGUUAGAAUUGAAUAAUUUGCAUAAUGAAAAUUUGAGGUUGUAUAAUUUAUAUGAAGAUAAACUGCAAAAUAAGUUUACGUGCAGAAUUUAAGAUAGUUAUAUAUUAGUAAUUAUGCAAUUAUCAAAUUUUUUUAAUAAAAUUUAUUUAAAAAUUGGCCAAUUGUGUUUCAUGAAGUAAACAAAGAGCAUAAUGGACUUAUGUGGGUGCUUGGGAUUGAAAGACUAAGAGGCCAGAAGAUAGGACGGUACGAAAGUUAAUUUUAAUUAUAAGGUAUGCUCAACAGAAGUGACUUGGAGGUGAUUGUCGUUAAUCUAUUAUCUUUAACUUUAGAAUUAAUACAAAUAAAUGAAUGAAAAUUAAUGUAAUAAAAAAAUCGCACUAAAAACUUGGAACUUAAAUUCUCAAUCAUCUUUUCCGUAUGUUUUAAUCCAACGGUCAGAAUUGGCAUAAAACAAACUAGUAUAGCCAUUGGAAUUAAGUAAAAUAAACAUCAAACUAAGAGGCAAGAGCCUAUGAAAGCAAUAAUAUCUCAUACCUUCUUCCGUUUAUAUCUUCAAUUACUGCUGAAAGCUCUAGCUAGAGAGUCGCACAAGCUCGGAGAAAAUUAAAAGCUGCAUCUAGCAAUAUAAAUAAACAUCAGAUCAAACCAACAUAGGAUAUAUCUAGAUAAUUAACAUCAUAUAUAACUGCUUAUUCUCAGUCAAAUCUUUCAUUCUUAGAAAAAAAAAAUUGAAAUAAUAACUGUAAGUGAUAUAGGAAGCAAAAGUAACAUACCAAAACGAGAGCAGCUAGCUCACAGAUCUGGUGACUUCCAAGAGCAUGAAAAAUGAUUGAGGUUUAAUAGCAAGGUCCGAGUCAUGUUUCAUAAGUUGCUAUUGACUUCGUGGCUUCGCUUUUCUUUGUUUUUUUUCGUUUUUUGUGUUUGUUUAUAUAUAUAUAUGAUGAGGGGGUAAUAAUUUUUUUGGGUUCGGCUAUAUUGUAGUUUAUCUACGGUGGAGCGCAAAUCACAGCCACACACAUAAAGUGAUAAUUAAUAAAUAAUGAAUUAUAAUGAGAUUUUUACUAUUUAUCAUUUUGCGUGUGUGAUUGAGAUUCGUGCUCACUGUAGGUGAAAUUCAACAUAGCCAUACCCUUUUAAAAACCUUUCGUGAGGUUUAAGGUCACUCGGAUAGACUAUAUUUCGGAACUACCAAAUAUCCCCCUGCCCAUUGUACUCUGUUUAGCAUCUUUUGGAUGGUUGAGGGUAAUUUGGUAAAACUCAUUUAAAAAUAAAAAAUUUCAAAGAAAUUCUAAAAGAAGCUUUGUAUCUGGCCAUCUGGGGUAUAUCCUUGGAGUUGUCGUGGGAAUGAGUUUGAAUCUAAAGAUUUUCAUUCUCUUAUUUUAUUUAUUUCUCCUAGGAAUGAAUUUGAGCCUUAUUUUCAUGAGACUCAUUCUUUUUAAAUAAAGAUAGAUAUCUCCCUACAUAUUUGAGGUAUAUUUUUAAAAUUAAUGUUCAACAUAUCUGUGGAGUGUAUUAUAAAUAUUUAUGUCUAAAAUCUCAACAGAUUUCACUAUAUAUAUAUAUAUAUAUAUAUAUAUAUAUAUAUAUAAGCGGGAUUAGCUAAACAAUAAAAAGAACACAUUAUGAUUGGAAAUACGGAAUUAGAAUUGUGAUUAUAAUAUGAAUUUUAAUUGAAAUUGAAAUUGUAAUUGCAACUAGAAUUGUAAUUGCGAUCGGAUAUGUAAUUAUCAAUGUAAUAGAAGUUGUAAUUAUUACGGCUAUUGUAAUUGUUCUUGUGUAAUUGCAACUGUGUUUUUAAUUUUAAUUACACUUAAUAAUACAAUUAUAAUUGUGAUCAUAAUUGCAAUUGUAAUUACAAUUGUAUCUUUAAAAAAAAAUUAAUUACAGUUGUUAUUCUAUUUAUUGUUACAAUUACAAUUUUAUUAUCGUUAUUCUUAUUGUAAUUGUUGUUAAAUAUUAUUAGAAUAAAAAUAUUAUUAGAAUAGCCAUUGUAACUGUCAAUGGAAUUACGAGUACAAUUGUUAUUGUAAUUAUUAUUGUAAUUGGGAUUAAAAUUGAAAUUGUAACAAAGUAAAUGGAAUUACAAUUGAAAUUAAAUUUGUAACGGUUGUUUAAAUUAAUAAUAAAAAAAUGAAAUUGAAAUUAUUGAUGUAGUUAUUAUAAUUGCAAUUGUAAUUUUAGUUGUAAGAAAGUUCAACUGAAAUUAUCAAUCGUAAAUAUAAUUAAAAUUGCAAUUAGAAUUGUUCAACAAACAUUUACAGAAAAAAGUGUCAAUGCUAUUUUUUAUUUUUGAAAAAGAAAGAGAAGCAACAGUAACCAAAUUCUUAGAGCAGUAUAAAUGCUGCGUUUAAUUGUCAGUAAUCUAAAUGGGUUGGAAUGAGUAUGAGCUGUAAUGGAAAUGGGGAAUGAAAAUCAAAAUAAGUUGUUUACUUGAGCUAUAGGAAUCAAAAUCGAAAUAGACUGAAAUUCUAUUGAUGUGUUUAUUUUAUUUUGAAAUAAGAACCGAAAUAAGUUAAAUAAUUCUAAAUUACUAAAAUGUUGUUAGUUAAUUAUAAUAUAAUUAUUUUAUUAUCGUCGCCAUCAGGGGCGGAUUCACCUUAGGACCAGUGGGGACUUAAGCCCCCACUGGAAAAUUUUUUUUUUAAUAAUUAAUUUAGUUUUCUUAAAAUUCUCAAUAAUUUUUUCUAAAGCCCCCACUAAUUUAUAGUCAAGCCUAUAAUUUUUUCUAAAGCCCCCAGUGAAUCACUAUGAUUUUUUCUAAAGCCCCCAGUAAAUCACUAUGCUGUCUCCGCCCCUGGUCGCCAUCAUCAUCAUUAUCAUUACCAUUAUCAUAUUUUUUAAUUUUUAUUAUUAUAAAAAUAAUUGUUAAUAAUAAUAAUAUUAAAAAUAAUAUCAUUAAUAAUUUAUUAAAAUGCCUUUUGUUAAUUAUUGUCUAAUGAUGGUGGUGGUGGUGGUGGUGAUAAUAAUGGUGAUAAAUAAUAAUUAAUAAAUUAAUAACAAUAAUGACGACACCAAUAAUAAUAGUAAAAUUUGUAAUAUAAAUAAAAUAAUUAAUAAUAAUUAUUAUUAUUACAAUAAUAAAUAAAUAAUAGAAAUAAUUAAUAAAUUAAUAACAAUAACAACAAUAAUAAUAAAUUUUAUAAUAAUAUAAAUAAUAAAAUAACAACAACAACCAAUUAUAACAACAAUAAUAACUAAAUUCCAUAAUAAUAAUAAUAAUAAUUUUCAGUUUUUUUCAAUUUAUAUUUUUAAUUUCUAAAGAGGGUGUAUUUAAAACGUAUUAGAAAUAAUUUUGUUAUUCUAGGGAAUGGAGUUUCCAUUCCCAACUCUUCUUAAGAAAUCACAACUCUAACAAUCAAUCUAAAAUUUAUGAGGAGUCAUGAAACUCAUUCUGAUUCCGAAACUUAAUUUAACAAAUAAACAAAUUAUUCAUUUCAAUUCAUUUUCUCCGAUUCCCGAGUUGUAAAACACAGUAUAACUUUUUUUUUUUUUUGUUGUUGUUUCAGCUGGGCGACCACAAGUUGUUGCUGUCAGUUGCCCGCAAAUUCUCGACUAUUUCAAAAUAACUUCCAGUCGCUGAUUGUACAAGGCAUCAAAUCCAGUGCUCUAUAUUUGUUUAAAAACAUUUUAUUACAUGGGAUCUUUUAAUAGAUCCAGUGCAUGCAGCCGUAGCCGUUGUGGGGUUUCGACAACUUUUGUCUUAUAUGGCGACUUUUUGUUGUUGUUUUAUUUGUAUGAUGACUAUCAUGGACCUACGUGCCCGCAUUUAAAACUUCAUAAUAAUUUAAAAAAACAAAAGAAAUUGGUCUCACAUUAUAAUUUGUUCAAACAAUAUUAUUUUAACACAAACGAUCAAAAUAAAUUUUAUAUUCACUAAAAACUUAAUAUAUAUAUAUAUAUAUAUAUAUUAUAACAUAAAUAUGAAAACAACAUUUGAAAAAAAAAUACAUAGGCACCUUUAAAUUUGAUGUAUAGCACUAGAAUAUUCUUUGUUGUAGGUCGCUUCUUUUGUAUUUAAAAUUUUCUAAUAAUUUAAAUAAAAUAAUAGAAGUGCGUCUCACAUAUAGUUUAUUGUAUAAUUUUUUCAAACAAUAGUAUUUUAAUACAAACGACCAAAGCAAACUUCAUAUUUACUAAAAAUUAACCAUAUAUAUUAUAACAUAAAUAUGAAAACAACGUUUGACAAAAAUAUAAAGGCACCUUUAAAUUUAUUGUACAGCACUCUAUCAAUAUUUGUCGUAGGUCUUUCUUUUGCAUUUAAAAUUUCGUAAUGACUUAAAUAAGACAAAAGUAGUGGGUUUCACAUACGAUUUAUUAUAUAAUUUUUUAAACAAUAUUAUUUUAAUACAAAUGACGAAAAAAAAACUGUAUAUUCACUAAAAAUUAUAUAUAUACACACACACACAUAUACAUAUUAUUACAUAAAUAUGAAAACAACAUUUGAAAAAAAUACAAAGACACCUUUAAAUUUAUUGUAGAACACUCGAUCAAUUCUUAUCUUAGGUCCCUUCUUUUUCAUUUAAAAUUUUGUAAUAAUUUAUAUAAGACAAAAGAAAUGGACUUGACACAUAAUUUAUUGUAUUUUUUUUAAGGUUGUAUAUUUUUUUCAAAUAAUAUUAUUUUAAAAUUUCAUAAUAAUUUAAAUGAGACAAAAGAAAUGGGUCUCACAUAUAAUUUAUUGUAAAUUUUUUUUUCAAACAAUAUUAUUUUAAUACAAACGACCAAGAGAAAUUUCAUAUUCACUAAAAAUUAAUCAUAUUUACAUUAUAACAUAAGGCAAUUCCUAAGUUACGAUUUGUGUAACUUACGGCCUGGCAAAUUUUAAGUGUUAAAUGUGCUUGUAUCCAAUCCAACGGACGACAUCAAAUUUAUCACAAAGUAGUAACGAGUGGUAACUCGACUGAACUGAUUGUUUCAAGUGAUGGGCUACCUGUCCUUGCCUCUCUCUUAAGAAUCUAAGCAGCGAAGAACUUGACUUGGAAAUUGGCGAGGAAGGACUGUUUAUCGGAGAUGAGUAUAGAGGUGGUGACCUCCCAAGUAGCGUCGGCUUGUUGAAACUGAAUGAGCCACUAAUUCGCUGCCACGCGGUUGCAUAAUUAGUUCUUGUGAUUCAACCCAUGAAAAAUUGCUCCACCUGAAUUUGCAAGUCCAUCUGCAUCACAUGACAAAUUCGGUUGCGGAUUUUGAGGAGGAUGGUCUUGGAGGAUAUGAAACUCCUCUUGCUUAACAUUUUGGGUCUUCCUAAUUUUUGUUUCUUCAUACAAUAGCAAACAUUUGAGGUUAAAGCCUAUUUAAUCUAUUUAUUUUUUAAAAUAUCUUAAAACAUCCUUAUCGUUAAAGUAUUAAUACACCUGCCGUUAUUUUUAUUUAUUUUGGCUUAUUUGUACAAUAUCACCCUUUUAUAAUAAUUUUUUUAUUUAGACAUUAAUAAAAAGAAAAUAAUUAAAUUACCAAUUUAAUUAUAGAAAAUAAAAAAAAUUAUAAUAAUUUUUUUACAAGCACCAUUUGCACACUUGGUAGUUUGCAUACAAUUUUUGACAAUUAAAAAUAAUAUAAUUUUUUAUUUUAUUUUUAGGGUUAAAUUGGUAAUUUAAUUAUUUUUUUAUUAAUGUUCAAAAAAUAUUAUAAAAGGGUAAUAUUAUAAAAGUAAGCCAAAAGAAAUAAAAAGUAACGGUAGGGGUAUCAAUACUUUAACGGCAGGGAUAUUUCGAGACAUUUUAAAAAAUAUAGAAACUAAAUAAAUACUAAUCUUAAAAUAAAAGGACUAAUAAACUUUUACGUUUGGGAUUUAUUUCAGUGAAAUCCACCAUAAAGCCCUCAAAUCUCUAAUACUCGCUUCUUUGGGAAGAUCUUUCACUUAACCAAUCACAAAAAAAGAUGUCUCUCUUUAAAGUUAAGGAAAAGGCACAAAGAAACAUUAAACAUAACCGACCACAGAAAAAAUCCAAUUUUCAGUUUAAUGUUUAAAAUUCAAUAAAGUUAAGAAAGCAUGUUUCACUCUUUCAGGGAUUGCAUCCCUUGUCAAUCAAUCGUUUCUUCGUGCAUGGUCCAACCUGAAUAUGUCAUUCAACCCGUAAAAGCUUCCCUGAAGUUUUGGCAUCAAAUGGAACAUCUGCUGAACCCACAAGUUGGAGAUUAUCGGAGACAAAAAUAAGCACGCUGCCAGCGGGACUACAGAGCUGGCAAUUGAUGGUGGUGAUGGAGUGUUGGCACUGCAGGAAGGGAUGGCUAGUGAACUCAGCAACGAUAUUUUGCGAGUCUACGCCUCCCUCUCUUUUUUAAUUUCGCAUUUACUGUUUCCGCUAGAGACUCACGUGACCGAGAGAGAGAGAGAGAGGGGUCUUCUUAAUUUAAUGUUUAGAAUUUAAUCGUGAAACGACCUCGUUUUUAUUUAUCGCCAUGGAUUAUAGAAGGUAAUCUUUUACGCUACGUUUGAAAGAUAUAAUUGGAUUAAAUUAGAGUUGAUUAUAUAAUACUAUCUUUUGUUUGGUACAAUAUUAGACAAGACUAUGCUAAUUUAAUUUAAUAAAGCUAAAUACUAUUUAAAUAAUAUAAUAUUUUUAAAUUAUAUUGAUAAUUGUUUACUUUAAUAUUUAAUAUCCAAUAUUAGUUUAAGUAAAUUAAUGAAUAAAAUUUUGAUGUUCUAUAUAAAAUAAAAUUACAUGUUGAAAAAAUUAUGAAAUUAACUUCUAUGUUUAAUUUUUUUUUCUAAAUAUUAGGUUAAAUGAAAAAUAAAAUAGUGAAAAAAAUACACAAAUUCUUCAUUUAAUUUUAUCCCACCUAAACCCAUAUAAAUAUGAGGACUAAUAAUCCCAAUUUUUUUGACUAAAUCUUAAUCUAUCCUAUUAGUUCAUGACACCUAAACAUAUUUUAGGAUUAAAUUAUUUUAUUAAUCUUAAAAUAUAAUCCAAUCGCACAAUUUAUCCAACCUUCCAAACAUAACCUUAAUUGACUCUUUUACCAUCGCUCUCCAACCGUUUCAACCAAUUACAAUUUCCUUACUGUUACGUACAUGUGGCAUAUUUUUACUGGUUGACUAAUUAAAUCACGGGCUGUAACAUACAGUAAAACGUAACUUAGGGUGACCCCAUAACAUAAAUAUGAAAACGGGAAAAUUCUAUAAUGUCGUAAUUAAAUUUACGGCAUUGAUGCCGUAAUAGACGUGGACCGUUAGAUUAAAUCAACGAUUCACAAUAAUAAUAAAAUAAUAAAAAAAUUUAAUUAAAUUAUAUAUAACCGGUUUAUAACCGGUUAAGUACUUUUUAAAAUAAAAUUCCGGUGAUAUAAAUUUAAAGGAAAAAAGGAUUUACUUUUUAAAAGAAUAAAAAAAAAUACAAAGGGAAAACUUGAUCCCUAAUUAACGAAUUGCAAAAGAUAUAGUCACACCCACUGCUGCGUUAACUUCCGUUCGGGUGCACCGGCGAUACGUCUGCAGAUUGCAACCAUUCUUUGAGUUGAUUUUCUGUCUUGUUCGAAUUGUUGAGUCUCUGUCGUUGCUGCCUCUGUCUUGGUUUUGGCAGUCGUCACCUGUGCAAGGUAAGUUUAAUCCUCUUUCUCGUUCGAAUUGCUAAGCAAUUUCGUUUUCUUUGCUGAAUUUGCUAAGUAAUUUAAUUCCAGAUUUCUCAUUCAAUUUUAUAUUAACUGACAUAGUAUCAUCGUCAUAAUUUGUUCACGGAAUUCUUAGAUUCAAUUCCGCUGGAAUUAACAAGUCUCUGCACGCCGGAUUUGUUCACGGAAUUAAGAAGGUCUGUGCAAAGUGUUUGGGUUUGCUGGACCACAUAGACAUUGCCCACUUGCCUGGCAAUCUGUCACUAUACCGGCUGGACCACAUAGACAUCUUUCUCAAAGUCUUUGAGUGAAUAGUAAGUUCAUACUCUCCAUUUUCUAGUGUAUAUAUAUCUCAAUUGUGGGAAAGAAAUCUGUAAUAAUUCACUGCUACUAACAGAUCAUAAUUUAGUACAAGUUCACGCUCAUGAUAAUUUGUAAUAAGAUGUCUGUUUUCCAGCAAUUGUUAAACUUGCAAUCAUUGUUCACAAUUGCAGCCUGCAUCUUUGCCGUAUUUCUCAUUUUCAAAUGGUUUCUUAUCCAACCACUUAGCACCAAAAAAACUUCAAAGUAGGUUGAUGAUUUUCUUGAGGUAGUCAUUCAAGAACAUGAGAAUAAGAUGAGUGACAAUUCUCAAGUUGAAGAUCAUAAGGACUUUAUAGAUGUCUUGUUUUGGCUUGAGAAAGAAAAUAAUUAGCUGCUGUUUUUAGGUUAAAUUUUCUGUUGUUUCUGGGUAAAUUGGCUGGUGUUUUUCAGUUAUUUUUCUGCUGUUUUUGGGUUAUAUUUUUUGCUGUUUCCAGGUAAAAUGUUCUGGUGUUUUGGGCUUCAUUUGCUGCUGGUUCUAGGUUAAAUAUUUUGCUGUUUUUGGGUAAAUAUACUGCUAUUUUUCAGUUAAAUUUUCUGCUGUUUUUGGAUAAAAUUUUUGCUGUAUUUGGGAUGAUUUGCUACUGUUUGUGGUUAAAAUUUUCUGGUGUUUUGGGCUUCAUUUGCUGCUGUUUUUAGGUUAAAUUUUCUGCUGUUUUUGGGUAAAUUGGCUGCUGUUUUUCAGUUAAAUUGUUUGCUAUUUUUGGAUAAAUUUACUGCUGUUUUUGGGUUAUAUUUUAUGCUGUUUCCAGGUAAGUCUUUUUGGUGUUAUGGGCUUCAUUUACUGCUAUUUUUUGGUUAAAUAUUUUGCUGUUUUUGGAUAAAUUUACUGCUUUUUUGGAUAAAUUUACUGCUGUUUUUGGGUUAUAUUUUUUGCUGUUUUCCUGGCAGUCUGUCACUAUGUCGGCUGGACCACAUAGACAUCUUUCUCAAAGUCUUUGAGUGAAUUGUAAGUUCAUACUCUCCAUUUUCUAGUGUAUAUAUAUCUCAAUUGUGGGGAAGAAAUUUGUAAUAAUUCACUGCUACUAAUAGAUCAUAAUUUAGUACAAGUUCACGCAUAUGAUAAUUUGUAAUAAGAUGUCUGUUUUCCAGCAAUUGUUAAACUUGCAAUCCUUUAUCACAAUUGCAGCCUGCAUCUUUGUCGUAUUUGUCCUUUUCAAAUGGUUUCUUAUCCAACCACUUAGCACCAAAAAAUCACUACCACCUUCUCCCCCACAGCUCCCAAUCAUUGGAAACCUUCACCAACUGGGCUUGUUCCCUCAUUGCUCACUCGGUGCUUUGGCACAAUGCUAUGGCCCCCUGAUGUUGCUUCACUUAGGCAAAGUGCCAGUGCUUGUUGUCUCUUCUGCUGAUGUUGCCUGUGAGAUCGUUAGAAAUGUAAUCUUUGCAAUCAACCAAAAUUAACCCCAUUUGUAAAACUUUUAAACGGUUGUAUAGAUGUCUCUAUGACACCUUAUGGUGAGUACUUAAGAAAAGUUAAAAGCUUAUUUGUUGUACAACUUUUAAGUAACAAAAGGAUUCAUUAUUCUUUUCGUGAUGUUAGAAUAGAAAAAUAUAAUGAUCAAGGAGAAGUUGGUAGUAAGUUUAGGAAGCAGUUUAAGGACUUUAUUGAGUUGAUGGCUACUUUUCAUGUGGGAGAUUAUAUUCCAUGGCAAGGUUGGUUGUGCUAUUUUAAUAGCUUGAAUGCCAAGCUUAAGAAAACUUCAAAGGAGGUUGAUGAUUUUCUUGAGGUAGUCAUUCAAGAACAUGAGAAUAGGAUGAGUAACAAUUCUCAAGUUGAAGAUCACAAGGACUUUAUAGAUAUCUUGCUUUGGCUUCAGAAAGAAAAUAUUUUAAACUUUCCUAUUGAUAAAGCUUCAUUUGCUGCUAUUUUUAGGUUUAAUUAUCUGCUGUUUCUGGGUAAGGUGGCUGCUGUUUUUCAGUUUAUUUUUCUGCUGUUUUUGGAUAAAUUUACUGCUGUUUUUGGGUUAUAUUUUUUGCUGUUUUAAGGUAAUUUUUUUGGUGUUUUGGAUCCUCUUCUUUCUCCAAUUGCAGGGCCUGAAGAUAUAAACAUCAGCUAUCAGGAAGCCCAAAGUAACAAUGAUGAGAGUAAAACUACCAAGAAUUUCAAUAAUUCCAUAUUUAAAGUUUAUAGAAUUUGUUACUAGAAUACUCUGAAUGGCUAAGUAAUUUCUCAAAAGAUUUGGAAACAAUGAAACAUAUGUUUGACUUACAAUUGAUCAAAAAAUAGGUCCAUCAACAUUGUUUUCCCGGUCCCUACUCCCCCAUAAAGGUACAAUCCUUUGACAGGUGAGUAUGAAGAUUGUGGUAGUAAACGUGACCACAGCCACCGACUCCUGUAGACAAACAGGACUAUCUGUCAAAUAGUUAUGUAAAUUCGCACCACAUUAACAUUGUAGAAUUACAAAUUUAAAAAAAGAAAAAUAGACCAGAUGAACAGGGGAGUGAUCCUGCAAUAUUAAAAUGUAAUCCAUUAGUUGAAAUCUGAACAAAAUUAGAGUAAACUGUAAUAUUUACCUUUCAGAUUUCUCAGAAGAUGAAUAGCGAUCUAACUUCCAGGCAUCAGCUGAUUCAACAAGCUAAUCAUACAGUCUUUGAAGUUCUCCUAACGCUCCUAACUGCCAAAAAAAAAAAUUUCACUGUAAGGGCAACUUUUACAUCAUUAAACAACAUAGUAGAUGGUCCACUCACUUCUUAGUCAUCAGGGAACUGACCGUUCCAGUGGUGCCAACUUUGAUGGAUCCUCCACUGCUCUUGAUAGUUUCUAGUGUAUGAACCAUGUUUUUCCACAAGUUUCAAUUAGAAGUCUAAGAAAAGAUCUUCCAAAAGAUGAAGUUCUUUGCCCUCAAAGCUCGCUUGGAGAAAGAUUGCAGAUGAAAGGAAUUAAAAUCCUGCAAAGCAAUAACACCACCCAAUGCAUGUAGAUUUGAGUUGUAUUUUCUGGUUGAAAGGUAGCUCAUAUUCUUAACAUUAAAGUUAUUUUUUUUCCCCAAAAAAUGAUAUAGUUACACUGGCAAACUAUAAAGCUGCAAAUUGAAAGAAAAGCCGGAUAAUUCCCAGAAAAUACUAUUUUCUUCUACAGUGACGUUGAGACUUAAUGGGAAAUGUUUUUUUUUUUCCGCCUUUUAUUUUCAAAAAAGGGGAAAAAUAGAUAGUAUAAAAUUUUUUUUUUUUAACUUUUUUGCUGUUGAUGGUGCCAUAAUUGUUAUAAUAUUGAAUUUUUUUAAUAAAUAAUAACUAUAAAAAUAUUUUAAUUAAUUAUUAUAAAUUUUAAUUAGGUAAUAUUAAAUAAAUAAUAAUAAUAAAAGAUUAAUAAAUUAUAAUGAAUUAUAAUUAUAAUAAUAUUAUAAUAAAUAAUAAUGAAAUAAUUUCAUACUGAUAGUAAUACAACAAAAUUAUAAAUAUAAUAAUAUUUUUACUAAAUAACAAUAUAAUAAAAUAUUAAUAAUAAUAACUUAUUAUUAUAAUAAUUAUUAUAAAGUUUGAUUGCAAUAAUAUUUUCAUAAAUAAUAAUCAUAUAACAAAAUCAUGAAAUUAAUAAAUAAUAACAAUAAUGAAUUAGUAAUCAUAAUUAUAAUACUAUUUUAAUAAAUAUGAUGAUGAUGAUGAUGAUGAUGAUGAUGAUUAUUAUUAUUAUUAUUAUUAUUAUUAUUAUUACAAUAAUCAACAAAGGGCAUUAAAGUAAAUUAUGAUAAUUCAUUCUGAUUUCAAGACAAAUUAAACACAUCGAUGGAAAUGAAUCUCAUUCCGACUUCAAUUUCUACAACUCAAAUAAAUAACUUAUUCUUAUUCACAUUCUUGAUUCUAAUUGUAGCCCGUUCCGAUUACUGAUUAGUAAAUGCACCAUGAGCAGAUUAUUGUGGUUUAAUUGGGUCUGUUUCAUUUCAAGUUUCAUAUCAUUUUCAUUGUUCAAUUUAAAAUUUUGAUUUGACCUUCAACCUAAUCAACUUAACCAGAUGAUAUAAGGUUUGGGUAGAAUUGGGUUAAACAAGUUUAUUUAGUUAAGUUUGAUGGAUUUUAUCUCAGCUCAUUAAAAAGUAGACCAGGUUAGAAUUUCACUAACCCUAUCAAAUCCAACUCAUGCUCACCCUUAUAUCAUUCUAUCUAAAUCAUAAAAUGCCAAUAAUCCAACUCUUUAACCAUUUUCACAUUGGAUUUAAGUUGAGGCAAUUGACCUGAACUAAAUAACCUAAAUUUCAAAUAAAUGUGAAAUAACACAAAAAAUUUCUAAACCACACAUAUGACUCGUAAAUUGAAGGUAAAACAGGUAAAUUAGCGUUAGAGUGGUAAAUUGGUAUACAAAAUUUAUAAAAAAAAUAGAAAAAAAACUAGUAAAUUGAUAGAAAAUGUAGUAAAUAAAUGUUGGAGUUGUAAAUUACAAGAAGAAAUUGUAAACAAAACAAAAACUUAGAAAAAUGACAUAGAACUUGUAAAUUGAAAUUAAAUGUGAAAUGAAACAAAUAAUUUGUAAACCACACAUAAAACUAGUAAAUUAAUGGAAAAAGGGGUAAAUUAAUGUUGGAGUUGUAAUUGGCAAGAAGAACUUGUAAACAAAACAAAAACUUAGAAAACUUACAUACAACUAGUAAAUUGACAUUACGUGUGAAAUGAAACAAAAAAAAGUGUAAAUCACACAUAAAACUAGUAAAUUGAUGGAAAAAAUGGUAAAUUAAUGUUGGAGUUGUAAAUUGCAAGAAGAACUUGUAAACAAAACAAAAACUUAGAAAAAUGACGUAGAACUUGUAAAUUGACAUUAAGUGUGAAAUGAAACAAAAAAUGUGCAAAUCACACAUAAAACUAGUAAAUUGAUGGAAAAAUGAGUAAAUUAAUGUUGGAAUUGUAAUUUACACGAAGAACUUGUAAAUAAAACAAAAAAUUAUAAAAAUGACAUAGAACUAGUAAAUUCACAUUAAGUGUGAAAUAAAACAUAAAAUUUGUAAACCACACAUAACACUAGUAAAUUAAUGAAAAAAAUGGUAAAUUAAUGUUGGAAUUGUAAUUUGCACGAAUAACUUGUAAAUAAAACAAAAACUUAUAAAAAUGACAUAGAACUAGUAAAUUCACAUUAAGUGUGAAAUAAAACAUAAAAUAUGUAAACCACACAUAAAACUAGUAAAUUAAUGAAAAAAAAUGGUAAAUUAAUGUUGGAAUUGUAAUUUGCACGAAGAACUUGUAAACAAAACAAAAACUUAUAAAAAUGACAUAGAACUAGUAAAUUGACAUUAAUUGUGAAAUAAAACAAAAAAUGUGUAAAUCAUACAAAAAACUAGUAAAUUGAUGGAAAAAUGAGUAAAUUAAUGUUGGAGUUGUAAUUUGUACGAAUAACUUGUAAACAAAACAAAAACUUAGAAAAAUGACAUAGAACUAGUAAAUUCACAUUAAGUGUGAAAUAAAACAUAAAAUAUGUAAACCACACAUAAAACUAGUAAAUUAAUGAAACAAAUGGUAAAUUAAUGUUGGAAUUGUAAUUUGCACGAAGAACUUGUAAACAAAACAAAAACUUAGAAAAAUGACAUAGAACUAGUAAAUUGACAUUAAUUGUGAAAUAAAACAAAAAAUGUGUAAAUCACACAUAAAACUAGUAAAUUGAUGAAAAAAUGAGUAAAUUAAUGUUGUAGUUGUAAUUUGUACGAAAAACUUGUAAACAAAACAAAAACUUAGAAAAAUGACAUAGAACUAGUAAAUUCACAUUAAGUGUGAAAUAAAACAUAAAAUAUGUAAACCACACAUAAAACUAGUAAAUUAAUGAAACAAAUGGUAAAUUAAUGUUGGAAUUGUAAUUUGCACGAAUAACUUGUAAACAAAACAAAAACUUAGAAAAAUGACAUAGAACUAGUAAAUUCACAUUAAGUGUGAAAUAAAACAUAAAAUAUGUAAACCACACAUAAAACUAGUAAAUUAAUGAAACAAAUGGUAAAUUAAUGUUGGAAUUGUAAUUUGCACGAAGAACUUGUAAACAAAACAAAAACUUAGAAAAAUGACAUAGAACUAGUAAAUUGACAUUAAUUGUGAAAUAAAACAAAAAAUGUGUAAAUCACACAUAAAACUAGUAAAUUGAUGAAAAAAUGAGUAAAUUAAUGUUGUAGUUGUAAUUUGUACGAAAAACUUGUAAACAAAACAAAAACUUAGAAAAAUGACAUAGAACUAGUAAAUUCACAUUAAGUGUGAAAUAAAACAUAAAAUAUGUAAACAACACAUAAACAAGUAAAUUAAUGAAAAAAAUGGUAAAUUAAUGUUGGAAUUGUAAUUUGCACGAAGAACUUGUAAAUAAAACAAAAACUUAUAAAAAUGACAUAGAACUAGUAAAUUGACAUUAAUUGUGAAAUAAAACAAAAAAAAUGUGUAAAUCACACAUAAAACUAGUAAAUUGAUGGAAAAAUGAGUAAAUUAACGUUGGAGUUGUAAUUUGUACGAAUAACUUGUAAACAAAACAAAAACUUAGAAAAAUGACAUAGAACUAGUAAAUUCACAUUAAGUGUGAAAUAAAACAUAAAAUAUGUAAACAACACAUAAAACUAGUAAAUUAAUGAAACAAAUGGUAAAUUAAUGUUGGAAUUGUAAUUUGCACGAAGAACUUGUAAACAAAACAAAAACUUAGAAAAUGACAUAGAACUAGUAAAUUGACAUUAAUUGUGAAAUAAAACAAAAAAUGUGUAAAUCACACAUAAAACUAGUAAAUUGAUGAAAAAAUGAGUAAAUUAAUGCUGUAGUUGUAAUUUGUACGAAAAACUUGUAAACAAAACAAAAACUUAGAAAAAUGACAUAGAACUAGCAAAUUCACAUUAAGUGUGAAAUAAAACAUAAAAUAUGUAAACAACACAUAAAACAAGUAAAUUAAUGAAAAAAAAUGGUAAAUUAAUGUUGGGAAUGUAAUUUGCACGAAGAACUUGUAAACAAAACAAAAACUUAUAAAAAUGACAUAGAACUAGUAAAUUCACAUUAAGUGUGAAAUAAAACAUAAAAUAUGUAAACCACACAUAAAACUAGUAAAUUAAUGAAAAAAAUGGUAAAUUAAUGUUGGAAUUGUAAUUUGCACGAAGAACUUGUAAACAAAUCAAAAACUUAGAAAAAUGACAUAGAACUAGUAAAUUGACAUUAAUUGUGAAAUAAAACAAAAAAUGUGUAAAUCACACAUUAAAACUAGUAAAUUAAUGAAAAAAAUGAGUAAAUUAAUGUUGGAAUUGUAAUUUGCACGAAGAACUUGUAAACAAAACAAAAACUUAGAAAAAUGACAUAGAACUAGUAAAUUGACAUUAAGUGUGAAAUAAAACAUAAAAUAUGUAAAUCACACAUAAAACUAGUAAAUUGAUGAAAAAAUGAGUAAAUUAAUGUUGGAAUUGUAAUUUUCACGAAAAACUUGUAAACAAAACAAAAACUUAGAAAAAUGACAUAGAACUAGUAAAUUCACAUUAAGUGUGAAAUAAAACAUAAAAUAUGUAAACAACACAUAAAACAAGUAAAUUAAUGAAAAAAAUGGUAAAUUAAUGUUUGAAUUGUAAUUUGCACGAAGAACUUGUAAACAAAACAAAAACUUAGAAAAUGACAUAGAACUAGUAAAUUGACAUUAAUUGUGAAAUAAAACAAAAAAUGUGUAAAUCACACAUAAAACUAGUAAAUUGAUGAAAAAAUGAGUAAAUUAAUGCUGUAGUUGUAAUUUGUACGAAAAACUUGUAAACAAAACAAAAACUUAGAAAAAUGACAUAGAACUAGCAAAUUCACAUUAAGUGUGAAAUAAAACAUAAAAUAUGUAAACAACACAUAAAACAAGUAAAUUAAUGAAAAAAAUGGUAAAUUAAUGUUGGAAUUGUAAUUUGCACGAAGAACUUGUAAAUAAAACAAAAACUUAUAAAAAUGACGUAGAACUAGUAAAUUCACAUUAAUUGUGAAAUAAAACAAAAAAUGUGUAAACCACACAUAAAACUAGUAAAUUAAUGAAAAAAAUGGUAAAUUAAUGCUGUAGUUGUAAUUUGUACGAAGAACUUGUAAACAAAACAAAAACUUAGAAAAAUGACAUAGAACUAGUAAAUUCACAUUAAGUGUGAAAUAAAACACAAAAUUUGUAAACCACACAUAAAACUCGUAAAUUAAUGAAAAAAUGGUAAAUUAAUGUUGGAAUUGUAAUUUGCACGAAGAACUUGUAAACAAAACAAAAACUUAUAAAAAUGACAUAAAACUAGUAAAUUGAUAUUAAUUGUGAAAUAAAACAAAAAAUGUGUAAAUCACACAUAAAACUAGUAAAUUAAUGAAAAAAAUGGUAAAUUAAUAUUGGAAUUUUAAUUUGCACGAAGAACUUGUAAACAAAACAAAAACUUAGAAAAAUGACAUAGAACUAGUAAAUUGACAUUAAUUGUGAAAUAAAACAAAAAAAUGUGUAAAUCACACAUAAAACUAGUAAAUUGAUGGAAAAAUGAGUAAAUUAACGUUGGAGUUGUAAUUUGUACGAAUAACUUGUAAACAAAACAAAAACUUAGAAAAAUGACAUAGAACUAGUAAAUUCACAUUAAGUGUGAAAUAAAACAUAAAAUAUGUAAACCACACAUAAAACUAGUAAAUUAAUGAAACAAAUGGUAAAUUAAUGUUGGAAUUGUAAUUUGCACGAAGAACUUGUAAACAAAACAAAAACUUAGAAAAUGACAUAGAACUAGUAAAUUGACAUUAAUUGUGAAAUAAAACAAAAAAUGUGUAAAUCACACAUAAAACUAGUAAAUUGAUGAAAAAAUGAGUAAAUUAAUGCUGUAGUUGUAAUUUGUACGAAAAACUUGUAAACAAAACAAAAACUUAGAAAAAUGACAUAGAACUAGUAAAUUCACAUUAAGUGUGAAAUAAAACAUAAAAUAUGUAAACAACACAUAAAACAAGUAAAUUAAUGAAAAAAAUGGUAAACUAAUGUUGGAAUUGUAAUUUGCACGAAAAACUUAUAAAUAAAACAAAAACUUAUAAAAAUGACGUAGAACUAGUAAAUUCACAUUAAUUGUGAAAUAAAACAAAAAAUGUGUAAACCACACAUAAAACUAGUAAAUUAAUGAAAAAAAUGGUAAAUUAAUGAUGUAGUUGUAAUUUGUACGAAGAACUUGUAAACAAAACAAAAACUUAGAAAAAUGACAUAGAACUAGUAAAUUCACAUUAAGUGUGAAAUAAAACAUAAAAUUUGUAAACCACACAUAAAACUCGUAAAUUAAUGAAAAAAUGGUAAAUUAAUGUUGGAAUUGUAAUUUGCACGAAGAACUUGUAAACAAAACAAAAACUUAUAAAAAUGACAUAAAACUAGUAAAUUGAUAUUAAUUGUGAAAUAAAACAAUAAAUGUGUAAAUCACACAUAAAACUAGUAAAUUAAUGAAAAAAAAUGGUAAAUUAAUAUUGGAAUUUUAAUUUGCACGAAGAACUUGUAAACAAAACAAAAACUUAGAAAAAUGACAUAGAACUAGUAAAUUGACAUUAAUUGUGAAAUAAAACAAAAAAAUGUGUAAAUCACACAUAAAACUAGUAAAUUGAUGGAAAAAUGAGUAAAUUAACGUUGGAGUUGUAAUUUGUACGAAUAACUUGUAAACAAAACAAAAACUUAGAAAAAUGACAUAGAACUAGUAAAUUCACAUUAAGUGUGAAAUAAAACAUAAAAUAUGUAAACCACACAUAAAACUAGUAAAUUAAUGAAACAAAUGGUAAAUUAAUGUUGGAAUUGUAAUUUGCACGAAGAACUUGUAAACAAAACAAAAACUUAGAAAAUGACAUAGAACUAGUAAAUUGACAUUAAUUGUGAAAUAAAACAAAAAAUGUGUAAAUCACACAUAAAACUAGUAAAUUGAUGAAAAAAUGAGUAAAUUAAUUACCUGCUACUUAGGUAACAUGUUACCUAUUUAUUUAGAAUUAAUGGUAGAGAUUUUUUAUUCAAAUCUAACAGUCCACGUCCAUUACGGCAUCAAUGCCGUAAAUUUAGUUACGGCAUUAUAGAAUGACCCAUGAAAACGACAUUUGAAAAGAAAAAUACAAACGCACCUUUUCAUUUGAUGUGCAUUACUAGAACAAUUUUUGACAAAGAUCAUUUGAUGUGCAUUACUAGAACAAUUUUUGACAAAGAUGUUACAACCGAAAGAAUGAAAAGGUCUAAAGUUUUAGGGUGAACAUGGACGAAUUGAUGACACGACAUGUUUUACAGCUCAAUGUCGUUAAUUAAUAUAUAUAAUUGAGUAAUUUCAUCUCUAUAUUAAGCACGCGCCGCCUCAAAUUGCAUGCAAAUACAAAAACAAACUUUUGAAUUUGUUUUUUGAAUUUUUAGGUUAACAAUUGAUUUUUUAUUUUACAUUUUUUUGUUUUUAUUUAACAAUUAAUUUUAAUCAAAUCUUAAACUGUCGUAAUCAAUUAAGAUUUUUCAUUAUGACUCCUUAGCUAAAUUUUGCUCCUUAACUAGAUUUUGGAUCUGUAAUAAAUAAAAAAAUUGGUAACAUUUGUUCCUUUAAGAUAUAUGUUUGAGGGAAAAAUAGGAAAGGCAAUAAAGCGCUACGUGUUAACUAAUGGAAUGAUUCCGACACAAUUUGAGGUACCCCACACAAUUAAAGGUACCCUAUAUAAAUAGAGAUACCCCAUGUAAAUAGAGGUACCCACACAAUCAGAGGUACCCCGUACAAUUAGAGGUACCCCACGUAACUCGAGGUACCUUCGAAAAUAUCCGCCAUGAGAAACGUCUCCGCCUCCUAAAAGAUAUUAUUCGAUUUUAUCAGAAUUAAGAAUAAAAAACGACGCCCUAAAAGGAGGGACAGCCGCCUGCGACCUCUGCCAAAAGUGAAGGACACUGUCCCAAGGAUAGUGGUCCCCAACCGCCUACUCGACAGCUACUGCAAAGGUACCCUGGACCACUCUCCAGUGCGCGCCACGUUUCUAAAAGAUGAGAUAUGCCGCGAACAUACAGAUAACGGCCAAAAAAAUUAUAAAGAGGUAAAAGGACGUUAGCCAAAAAGGGUAUGCCACGUGGCAGCUGAGGUACUCCAUAUAUAAAGGCGCCUAGGUUUCAUUUUCCAUCAGGCUCUCAUUCGCCUAAAAAACACUCACACUCCAAAAAUAGGUUUUUUUAACCUUAAACCCUAAUUUAUAGAGGGCUAGCCAGCUCUCUUUACCAUAAAAGCUUGAGUUUGCUAACUUGAGCGUCGGAGUAUGAACGCCAGGUUACCCCGGCUUCACCUCUAACCUCUAUUUCACUGUUUUGUAGGCGUGAAGCUCAUUUUGAAGGACACCUCUCUUGUUUUUGACCUUCCACCAUUAUUACCACUCUCUCUCCCCUUCUCACCUCCCCCGAAUUUCAGAUACACUGCACCGCACCGCACACAAUAUACUAGUGAGGUACCCCAUCUCCCCCAAAAAUAUAAAUUCAUUGUUCUAGAUUGGUUUGACUUUUCCUACCCCAAAAUCAGUUGAAAACAAUUGGCGCCGUUUGUGGGAAGUCGCACAAAAAGCCUCAUCUGCGAUUACCAAACUAGUUGUUGUGUGUGCUCCAAUACAUAGCACCCGACGUACCUCCCGAAGGUUUAAUGGGGGAUCCUACAAGAAUAAGAGAUGACAGCAGCAGUGAAGGAAGUGAUCCCGCAAGAAGGGUAGCCCGCAUCAGCAAAGCAAGGGUAUCAAGUAAUCGACGGGUGUUCGCCAAGAUGAGGAACCUAUUUCUCACAAGCGUUUUGAAGAUCUUGCCCACGCAAUACUUAGGGCGUUUGGAUCUCGGGCACCCGAAAGUUCACUUCCACCAGUGACGCUAGAUGCUCCACCACCUCAAAUGGGCGACCAAGCUAUGGUCAGAAAAGAGGUACCCGAGGCCAGCAAACUAAAGCAUAGGCCAUUGGGUACCCGUUCUAAGUUUCAAACCAUGGGCUUCCGCGACAAGCGUUCCACCGCCUCUUGCAAUUCCCGUAGCAGCCAGGGUACGAGGCGUGCAAAGCAUACCCACGAGGAUCUUCGUGAGAAGUUAAACGCCAAAAAGGCUUCUCAAAUGACGGCGACAUUAUCGGGUACACCGAGGGUACCCCUCGAACUUGUGGAAAAGAUGGAGAACCUGGAAGCCCAAGUGAAGCUCCUCUCCAAGAAGCAAAACAUCACAGCUGCACCAACGCCAAUGACCUACCAAUCUCCAUUCACUAUGGAAAUUAGGACAGUAGCUCUCCCCGAGGCGUUCGUCAUGCCUCAGAUACUCCAAUACUCGGGUACCACUGAUCCCUCGGAGCAUGCUGAGCUAUACUGUGAUCAAACACUUAUCAAAGGUGUAGAUGAGAGCGCCAUGUGUAGGAUGUUUACACACACACUCACGGGCCCCGCGAAGUCGUGGUUUCGCUCUUUGAAAGCGGGUAACAUAUCUUCCCUACACCAAUUGCUAUUCGAAUUUACUAAACAGUUUUCCUACGCCUCCACUCAAGAUAGGGUAACCUCCAAACUUGGCUUUAUCAAGCAAGGGGAAGCCGAGCCUUUGGCGAAGUACGUGAGUCGUUUCCACUAAGAGGUGUUGCGAACCGGGGUAUUUGGAAACCAAUACACAUUGACCCAUUUUGAGAAAAAUUUAAAGCUGGGCAAGUUAUGGCGUUCUUUUCAAAAGAAGAGCCCACUCUCAUAUGGGGAUGCCCGUUCCCGAGCGUUCCAGCAGGUGGAAAUGGACGAAAAAUGCCAAUUGAAGCGCCAAGAAGAUAAGGCUGAUGUUACAAAGAACAAGGAGAAACCCAAGAGGGUGGAGGCCCCAAUACCACGGGUACUCUGAGCACGAAGCCCUCCACGGGCUGCCCUGCGGGGACGAGGGUAUAACCCUCAGGAUACCUCAAGGGUACCCCAACCUCCAAGAACGCCACCACCGGAUCAGCGAGAGCCACCACCGAGGCCUCGGUACGAAUCUUACCAGAAUCGAUCCCCAGAGCAUAUCUUCUACCAUAUUCGGGAUAGCGGCCUCCUCCGUCCUCCUAAGCCAAUGAAGAAGUACCCCAACAUGAAGCGUAGCCUGAAGUAUUGCGAGUUCCAUGAGGACUUUGGUCACAGCACAGCCGAGUGCUUCACCUUGCGAGAGGAAAUUAAAUCUUUGAUUCUCAGCGAGUACCUCAAAGAAUUUAUUGCUGGCAUGAGAAAAGCUCGGAAAUCUGCGGAACAAGAUAAAGGCAAGCGGGUAGCUGAUGGCAGUCCUGAACGAGAGGUACCCCCUGGACACAAAAAAUGCGUGUAUGUCUGAAUGAUCAUGGGCGGACCGACUUUAGCGGGCCAAUCUAGGAGGGCUAUUAAAAGUUAUGGUAGAUUGUUGUUAAUAACCACCAAUAUUGGCAGAGAAAUCAACCUUAAUGAAUGGGGUACACCGAAGGUACCCCACCGUGUUGUUCAUAUGAUUGAUUUUCUUAUUGUAGAUCACCCGGGUGCCUACAAUAUUAUAUUGGGUAGGCCUUUCUUAAAAGCAACUAAAGCGGUGGUAUCCAUGCACUACCUCGCCAUGAAAGUCCCGGUUGCCCAAGAAGUUAUCACCAUUAAAGGGGACAAGCAAUCGGCUCGUGGAUGUUAUUCCGUGGCCUCCAAAGUCACUUACCAAAUAGCUUCCGAUCCGCCAAUGAAAGGGUAUCCCAGUAGCAGCCAGCCCACACCUUCCCCCUCAAAGCGAGCACUUGCUAGACAGCGGAGAGCAGUACUAAAAAAAUCUCCUAAAGUAGCCCACCCACAAAAACAGUUGGAGUCUUCACCAAUGGGAGUAGAAGCAGUUACGGGGGAUAAGUUGAGGGUAUCCCACGGGGACCAGGAGGAGCCCAGAUGUGAAGUUGAGGUACUUUUGGAUCCCUGAAUAUUGAAAGAUGAAAAGCGGGGUACCCUAGUUGAAGACCUUAUUUCAGUCUCGAUUUGUGCCACAGACCCAACAAAGACUGUGAAAAUAGGCUUCAAUCUUUCGGAGGAACAAAGAGAGAGGUUCAUAACCUUCCUACGCGAGCACUACGACAUAUUCGCCUGGUCCCACUCGGAUAUGCCAGGUAUCCCACCUUCUCUCUCUUGUCAUAAACUCAAUGUCAGCUCGCAUUAUAAAUCGGUCAAACAAAAGCGUCGCACCUUCAACCACGAGAGGUACGAUGCAAUUAAACAAGAGGUAGACCGCCUAUUAGCAGCGAGGUUUAUUCGGGAAACAGUGUACCCCGAUUGGGUAUCUAACAUUGUUCUUGUCAAGAAAUCAAAUAGAAAGUAGCGUAUAUGUGUGGACUUCACCGAUUUGAACAAGUCCUGCUCCAAGGAUAGCUUCCCGCUUUCCCGGGUAGACCAGCUGGUUGAUGUAACAGCGGGGCAUGAGAUGCUUAGUUUUAUGGACGCCUUCUCCGGGUAUAACCAAAUUUCGAUGUAUGAACCCGAUCAAGAGAAAACGACCUUCAUCACCAACCAGGGGUCAUACUGUUAUAAGGUUAUGCCGUUUGGUUUGAAGAAUGCCGGGGCUACCUAUCAGCGGCUAAUGAACAAAAUUUUCAAGGAACAAAUCGGGCGCACCAUGGAGGUGUACAUAGACGACAUGAUCACAAAAUCAGUGCAUACGGGGGAACACCUGGGACACCUCAGAGAUACCUUUAUCGUUUUGAGAAGACACCAGAUGCGGUUUAACCCUGAAAAAUGUGCAUUCGGGGUCACCUCAGGAAAGUUUCUCUGGUUCAUGGUACAACAACGGGGGAUUGAAGCCAACCCCGAUAAAAUUCACACAGUUCUUGACAUGAAAUCGCCAAGCACCGUCAAAGAGGUUCAAAGCUUGGUAGGCCGGGUAGUUGCCCUGAGUUGCUUUAUCUCCAAGGCUACCGACCGGUGUAAGUCUUUUUUCAAAGCUUUGAAGACCGACAAGAAGCUCCAAUGGACACCCGAUUGCGAAGAAGCUUUCCAAGAACUGAAGGGGUACCUCGUGAAUGCUCCAGUACUUACCAAACCUGAGCUGGGAGAGGUGCUUCUGUUGUAUCUCGUCGUAUCCGAGCAUGCCACCAGCUCUGUGCUACUCCGAGAAGAUGAGAAUGGGGUACAACGACUUAUUUACUACACUAGUAAAGCUAUUGUUGAUGCCGAAAAGAGGUACCUCACCUCUGAGAAGAUCAUUUUGGCAUUGGUUGUCUCCGCACGGAAGCUCAAACCAUAUUUUCAGGCUCACACCAUUGUAGUCGUCACCAACCUUCCCCUCUGACAAAUCCUCCAAAAAUUAGACAUGUCUGGAAGGCUUCUCCGAUGGUCCCUCAAAUUAAGCAAGUUCGACAUCAUCUUCAAGCCUCGUUCCGCGAUUAAAGCCCAGGCCAUCGCGGAAUUCGCCAAUGACUCAAGUGGUGAAGGUGAUUUGAGAUACAUGUUAGAUACCCCACCCACCGAUGAAGAGGAGCAGGUCUGGGAAAUAUAUAUGCAUGGUUCCUCUAAUUCACGCGGAAGUGGUGCGGGCAUUAUUAUUAUCGACCCGAACAAGGUGAAAAUAUGCUACGCUUUGCAAUUUGGAUUCAAAGUUUCAAACAACGAAGUCGAAUAUGAGGCCAUCAUAGCGGGGUUGAAGAUGUCGAAGGCUUUGGGAGCGAAAAGAGUACACGUCAAGAGCGACUCCCAGUUGGUGAUAAGCCAAAUUACCGCACAAUAUCAAGCGAAAGAGGAAAACAUGAAAGGGUACCUCGGAAAAACCAGAGAGUUGAUGUCCCAAUUUUGUGAGGUUAAGGUGGAAAGGGUACCCCGACUGGAGAACAGCGAAGCCGACACCUUGGCGAAAAUGGCGUCCCUUGGGGUAGCCCAGUCAUCUGGCCCCAUCACAACAUAACACAUACCUGCAUCCAGUGUUGGUCUCCCAAAGCCAUUGGAAGUAAGAUCACUGUCCAAUGAGGUGUUUUGGAUGGAGCCUAUCAUAAGGUACCUCAAGAACGGAGACCUCCCCUUAGAUAAAAGUGAAGCAAGAAGACUAAAGUAUAAAAUCGCACAGUAUUGCCUGAUCCAGAAUACCCUAUACAGAAGAGAGUUCACUCUUCCUUACCUUAAAUGCUUGGAAAACGACGAGGCCGAGUAUGUCAUGAGGGAGAUACAUGAGGGGAUUUGUGGCAAUCACUAUGGACCACAAUCACCGGUGCAAAAAGCCCUCCGUCAGGGGUUGGCCAACCAUGCAGGAAGAUGCCAAGAAUAUGGUACGAAACUGUAACAAAUGUCAAAGGUUUGCCAGGGUACCCCACCUACCCUAGAGAAGCUAACAGUUAUAUCUUCCUUUUGGCCCUUCGCUAUAUGGGGAGUGGAUCUCAUUGGACCGUUACCUACCAGAAAGGGGCAAGCAAAACAUGCAAUUGUGGCGGUAGAUUUUUUUAUAAAAUGGGCGGAAGCGGAGCCACUAAUAAGCAUUACAGAAAGGAAAACUACCAAAUUCAUUUGGAAGAACCUCAUUUGCAGAUUUACGAUCCCCUAUGCAAUUGUUAGUGAUAACGACAAGCAAUUUGAUAAUGAAAAUUUUAAAAACUUUUAUUCGAAGUUGGGGAUAGCCAACCGAUUUGCUACACCUGCCCACCCCCAAUCUAAUGGGCAAGUCCAGGCCGUUAACAAGAUUAUCAAAGGUAUCCUGAAGAAGAAGCUAGAAGAAAGAAUAUGAGCAUGGGUAGACGAGCUACCUGGGGUUCUGUAGGCUUACCGGACUACUCAAAACACUUCCACCAGGGAGACCCCGUUUUUCCUCGCAUUCGGUGUUGAUACAGUGAUUCUAGCAGAAAUCGGGGUACCUUCUCACAGGGUUGAAUACUUUGAUGAGGCCGAGAACACCUCAUUGGUUGCUUCAAACCUUGAUUUGGUGGCUGAAAAAAGGGCUAAAGCAGAAUUGAGGACAGCCAUAUAUCAGCAUCGCAUUUCGGGUCUAUAUGAAAAAAGGGUACGCCCUCGAUCCUUCAAGAAAGGAGACUUCUUGAGAAGGAUAACUCAGAAUACUAGGGUACCCUGCGAAGGCACUUUUGGGGCAAAUUGGGAAGGACCCUACCGCAUCGACAAACCCAUUGAGACAGGUGCAUACAGGCUACUCCACAUGGAUGGCACAAUCGUGAGGCACCCUUGGAAUAUUGCAAUGCUACGGAAAUAUUACUAAAGGAAAAUGUCUUAACCUCUAGUCUUUUUCUGAUUAUUUACUUUCUUUAAUGUCUUUGUGUGGUAGGCCAAAUGGGGUACCCCAAAUGCCCUAUGUUGGUCAGUUGCAACUUUAGAGUUUCUUUAAUUUUCAAAUGAAAAGGAUAGGAGGCCUUGCGGUCUCUCAUUCUCCUUAGGGUAACAAAACUAAGUCAUGUAUUGAUCAACGCUUUCGUUAUCUAUAAAUGCAUUUUCUUUCUCAACAAAUAUGAUGUGGGUUCUUUCUCUAUUUUUCGCCACUUUGAUCUUAGAAUGCGGAUUAUAUUCAUUUAUCGCCAUUAAUAUACCCUCGCAUAUGGUUAUAUGCAAUUCUCGCCAUACGCUUGUCAAUUAUGACUAACCUAUCACAGGACCAGCCAGGGUACCUGAUAUGCCUAGAUCGUGACGAUCUAUGUAAAGCCAAUAUGGGCAACAAAGUGAACAGCCUUUCUGCGGAAACAUGACAAAGCCACCUAAACAAAGAGAUGGAGGGUCAAAGAGGACCCGAGGGUGGAGUAAAACCGGCAUACCCUAGCACCAUGAGGUUCAGCUUAGGUAUGAGUACACUCACACUUCCGUCCUCUUACUUGAGUAAAGUAGGGGGUAAGCUAUUCAAAAAUUCAGAGAGAACUUCUAAGGAAUAAGAAAGUGAUUGGUUGGACCAAUUGCGCACUUUCAAUUUUUGAUCGAGAUGUCGCGAUGAUGUUUUGAUUACCUAUUUGUGGGAAAUCUGCCAUGGUUGCCGAGAAGGGUAUGCACCAAAUUCGCCGAUUUGUGUAAACCAGCAGGCGCCUGAUGUUGAAUAUUUUUUAAGGUACCAGGGGUACCCCAUUUAAAAAAGAAAAAAGAGGUACCCUAGACAUUCACAAGAUAACAGUUUAGCCAAGCAUUCAUUUGCAGAAUAACAAGCAUACAAAGUACAAGAAGACUCGGUGGCAUGGUAUCAUAACAAAGGAGAAGUCCCAAUAAUACAAAAUAUCCCAAGAAACCAAAAAGAAAGAAACAAGGUCCAAAUAACAAAAUAUGGAUAGAUCCAAAAAAAUAAGAGCACAACAAAAAGGCUACACUGAGGGGGGAACGCCAUCCCCAACAUCUGUCUCCAGAGGGCGAUCAGCAGAGGACUCCGAAGUACCCGGAAUAUGAGCAGCUGAAGUAUGAGCAUCCGAGGCAGGCAACGGCUGAAGCGCACGGGGUACCCUAGGCGACCCGGAAGGGGUACCCUACCGUGCCUGGGAAGACUUCUUCCUUUCUGCAAUUGUCUUCAGAAUCGUAGCCUUGUUGACAAAUUUCUGCACACGGGGUACCUCCAGUUCUGGAUCCACACUCUACACCUCUGUCAUGAUAAGUGAGAAUGCAUCCUCCGCCAUUGUCUUUUGUCGAGAUAGCAGAUCUCCGUUGGUGGCCCUCAACUCCUCACAAUCCUUCUCCAUCCGAGCUUUCUCUCCCGACAGGCCAGCAAUGCGUUCUUGCAAAGUCUUAACUUCUCGAGCAAGAUGAUCCUCGCGAGAUUGAUGGCUUUGGAGCUCACUCCUUAACUUAUCGACCUCUGACUGGGCGACAACAAGGGAGUCGAGGUCGGAAAGGCAGUGGCUAAGGAGAAAUGAUGCUUGCGGGUCAUGAAAGACAUGUUAAAUAUAUAUGUAUGGUAAUAGGAUUAAAUAAGUAAAAAAAAUAAUGAAGGGUACACCCGGGGUACCCCAGAAAAGCCUACCUCUUGGGUAGUCCUAAGUGCUUGACCAUAGCGCUGACUCAAACUCAUCUUGUCAGCCUCUUCAGCAACCUCGGAGGUGACAUUUUCAGCAGAGUAGUAAAAACAGCGAGCCAUGUGUGAAACCUCCUUAUUGGCAGCUGGGUCUAGGUCACAUUCGCAUAACUCAUCGAGGAAAGUGGAAACUAGCCCGAAUUUUGUUUUCCUUGAGCGAGGGGUAUCCUUCGACCUGCUGUGGGAGGUACCCUGAGAUUUCCCCUUUGGAGCGGGAGCUGGAGGAGGUCAGGAGCCUUUCGGGGGUACCACCGAAUCCUGAGAUCUGGAAGCACCGCCCACUACUCCUUGGAAAAAGGAGUAAAAAGCGUCACCCGCUGAUUCCAUAAUUGCACCCAAUGCACAAACGUUGUGUUAGCCGGACAAGUACUAAGUACUACAAAAGCCAAAAUGGGAAAUGAAAAGUGGGGAAACAAAAUAAAGAUACGGUGAUAACGGGGUACUCUAGUACCGUAGAUAAUAAUAGAGUACCCCUCGACACCCGAAUCAUACAUGAGUCACCCCCGGGAGCAGAUGGAGGACUUCGGUUAAUCAGCCCCACUCUCCACAAUCUACUCUCCUCCAGCACAUCACUACCCCUUUGUGCACCUCGAAACCUGUCCACAAACUUCUUCAUCUCCCUCCCCACCUCUUGAACUGGGCAUGAUCCUUUAGCCCAUGUCACACCUGCAAAAGCAUAAAGAACCCAGGGUUAGCGAGACAUUGAGGCGAAAGACUCCGAUAAAGAACUAUAAGUAAGGGAGAUACUUACAGUCUACAUUGAAGAAAUGAGGAACCUCCACGGGGUUGCCCUUUUCACCCAAAGUCUCUGUCCCCCACCUACCCUCAGCAACGAACCAUCCCUUUCGGUAACCCUUCUUCAAGGCGGGGUUCCCCUCAACAAUAUGGCCAUGAUCCCCCCAAGGGGAGAAGUAAGCAAUACCGAGACCCUUAGGCUUUUUAAAUUGAUAAAGGCCCCUCAACUCCUGAACAGAAAUGUUGUGCUUCAAGACCUCCAACCAUAACACAUGUAAUCCUGUGAGUGUCCUCCACCCCAGAAGGGACAGCUGCCCGGGAGCUACCCGCAAGUAACUAAACAUUCUCAUAUAGAAAGGUUGGAGGGGCAGCGGAAUCCUAGAUCAAAAAGGUCAAUAUGGAGAGCAAUCCCAUCAGACUUCGGACACUCAGGUCGCUUAUCUACAUGGGGUACCCUAAGCUGAACAGAAGGAGAAAUAUUGUAUUUAGCUCUAAUUUUUUCUAAGUCCCCCAAGGUAGCCCUCCUAGAGCCUAGGAAAAAAAAAGUUGCCAGAUUUUGAAGGUGUGGCAGGGGGAGAUUUGGGAGGCUAGUCCGAGGAACGAACGGGAACCUUGGGUUUAGAUGACUUACUCUUCUUUCGAGGAUGGGGGAUUGGCUGUUUACUAGGAAAGCGUGGGCUGACACGAGGGGUACUCCUAGGGGGAGGGGGUUCAGAAUGAGAAUUACAACUCCUAGAGGAAUUAGGGGGGACCGAUCCCCCUCGUUAAUGGAGAUGUGGGAAGGGGAACCCGCAGGAGGGCUGUCAACCCUACUAGCCCCAACUGCAUGUCGCUUCCUCAGGGGUAUCGUGUGUUUCUUGCCCAUCUACUUUCCCCCAACGACAUAUCCACCAGGCCACAAGUCCCCAACAAUACACCCAACGAUACACCCAACAAUACACCCAACAAUAUAUCCAACAAGCCACAAGUUCCCCAAACAACACAUCCACAAGCCCCCAACAACACAUCCACAAGCCCCCAACAACACAUCCAACAAGCCACAUGUUUCCCAAACAGCAACAUAUUCAUACCAAGCACCAUCCACCACACAUCAACCACCAAAUGCAAACACCAACCAACAAAAAAAAAAACAAAAACAACAAAAACCAAAAAUAAAUUUUUCUCGGAGUAUGCAAAAUAGUGCCACUGUGAAUAUGCCAAAGGAGGAGAAGCAAAGAGGGAUACCUGUGAUUCACCAAUUCGGCAGAUCAAGAUUGAUAAUCGCAGCGAGACGAAGCUGCAGGCAACCAAAAAUAGUGGGUAAAAAUAUGCAAGUAUAAAAAUAAAAAUAAGCUUAAAUAUAUAUAGUUAUUUAUAAAUAAAUGAAUGAAUAAAAUGAAGAACGAAGAAGCUGCAGCAACCGGCGUCAGCUGUCAUGGCUGCAACCACCGAGAACCGACGCCGGAGAUCACGAGAAGGAUGCCGAAAACCACCAAAAGAGGACGCCGACCGAAACCAAAAAAAAAAAAAAAGGAGCUUGGAGAUAUAAAAAAAAGUCAGAAUAAAAAAAAAAAGAAAGGGAAGAGCUUGGAUGAUAAAAAAAAAAUGGGAGAAGCCUGAAGAUAAAAAAAAAAAAAAAAGAGGAAGUAAAAAAAAAAGAAGAGCUUGAAGAUAUAAAAAAAAGAAGUCAGAAUUAAAAAAAAAAAAAAAGGAAGCUUGAAGAUAUAAAAAAGGAAGCUUGGAGAUAUAUAUAAAAAAAAAAGAGGAAGUCAAAAAAAAAAAGGAAGCCUAGAGAUUAAAAAAAAAAAAAAAGAGAAAAGCCUCCAGGAUGAUUUAGAAGAAAAAGAGAGGAGCAUAGAUAAAAAAAAAAAAAAGAGGCCACAUGAAGAGACGAAGAAGCAAAAUGGGGGGUAGAAGAUGGCUUACCACAAAGAGAUCACUGCACCACCAGCCGAACGCCGUCGUCACGCCACCGGAACAUCUCGGUAGACGCCGCCGUCACAAGGCCAGCCAAAAAAAAAAGAAAAAAAAAGAGGAAGAUGAAGAAAAGAGAAAGAAAAUGACAGUGAUAAAAAAAAAAGGGGUGUGAAAGUUGCCUGGAAGGAAUUAAAGAAAAGACAAAGGAAGGAAUGCAAAAGAAAAAGAAAAUGUGACAGUAGGCUGGGAGCAAAGAAAAAAAAAAGGGAGAUGGAAGACGAAAGGACAAGAAGAAAAAAGUAGAAUAAAGAAGAAAAAGUGGAGAUGGGGAGGCGUUGGAAUGUGAAAAGUUUUUGGGGAUGGCAAAAUGAAAAAGAAUAAAGGGUGAAUGAAAACGUGCAGAAGGUGAUUUAUUUAAAAAAAUGUGAAGUUGGUGGUUGAAAUGAUUUGACUAGUUUUUGAAUUUUAAAAGCCAAAGCAAGCAAGAAGCCACUGGAAGUAAUGGGAGAUUAUGUUGGGAUUUUCAAAAUAAAUGAGAGAAAAUUGACACACGUCAGGAGUUUUUAAUUCAACUUGACAGAACACGCUGCCCAAGAAAGAAGUUAAGGGAUGUUUGCGUGAGAUUGAUAUUUUCAAAAUUUAAACUGCAUGUCAGACAGCUGCCACUUCCCAAGAAAAAGGAGAGAGACAUAUGAAGACAACUGUUUGUUCUCAUCGUAAAAAAAAAAGGGGUGGUAAAAGGAAAAGACAGAGAGAAGAUUUUUUAAUUCGAAGUACACAAAGUUUAGUCAAGGGAAGAAACUCAGUAAGGUACCCCCAGUCCAGCCACGUCGCCACGUGUCACUCAUACAAUGAGUUUCUUUUGCCUCCAAUAAUUCUCGCCAAAAAGAAACUAGGAGGAUGUUGUUUGAGGGAAAAAUAGGAAAGGCAAUAAAGCGCCACGUGUCAACCAAUUGAAUGAUUCCGGCACAAUUUGAGGUACCCCGCACAAAUAGAGGUACUCCACACAAUUAGAGGUACCCCAUAUAAAUAGAGGUACCCCGCAUAAUUAGAGAUACCCCAUGUAAAUAAAGGUACCCCACACAAUUAGAGGUACCCCGUACAAUUAGAGGUACCCCACGUAACUCGAGGUACCUCCGAAAAUAUCCGCCAUGAGAAACGUCUCCGCCUCCUAAAAGAUAUUAUUCGAUUUUGUCAGAAUUAAGAAUAAAAAACGACGCCCUAAAAGGAGGGAUAGCCGCUUGCGACCUCUGCCAAAAGUGAAGGACACUGUCCCAAGGACAGUGGUCCCCAACCGCCUACCCAACAGCUACUACAGAGGUAUCCUAGACCACUCUCCAGCGCGCGCCACGUUUCCAAAAGAUAAGAUACGCCACGAACAUGCAGAUAACGGCCCAAAAAAUUAUAAAGAGGUAAAAGGACUUUAGCCAAAAAGGGUACGCGGCGUGGCAGCUGAGGUACUCCAUAUAUAAAGGCGCCUAGGUUUCAUUCUCCAUCAGGCUCUCAUUCGCCCAAAAAACACUCACACUCCAAAAAAUAGGUUUUCUUCAACCUUAAACCCUAAUUUACAGAGGGCUAGCCAACUCUCUUUACCAUAAAAGCUUGAGUUUGCUAACUUGAGCGUCAGAGUGUGAACGCCGGAGUACUCCGGCUUCACUACUAACCUCUAUUUCACUGUUUUGCAAGCGUGAAGCUCAUUUUGAAGGACACCUCUCUUCUUUUUGACCUUCCACCAUUGUUACUACUCUCUCUACCCUUCUCACCUCCCCUGAAUUUCAGAUACACCGCACCGCACCGCAAACAAUAUACUAGUGAGGUACCCCAUCUCCCCCAAAAAUAUAAAUUCAUUGUUCUACAUUGGUUUGGCUUUUCCUACCCCAAAAUCAGUUGAAAACAAUAUAAAAUAACCGUAACAUUGGUUUUUACAUUUUGAAUUUUUCUUGAAUUACUAUUUAGAAAAAUGAUGUUAAAUAAAUCUCACAAAAUAUACAAAGCCACCUAACAUCCAAAUAUUGAUUACAUUUAUUUUGUAUUGUUGGAAUGACGCCAAAGCAAUUGAAAAGAUAUAAAAAAUAAAUAAUAAUGAUGAAGAUUGGCUACGCGAUUUCACUGAAGCUAAGUUGUGACUUGUGACCAUCCAAAUGUCCGUAACAAGUUAUGAUUAUUCUCGCAGCACAAAUCCAAUAGCAUGCAACAAAAUCCACUCUUAACACUUGCCUCUGAAGAAAAUAAAACAGAGUAAAAAGAGCAACCAUGCCAGUGAAUCUCUUUACUUUUCUCCUUAUAAUUUGGGUAAACUCUAUCAAAUGAAAAUGCACCAUGACCACUGACCACAUGGGUCACUGCCACUACCAUUUACUUCUUCAACUGUGCCUCCUGCUUUAAGAAAUCUUCAACUGAAAGAUGGACUAUAUAAUUCAAGAUAAAAAAUACACCUGAGCUGCAAAGGAUACUAUCCACUAGCCUAUCAACGACUAUACUUUAUAUUUUUCUAGUUUUUGAAUCAAAAUUCUGCAAGAUUUAGUUUGGAAAACUUCGACACAACAACCAAACACUCAGUCCUUUUGUGCAUUAUAUCCACCGUAUGAUUCCUUAACAAAACAUCGGUAGCCUGUAGCUUAUCUGACACUGUCCUGACCCAAAGCCCCGCUCUUUUCAACUCAUCUGUCAAACCAUUACCCACUUUUGGAGUCAAAACUGCCCUCGCAGCCCUUUAAUAUUUCUCCAUCUUCAUUGAAUACGUGCCACCCAAAUGCACUCUCUUCCCUCUGGCUGAUUCUGUUUGAUUCAACCUCUUUUCUUGUUUACACUCAUGAAUUUGCAGAAAAUAAUUAACAAGUUUGUCAUCAUCAUAAAAUCCUUCCACAAUCACCACAUACAUUCUGCUGAGCAGGACUCAUUACACCCUUGUUUUAAACAAUUUUUUCUCCAAUUGGUUAAACAAUUUUUUCUCUUCUCUUUGCUCUCUUACAACUUGAGGCAUAUAAUUAAAUGCGUGGCAAUUAGCAUAUGCCAUGAUGUAUUUAACAACCCCAAAUGAAGAUACUGAUUUUUUUUCGGCUUAAUGGUUGCUUCAAAUGGGGGAACUGAAUUUGGGGGUUUGUUGUCUAAAUCCCAAAAAAUUCCACAUUAUGUUGGACAGUUUUUGGUUCUACAGAUGAUGAUCGGUUUUCCAAAUAAUGGUUCAAAAGGAAACAUCUAAACAAUGAGACAAAUGGGUUCUGGAUUUCUAAUCCUGUAAAUGUUGUUCUGUCGCAUAAGUUAUGAAAUUUCUGAAGCAUCACUAUCCCCGUCGUUCCUGGGAGAAAAAAAAGUCGAAGAACUGCUCGUGGAACAAAAUUAGAAAAUUUAAACAAUGUUGAGAGACUUUCCCUUCAACUAACAGUUAAAAGAAAAAAAAGUAUUAGAUAAGCAUUUUCAAAGUAAAAUGAUCACCCAUUUGUUGUACUUAGGCAGGAAAAAUAAAUAUAUCAACCCCAUUAAACCCUCACAUCUGCUAACUAAUAAUGCAUAGACUAACUUUUACGUAAGGAUAUAAAACUUACAAGAGCAAGAAAACUACUGUUUAUUAAUUUCAAAUUUUACACAAAAUUACGAAUAAUUCUAUAAGCUGCACCAAAACAUGUUCUCUAAAAGAGAUUCAGUAUCCUACAUUUUUGGAAGCAAAAAAUUAUUUCUGGAUGGUAUAAACUAAUACUAGAAUAACCAUUCGUUAAUGAUGUGAGUUUGGGCAGCACCAUGAAGCGGUGAGCCCCGUUUGGUGAAAACGAAAAAUAAUUAAAAUAAAGCACUAUGAAUUCUAAUCAAAUUAUUAACAUUAGCUAAAUAGACAGCAAGAAACCAGAAUAAAUUCGUUAACUAAACCAAAUAUUUAAAAAAAAAAAAAAAGGCAGUUAAAUCCUUAUCAUUUUCAGUUAGAAACAAACUAAAGCACAAAUUAAGAACAAAGAUUGAAGCAAAGCAUGAUUGUACCUUGAGGCACUUGAGCUUAGUGUUCCCAUAAACAAGACCGAGCGAAAAAGCCGAAACCAGAGAAACCUAUUAUUAUCACUCAAAAACCCAGAUCACAAAAUGAAUGAUCUUUCAAUAACAAUUCAUAAAAAUUCCGUCCCAUCAUAUACAGAACAAAACAAAACAAUGAAAAUAUUGAUCAGAAAAGAAAUUACAAAAAUGGACAAAAAGAAGAUAAAAAUAUGAUGCUUUGCUAUGCUUUCCUUUCUUGUGGGUGGCAGAUAAAGAAACAAGAAAGAGCCAGCAAAUUGAAAAAUCGACUAAUAUAUUCAUUCGACUCCGACUCGUAUGGCUAUUUUUCUUUGAUGAAUGAAAUAUUAUUUCACUCUCUAAUUCGUAACAAAAUUACAAGUUUCGACUUCUGUUUGUAUGUAAUCGUAAUUUUAUUGCUUGACAGGCCUGGGCUUUUACGAGCCCAGGAAGUGUAAUCGUAAUUUUAUUGUGCUGAAAAUUAUAUAAACGUUAAAUACGAAUUUAAUCAAACUAACAUGUCUUUACAACUCAGGCAACCUUACUAUUUUCUAAAGAUAUAAUUAAUUUUACUAAUAAAAUCAAAAUUAUUUUUAAACAACAAAGAAAGAAAUUAUAAUAACAAUAAAUUAAUUAUGGAAAAGUAAGUUUACAAUAAUACGAGUCAUCAUUCUUCAUUUUCUUUCUGUUUCUCUCAUAUUUUCUCUGCAUCCAAACACAAUAUUCUCAGUUCUUGACUUGGUAUCAGAUUUGCAGUUUAAUUGUCAUGGCUUCCUUCCUUAAGCACAAAUUCAAACACAAAUCAGUCUCCUUCAUUCUUUACCCUAACAAAUGCGAUCAAACUGGACAGAUCUAACUAUACGAUCUGGAAAUCUCAGAGCCUCUCUUCAGUGCGUGCCAAUGGACUUGAAGGCUUUCUUAAUGGAACUAAAAUUUGUCCAGAUCAGUUACUUACUCAAGAGAUUGAAAGUUAUGGUGUUGAAAAUGUUAUUGGUGAAAGCUCAGCUGAUAGAUCUCAGGAGAAUCCAGCCUUUGUUGCUUGGAAAAGGUAGGAUCAAUUGUUAUUAAGUUGGCUCAUGUCCUCGAUCAGUGUUGAGAUACUUAGUCUUGUGGUAAAUUCUUAUUCUUCUCAUAAACUUUGGACUAAUCUUGAAGAAAAUUUUUGGAUUAGAAACUAUGGCUAAGAAAGCACACUUAAAAAUGAUGUUAAACAAUCUCAGAAAGGGAUCAAUGACAAUAACUGAUUAUUUUGCCAAACUUAGAGGUGUAACUAAUAAACUUGCUCUAACUGGUAGCCCUGUUUCUACUCUAGACUUUAUUACUCAUCUAAUCUCUAGAUUAGGCCAGCCAUACUACCCUGUUGUUGUGUAUAUUGAAGCUAAUAUGAUGAAAAUAUUUGUCAAUGAAGUCUAUUCUAUGCUUUCAACUCAUGAAGCAAGAAUGAAAUUUAAUCAUCCGAGUGCAAAUAAAGAAGCAAAGUUGAAUUAUGCUGCUAACAUAGCUUAGGCUGGACCUAGUGAUAACAAUAAGAAGUCUAGUAAUCAAGCUAAUUACUAUCAGGGCAACCAAGGUAACUGGAAUAGAAAUGCUAAUUGGUGUGGUAACAAUGGAGGAAGAGGUGGCUUUGGCAGAGGUUUUUCAGGGCAAGGAAGGAGUAAUUAGAAUAAUGGUGGUCAUUGGAACAACGGACCUUGGAGUAGUAGUCGAGCAGGUUAUAAUUGUUCUGAUAUAAACAUUAUGACAUGGUUGCUGGUGAACCUGUAAACAUAACCACAAAAGUAAGAAGGCAUAAUCUUUUUAUAAGAAACUCAAAAAUGUAUUAAUGAUGAAAAUUUUAAAACAAAUAGUGGACCAGCUGGUCACUAAGAAAACAAAAAACUGAAUAUUUGUGCUAUAAAAAGGCACACCCAAUCUCACCCCUAUAAAAGGCAAGAAUCAGCUACAAAUCCCUAUCUCAAAACCCCAUCCCAGUUUAGAUGAAUGAAGAAAAAAGAUGAAUCUUGAAACUCCUUAGAAACUGAAGCCCAAAGUGAAGCAAGAAGAUGAACUCUAUCCCAAGCAAGCAAUAUGGCAUAUUUCUCCAUUAAUGGUUCAAAUAAAGUGAAUGGCUUUCUCUGAUGAAUGGGAAAUUGUCAAGAUCAAUAGUCAAACUCACGCAAAGUAAACGGACUUAAUUCUCAGAGGCUACUCAUUCUAAGUCUUAAAGAAAAAUUUUCUAAUUUCUAAAGAUUAUAUGGGGAAAAAUCAUUAUUUUCUAACAUGGAAAAUUUGAUACGGUGUUUAAUGUUUGAUCACAAUCAUAAUAUGAGUACUAACAAAAACAUCUUUAAUCGGCAUGGUGCGAGUAAAACACUAUCACUUCAUCUUUGAUGGAAAGAUGAUAAUAUAAGGAGAUGGUGAAAUGGUUUUGAUCUCUGGUAGCUUGUAAUUAAAAGAAAACAAAAAACUACACUAUUAUUAAUGAUUACCGAAGCUACAGAAGUAUCAAAAUCGGAAAGCAAACAAUUGCAAAACACAUCAAUGACUGAAGGUUAGGUUCUAAAACUUCCGUAUUUAAUUUUCAGAGCAUGUUAUGUAUUAUUCAGAAAUAUGAUUUCACUUCAGGCACUAGACCAAGACGCAUUAAACAUAAAACGCGGCGUUUUCAUGGACUAGUACAUUCCAUGCUUCGAAAGUUUAUGUUUUAGACUGAUUGGUUUGAUACAUUAUUUGUUUAUUGCGUUUUUCUUGCUUUAAAUAUUAUGUUGGAUUGAUAAGUUUUGUACACAUUUAUAUUGCUCGCAGUAAAUAAUUUAUGACAUUUAAAAAACUAUCAACCGUCUAUCAAAAGAUUUCUACUAUAAAUAUAUAUACAAAAAAAAACUUUUAAUUUGGUCAAUUUGUUCUCUUAUUUAUUUUUGUUCUAUUUCUCUUUUCCUUCCCUUUCAUUUUAUUGUUUUAUGGUACAAAAUAAAAAAAUAACCUUAAAAUUUAAGGGUAAAAUACUCAUUUUACUAAAAUUCCGUUUAAUAUUAUAAAGUUGUCAAAUGUCAAUGGCAUAGUACACGAGUGAUACAAAUUAAAAACAAUAAAUUAAAAGUUUUUAUGCAUUUUCCUUUUUUUUUUUAUAGUCGAUUGAGAUUUCCCUUCAUAUUUUAAAAUUCAAUAGGUUUAGACCGUUUAACAAAUCUUAAAUUAAAAAAACCCGCGGUGUAAUAACAAACUCACACCAAACCCUGUCCACUGUCAUCCCUAAUUAUAUUUACCACUUCAUACUCACAGUGAUAAUAACUGUGUAUCACAAUUGAUUUUGCAUACGGGUAAAAGUUCCAAGUCCGGAUAUUUAGUUAAUGAAAUUUGAUGAAAAGGGCAUGAAAGAAAAUAAGAAAUUAAAUAAUACAGGAGGUAUUAAUCAUUACAUAUUUAGUUAAUGAAAAUUGAUGAAAAUAUUUCUGCAGACGUGAGCCAUAAUUAUAUUACCGUUAAGAAUGAACCAGAAGAGUUUCCCCAAACAAGCUAAAACACAGCACUUCAAUUUAAAGAAUUUUUAUAUCACAGUACCGGGGCAAAAAGUUUAAUGCAACAACAUACAUUAAGUUAAUUCCAUAAUCUAUCCCCAAAGAAAGACAAACACAAGCUUAUAAGAUUAAAACUUUGGAAAACAUUAGAGUCGGACAAAAUUGUGUAAUCUUCAGAGUUUGGAGCCUAGUUCAUCCAGGAAAGCAAAAGAAAUAAUAAUAAUAAUAAUAGUGGUGGUUUGAUCUCAAAAGGUGGCAUCAAAGUGGUAACUUUGAGGUAUUGGAAGCAAUAACGUCUUCAACUUUGUCCUGAUUUCGAAGUCCCUUAACCCAUCCGCCAUCAGUGGAUUGAAUGCUUCCAUUCAACCCAUCAUCCACAAAAUCACCAACCCGUUUCACCUUCAUCUCCUUGGGCUUAACAGGGUACUUUCCAGAGAAGCAAGCAAAACAAAAAUUCUGAGAAUCAUCGCCUAACAACUAGUUCAAGCUGUCAAUCGGCAGAAAACAAGCGAAUCACACCCAAUAAACUCCCUGAUUUCCUCAACGCUCAUCCUGUUGGAAAUCAACUCCUCAGUACUUGGAGUGUCUACUCCAUAGUAACAAGAAGCUAUGAUUGGUGGGCUUGCAAUUCUCAUGUGAACCUCUUUAGCUCCAGCCUCCUUAAGCAACCUAAAAAUUUUUGAUGAAGUUGUUUCUCACACUAUCAAAUCAUCCACAACCACAACUCUCUUUCCCUCCAACCACAACCUUACAGGAGACAGCUUAAGCUUGACACCAAAGUCCCCAAUUUUCUGGGAAGGCUCAAUGAAAGUUCUCCCAACAUAAUGUGACCUUAUCAACCCUUGUUGAAAUGGCACCCCGGCUUUCGCAGCGUACUCAAGUGCAGCCACCACUCCAGAAUCUGGUACUGCAAUCACGACAUCACACUCAACAGGAGCCUCGGUAGCAAGUACUUCCCCAAAAUGAUACCUCGACUCAUAAACAGACCUUCCACAAACAACAGAAUUAGGCAAAGCAAAAUAAAUAUGCUCAAAGAUGCACUGCUUACGUUCAGGGUGAGGCAUCAAACAAGGUGAUUGAACCCCAUCUUUAUCAACCAUCAAAACUUCACUGGGAUAUACCUCUCUCUCUCUCUCUCGCCCCCUCUCUCUCCCUCUCUCUCCCUCUCUCUCCCUCUCUCUCGUAUGUGGCCUCAAUCAAAUAGUGCACAAGUCUCUGACGCAAAAACCAGAGCACCAUUACUCCUCCUACCCAUCACCAAUGGCAUAAACCCAUACGGGUCACGAACCGCAACAAGCUUAUCCUCAGUAACAAACACCAUUGAAUAAGCACCCUCAAGCUUCUCACAAACAUCCACAAUCCUCAAAAAGAACGGCCUAGCUUUUCGAUAUCGGAAUCAAAUGGAGAACAACCACAGUAUCAGAACUAGUAUUGAAAAUGGAUCCAUUAUCUUCAAGCUUAGCCCUCAAAGUAUUAUAAUUAACUAAUGUGCAACACCAACAGAACCAAACCUGUACCCAACAACAAAAGGCUGCACAUUCUUAAGCAUAGAACUACCCGCAGUCGAAUAUCUAACAUGACCAAUGGCCAUAUCACCCGGCAAUUGAUCAAGUUUAGACUGAUUAAACACAUCAGAGACUAAACCAACACCAGUAAUAGACUGAAGAACUUUGUUAUUCACAGCAACUAUACCUGCACCUUCUUGGCCGCGAUGCUGCAUCGCGUGUAGCGCCAAAUAGCAGAAACGCGAGGCCUCUGGGUCACCAUAGAUGCCCACAACACCACACUCCUCACGGGGCUUAUCGUCGUCAUCAUCAUCAAAACUGCCAAAACCGUCAUCUGGGUAUUCUUUAUUUGUGGUGAAAAACUCAGAGAUGGGGUUUUUUUAUAGAACAGUGAAGUUAUUUUUGUGGAUUAAAGAUUGUUGUUUCUGAGGAAAAAAAGGGUUUUUUUGCAGGGUUUUGGAGAAAAGAGAAAGAUGGGUUUUUUGCGACGGCUUAGGGUUAGCAGAGGGAGAUGGGUUUGAGAGAGGGCAGAUGUUGGCGGUGCCUGUUGUGGUGGCUGCCAUUAAUGGCUGAAUUUAUUUUAUUUUAUUUUAUUUUUUGGGUUGCCUUGCUCAAAGAAAAAACAGAGGAGGUGUGUGGAGGGAGACAGUGGCGAAGGGUACUUUAAGUAGAGGGGAUCUUGUUCUAGGUUUUUUCCUGGAAUUGUGAGGGAAUCUGAUCCUGUGUUUGUGCAUAUGAUUCAAUUACUUAUAGGUGAUACUGUUGUGUCACCACAAAUUCUAACUGGGAAGCUUCAGCUGUCAAUUUUUUUCCAAGGGUUAAUUAGGUAGAACUUUCAUGUCCUCGAUUUUAUUUGGAGAUUCUAAAAGUAGCUUCCAAAAUCAACAAUGUGACACAGAUGCUUUAGAUUUUUUUCCUUGUGGGACAUGAAAAUUGAUGCAUGAUCCAAUGCAUUGCUCUAUCAGAAUUGGAAUUAAACUUAGUUUGUAUUCUCCUAUUCCGAAAGCAAAACUUAUAAGUGAUAUUCUAAGAAGAAGAAAUUAAGAACCAUAACAAAUUUGAUGAUUCUAAUUUGCUAGAAAUAUUGCAAUCCAAAACUAAGAAAGUUCAAACCAAUUAUUAGAAGAAAAAAGUAGGACGGAAGCUCCCAGAAUAUUGUUAUGUGUUGUAUGUUUUAGUUUGUAUUUCCCAAUCAAUAAGAAAAAGUAAGUACACAUGUAACAAAAAUUUAAUAAAAAAGAUUGGAGGUGACAAAACCGUCAAUCUUCUAAUUAACUUUCUCUCCUUUCGAAUUUCCUGAGUUUGGUAGAGACUGCUUAAGUGGUAUAUCUAUUAUAAACACCUGAAGUCAAAGUUAAUAUUUUAAUUGUUAAGAAAAAUUAGAAGAAGAAAUUUUUGUAUAAGAGAAUUGGGUUUAAAUUUAGAAUUCCUUGGGAGGAAAUGAGUCUAAAUUCCAAUAAUAUAAUUAAACACUAUUUAUAUAUAUAUCAUUAGUUGGGUGAAAAUUUAAUUUCCAUCCUUUGAUGUGAAAAACUCUCUUGAUCGUCUAUUUUCAUAUGAUGGUAACUUUUUGUUUAAAGUGAAGUUAUUGGCACUCUUUCAUUAUGCUUAUAAAAUCCUACUUCAAAUAAAAUUACACUUAAAGACAAUAGAAUUAAAUAAUAUAAUUUUUCUUUAAAACAAAUUACUCAUCUAAUUUUCUAUAGGUUGCUUUGUAUCGAAUUAAAAAAAAAAUUGUACAAAUUUAAAAUAAUCUAUUAUUUUUUUCAAAUUUCUUAUUGAUUAAAUAUUUGUGUGCUUAAGAUAGCUUUAAAAUUAUAAGAUAUAAUAUAUAUAAUUUAAGCCAAUGAUUAACAUUCAAAAAUUUAUCUCUCAUAAAAGUUUUUAAUUUGUGCGUAGGGUAAUAAUAAAAUUGCAAAAGAAAUGAAAAAUAGCAUAGCACUAUUUUGAGUUUAAACAAUAAAAAAAUUAAAUGAAAAAUUAGAAAUGUAUUUAAAAAAGGAUAUUUUUGAAAAUAAAAUAAAUAUAAUUUAAAAAAAAAAGAGUUUCACGAGGGGUGCAAUAGUUCAACUCUUUUGUUUAUAAGUUUUAAUGUGUUGGUAUCCUUAGCUUAGCUUUUCCCUAAUUAUUAUAUUAAAAUGUAACAACAAUGAUGAUCAAACCUAAUUUCAUGGAGGUCAAAGAUUUUGGUCAUGCCGCAUUAAUUAGCUCGAUCAUACUUUCUACAAAUUUAUUUACAUUUAAUAAUUUGCCCAAGACUAGGUAAGGCGCCGCCUGGAGUCAUAGAAUUUUAUAUGUCAACAGUGCGUUUCACUUCAAUUAAGCCAUAAAUGUCGUUUAAUAUGCUCAUUUUGUAUUUUUUAAAAAAAAGUUUUAUUAAUUUUUUUUUGUUUUUAAAAAUAUUAUUUAUUUUUUUAUUUUUUUAAAGGUAAAGAAGUGGGUAAAGUUCAAAUUUAAUUUUUAUCCCUUACGUCAUGACCCCUCAGAUUUGAACUUAGGUAGCCAAACGUAUAAUAAUGAUAUCUCAAAUUUCAUUUCAAAUGAUAUGCAAUAUAUUAAGUCAUUGUUAAUCUUUAUAAGAUCCGAGUGAAUGAAUUGUGUUAUCUCACUAAUUAAUUGAUGAGUGUCAUAUCAUUUAUGAUAACUUUUGUAUAAAAAAAAUUGCGAUGGAUGAAAUAUCCUUUUGAGAAUUUAAUGGUUUAUCUCAUUUAUGAUUUAUUGUUGCAUUUAAUGAUAUUGCAAAUAAUUUUUCUGAUAAUAUUAUUGUUUUGACGAGUAAGUUUGGAGUAAAUAAUACAUAUGGCAAGUGUGAGGUUUGUUAUUGCAUUUAUUUUGUGGAUCUCUUUAAAAGCCAAAAAAAGGCAUUUCGAUUCAUUAUGAUUCCAGAUAAUUUCAAGCCAUGUCAUUAUUGGGAUAAAAAUAAAGUAAAAUGGUUAAAACUAUUUUUAUGUAAUUUAUAAAAAUUAAUGAAGCAACUACAAAAUUUUUUAAACGAAAAACAAUUGAAAUGUGUGUGGAAAAAGAAGAAAAAAAUAAGGCAUUUAAAUAUCUUCUUAAAAAAUACGAUUGAUUAAAAUUAUUUUAACCGAAUGCUCUUCCAAAUACAAUUCCACAUUUUUUUUAUUGCAGUGGGAUAUUCCAAAAUUGGCACAACUCAUUAAGAAUUCGGCAACUCAAAUUUUAUUUAUCUCUCUAUGCAUUUGACAAAUUAAAAAGAAAAAAAAUUCAUAUAUCUUCUGUUCAAAAUAAACCUUGGUAAAUAUUGUAAAACAAAUUACCAAUUUUUUUAAAUUUAUGCCAUUAUAUUGUCGCUAUUUUCUCGCCCACUUUCUUAAAAUAGAAUCGAUAUUUAUUGAUGGGUUGGGUUCCAGAGUAAGCACCAAUUCAGCAAAAUGGUUUUAUAGCAGAAAAAGCACUUGUAAGACAUUCAGAACACAUUUUUCAAUUUUGUCUUUUGAAAAUGAGUCUUGAGUUUCCGCAAGCCAAGAAGAAUGGCUAAAAAAUGUAUGGUAUCAAAGAAAGAGAAACACACACACACACAUAGAUUAGUGGGGAGAUAUAUGAGUGUGUAAUUUGUAUAUAUAUCCCAAUUAAUUGUUCAUAUAGAUUAUAUGAACAAUUAAUGUGUAUAUGCAAAAGGAAAAAAAAUUGGCUGUCCAUUAAGACAAAAUUGACUAUCACAUGAAAAUGUUAGCACACUUGCCACGCAACGAAAAUAAAGAUUCCAAGAACAACUUUAUGGUCCCCUUUCUGUCCAAACAUAGGCGAUAGAAAUUAGUGUAAACGACACUUGAAAUAUUUAUGUAGAUCCUCACACAAUUGAUUAAAUAUUUAUAGUAGGGUGGAGUGAUAAAUAGUUUCACAAAAUUAUUGGAAUUAACUAUUUAAUACAUGAGAUCUAUCUCAUUAAGUAUAAAAGAUUGAGUCAUGCUUCAAAAGCAUAACGCUGCUGGCAACAAAUUUAACACAAAAAUUUAAUUAACUAUCCUAGUUGAGAUAAUAAAAUCUUGUAUUGAAAACAAAAGGUUUGAGGUUCGAACCUUCUCAUUCAAGAAAAUCAAGUCAAAAUAUUACAUCUUCCAGCACAUAUUAAAGAUUUUUUCAAAGGCAGACUGAUAAUUCAGGGUAAAAAAGAAGAAAAAAAAAGAAAAGGAAUAUAUGCUAUUCAAGACAGGUAUGCCUUGUACAUGAAGUCCGAGUCCAGAACAAGAAGCACCUGGUUGAUCUUUCAAUUUCCAAAACCCAACAAAAUCUUUGUCAAAAUAUCUGAUCUAGUCCCAUAUUAAGCACAUUCAUAGCCAUAUCAACAGGUUCAAAAUAUUUUCCCCAAAAAGAGAUAGAGAUUCCAUUGAAGUUGAGUUGUGACUGUCCCAACGUUUUGUAAUUAUAUGGUUCAGGAUAUCAUGCCUAUGAAUCUUUUUUUUUUCUUUUUUUCCAUGUUUCGAAGUCUAUCAAAUGAAAAUGUAAUUAUAUGGUUCAGGAUCUCAAUAUGCCGCAGCUGCAAAGGUUGACUUCUACUAUCCAAUCAAUGUCUAUACUUUCUAUUGAAUUUCCUUGUUUUUUUUUAAAUUACGAGAUUUAUUUUUUAGAAAUCUUUGACACAUUUUAUGUAAGAUACCAUAAAACCAAAUACAACCUUUUUGAUUCUCAGCAACAACGUUUUUUUUUCCUUUUAAAAAAAGGAAGCCAUAUAAAUAAUGCUUUAAACAUUAUUUGCAACAAGGAACAAUUAUUUCAUGCUUUCAUGUAUUACAAACUUUCCAAAAACGCUAGCAAGAAAAUGAAAUGGAACUUUACCUAGUCACAUAAUAUAUACUGCUGUUAGCACAAUUGUUAUGAAGUGGCUUCUGCAUCCGAUGAUUCCAGCUCCCACCAAGCAUUGUUAUCUCUAUUCUAAAUACAAUCUGCAUCGCUGGGCAUGAGUUAUAUCAUUAAUGUCUGCAUCCUCACUUACAUCAUCCCAAUCAAGUGCUUUUUCUCCACAUCUGGAUUAUAAGUCCACUCCAAUCUCUUCAAAACAUCCCAGUCCUUCCAUCACAGCUGAUACGACUUCCUUCCUUAUUACUUCCCCAUUAAUAAAUCGCUCCAAGAAAAAAAAAAAAAGCAUUAGCAAUUCUCUUCAAUGCCCCAUCAUUCAUAUCCCCUACAACAACCAUCUUCAGACACCUCAACGUUGCCUCUUGAAAGACCUCCACAAAAUCCGAAUCAUCCGACACAACCACUAAACACCCAAACCUUCUUUUGUCCACCAUAUCCACCUUAUAAUUCCUUAACUAAACAUCGACAUCUUGUGGCUUAUCUAACACCUUCCUGACCCAAAACCAUGCUGUUUUCAACUCAUCUGCAAAAACAUAACCCGCUUUUGGAGUCAAAAUUGCACUUGCAGCCAUUUUAUAUUUUGCCAUCUUUAUUGAAUAGUUGCCAACCAAAAGCACUCUCACCUUCCCUCUAGCUGAUUCUAUUUGAUUCGACCUAUUCUUUUGUUCACCCUCAUGAAUUUGCCUAAAAUGAUUAACAAGUUUGUCAUUAUUAUAAAAUCUCCUUCCACAAUCACCUAUAUGGCUUAGUAGGCCUAAUUACACCCUUGAUUUCUAUUUGGUUAAACAAUUCUCUUUCUUUCUUUGCUCUCUUACAACUUGAGGCACAUAACUAAACGCGUGGCUAUUAGCAUUUGCCACCAUGUAUUUAACAACCCCAAAUGAAGAUAUUAAUUUUUUUAGUUUAAUUGCUGCUUCAAAAUGGGGUACUGCAUUUGGAUUUUGUUAUUCAAAUACCAAAAUGUUCCCACAUUGUGUUGGACAGUUUUUGGUUCUAAAGUUGAUGAUUGGUUUUGCCAAUCAGGCUUCAAAUGAGAACUUCUAAACAAUAAGACAAAUGGGUUUUUGAGUUUCUAAUUUUGUAAACUUUGUUCUAUUGUGUAAGUUAUGAAAUCGCUGAAACAUCACUACAGCUACAGGUCUUUAUGUGUCAAAGAACUGCAGAAGCUGAUGAUCUACCAGUAGUAGACUUCUAUUGCCCCUGCCGUUCUAGGAAGACAAACAAGUUCAGGAACUACUUCUGGACCAAACUCAUAAUAUUGCCACCGCUUUGUGCCAAUCUGAGACGGAAAGAAGAUUGAAGUUCCUAAAUAAGGCACAUCAUGAUUUAAUAGAAGCACCACUAUAAGGAAAAAUGGAUUUCAGGAAAGCACUAAAAUAUGACAUAAUCUCCCCCUAAUAGUCUAAAGUAUCAACCAAGCAAAAACACAUAAACUAGUUGAGAUACAAAGUUAUCAUAAAAGUCAGUUUUGAUCACAAAUCCAUUAAAAUUAAAAGACAUUAGAAAGUUAGAGAACAUUAUAAUUUAGGACUCAGCUAAGUUGCAGAUUCUGUAACUAACAGCUGAGUCCACAUUGGCCUUACAUCAGCUGAGUUUGGGUUGCUUUUCCUCUCUCCUGCAACGCGUACGUGGAAGCGCCCCAUUUGCUGUGUUCUAUACCGAGUUGGUACCGUAACAAGCUCCUAUAAUUUAAGUUUGAUUACUGUAGACAAUAGUCUGCCUCUGCUCAAAAGCUAUGCUGCAAGAUAUAACAUCUUUACUUUCUAAAAGUAAUAAGAAAUGAAACCAAGGGGUAAAUCGAACACCAAAAGAAAUUUAGUCGGCCAACCACAUUAUGUUCCCACACAAUCCACUAAUUAAGUUAAUAAUUAAAGGGAAUCAAAAUCUAAGAAAUCUCAUCUUCAAGCAGAAUACAAACACGCCGCGAUUGAAAAUCACAAAAUCAUAAAAAGAAGCUGACUUGAAAAGGGGUGGGCCGCCUCAUUUGCCCACCAACCACACCACACACACAAACACUCCAACACACACACAAGCUCUCUAGCUUUUGUAAAAAACUCUCUUUAAUAUUCUCUCUUUGUGAGUAAUAAAAUCAUAUUCAGCCAUAUUGCUCUACUUCUCUCUAGCAUUUUCCUAGAGUGUUCUUACUUCGCUAGUUUGAGGAGUGGUCUAGGCUUACUUAGCAACUUGUUUGCUACAAGGACAUCUUGGUCACAAAACAUGGACAUGCAAGGAAAAAAAAAUAUUGAUACGUUCUAAAAAUAAUACGCAUUCUUCUAUCGUGAACCAAAAAAAUUUAGGCUAAUGGUAGCAAGUGAAGGAAUUGUGAUUUCACGUGCAUUUUGUUGACAUGAAGGUAAAGAGCUUUUUUAUAGUUUAUAUUGUUUAAUAUAACAUUUGAAUUGCAAAAUAGGGGUACAAAAUAGAUACACGAAGGGAUAAAACUAAGUUGAUUAUGAUAAAUAUUGAAUUAUAAGAUUUAGGUUUAAUCAUAAAGACAUAAGUGGCCCAAGUCACGAAUUGAUAUCAUCCAUGAUGCAAGUUCAAACAACUGCAUAAUAAGUUGCCCUAAGCUAAACUAUUAAUCUAGUAACUAUUCCAGUCGAUGUGGGAUAAUUUUCCUAUCACCAUUUAUCACGUGCAAGCCGAAUUUGUUGCUUGGUUCUUACAUGUGGUAAGAUAAUAUGAAUCCACUUGUGCAUAAAUUUUGCUCCGAUAUUAUAUAGAAGCUUAUGACCCAAAAUUAUACUUAAAGGUGAUUUCAAGAUUUCAAGGUUGCCUCAAGCUAAUAUUAUUAUUAGCCUGGUAACCCUUUUUUUUUUGUUGAUAUGUGAUAUUUUCCCUAUAACUUUUAUUAAUCUUUAUGCUUAUGUUUUGUCAUUUAUCCCAAAAAUAUAACAUUAACAAAAGUUCCAAAAUUUCCUUCAAGAGAUAUAUUUGAGACAAGUAAUUUGUGCAAUAACUUUGUGAAUUGAUGAGCAAAUUCAGAGAAAAGAAUAUAUGUGCCAAACGUAAAGUUUAUUAUUGUGUUUAUUUGUAGAGCUAUUUAAAGCCCAGAAAAAAAAAAGCACCAGUCCGCUAUGAUUUCAAAUAAGUUCAAGCCCUAUGUCAUUAUUGGUACAAAAAUGUAUCAGAAAGGUUAAAAACUAUUUUUAUUUAACUUAUAAACUUAGGAAAUUAUCAACUGCUCAGCCUUAAAUUGUGCUAUUAUAAAAAAUAUUACAAUAUUUUCAGGUUGUAUCAUUCAUCUACCAUAAAAUUAUAAUUGCAUCAUUUAUCCACCAAAUCAUUAACUUCGUUAAAAAGUGAUAGAUGUUACAAGGGUAAUUUAGACAUUUAACACACAAAAAAAAUAAAAGAGAAAUUAUCUAAGCUUACCAUGUUAUCAAAAUUGCUACAAAAUUUUAAAUUUGUUCAAUUUUUCAAUCUAAGUUUAUGACCUCCAAGAUUUUAAUUGCAAUUUGUAAUUAAUGAGUUCAUAAGGAUAAUUUAGACACUCAAUAUGCAAAAUAAAAAAAGAAAAGUAUCAUUUGUAUACCUUAAAAUUUGCUGUAUCAAUCGUCCACCUUAAAUUGAAAAAAGUUAUCUACCGACCACUAAACCAUUAGUUACCGUUUGAAAGUUAACGGAACUGUAGCGAAUUGACGAUUUUACCCUUGAAAUCUCAAAAAAAAAACUCUUAUUAUCAAUUAUAUACCCUUAAAUUAUUACUAGUAUCUAUGAAAAGACUAUAUUACCCCUUUGACGUCAUCAUGUUUAAACGGCAACUAACGCUUUGGUGGACGACAGAUACAUUUUGUCAAUUUAGGAUGGACGACUGAUAUACCCUGAAAGUGUUGUAGUAAAUUUGAUAACGGAGUAAACUAAGGGUAUACAAAUAAUAAUUUCCUAAUAAAAAAAUAAAAUAAUGGUUUAAAACAUUAAAACAAAAAACUUGAUAUUCAAUUAAAUACACAUAAACUCUAUUUUUUUCUUAAUUAAAAAUAUUCUAAUUUAUUUUCUCAAUUUAUCAUCAUAAAUUUACAUUAAUAAACUAAAUCCACAAAUUACCCUAAACCCUAAUUCAUAAAUGCCCAAUCAAUCUAAUAGUUUAAUUAGAUUUCAUAAUUAAAAAGCUAAAUUUAUUAUAUUGGUUAUGGUGCAAAGUCAAAAAUGCCCUUAAAUUCAAGGGUAAAAUAACAUUUUAUUUAAAGUCUAUAAAUGAUUCUAACAAUGUUAACAUUUUGGUGGGCGGUUAAUAUAAGUUACAAACUUAAAAUAGAAAAUCAAAUAAAUUCAAAAUUUCAAACUAUUUAGGGCAAAUUUAGGAUAUAUGGUUAAUAAUUUUCCCAUGUCUUUUUACAUUGGUUGAUAUAAGUUACAAACUUAAAAUAGAAAAUCAAAUAAAUUUAUAUUUUCAAACUAUUUAGGGAAAACUUAGGGUAUAUGGUUAAUAAUUUUCCGUUGUCUUUUUACGUUAAAUUGAGUUUCAAAGGUAAAAUGGUCAAUUUAUUAUAAUUCUGUUAAUUUUUUAGUGGAAGCAAACGAUAUAAUGGACGAAUGAUAUAAAUUGUAAAAUUAAGGUGUAUGAAUGAUACAACUUUAAAGUAUUAUAGUAAUUUUAAUAAUAGAACAAUUUAAGGGUGGAUUGGCAAUAAUUUAAACUUUAAUGAAGCAACCAAAAAAUUUUUUUAACAAAAGAAAAAUAAUUGAAAUGCUUUAAGAAAAAUAAAGGAAAUUAAAUAUCUUUAUAAAAAUAUAAUUGAGUAAAAUCAUUUUACAAAAUACUCUUUCAAAUGCACAUUCCACAAGCCAGGGAGAACGGGUGACUAACAAAAAUCUCACUUUUUAUGAGUUUAUAAAAUCUCACUUUCGCAGAAACAAAAAAUAAAAAUUAUUGCUGUCACGACAUUACGCACUUUCUUUGCCAUCUAGAAAGGUAGAACAUUUUGAAGUUCCUCAAUACAAAAUGCGUGCUACUACUAAAUUGGCACAAUUAAUGCCCAUCGAAAAGGCCAUCAAUUUAGCCAUCAAUUUUGUCAAAAUUUCAACAAUUGAAGAAACAAUGAUCACAAACGGAAUAGGUAAAUUUUGAAGUUGAAUAAAUCUUGAGAUGCAUACAACAAAGCCUUGAAACUUUAUUCUUCACAAUUUGAGCACGCACUGAAUAUUAAAGCAAAUAUAUAUGAAAAAAAAAUCAUAAAGCUACCAAAAGGAACCACAAAAUCAUCAAUAUUAUCGUUUAAUAUGGAGAACGGCCUGCGCAUCCAAAUUGUGCGAACUGAACACGCUGAAAUGUGUGUUUUGUUUUUUGGAUUUUUGGAAUUUUUUAAAAAUCAUUUAUGUUCGCCGCCAUCUUUUUCUUCACUGGCGUCUUCCUCUCUUGGCUGGCAUCUGCCUCGUCUGCAGUUUGCUGUGCCUAUUUAUCCAACCAAUAAAUUGGGCAUUAAAUACGAAUGAAUGAUGAAUAAAAUGAUAAAAAAAAAACAAACAGAGAAAAUUAUAAUAUAACACAUAUUUAUUGAAAGAGAAAUUUUGAUUUUAGGAUAGAUCAAUUAGCUAUCUCAAACGAAAACAUGAACCAACUAUGUAUAGAGUCAAUUAAUUUAAAGUUCUCAAGAAUUACCUCUGCUCCAGAAUUCUCGGAAUCAUCUUCUCCUUAUGAAUUUCCACGAAACUUGGGACAAUUAUUAACACCUCUUCUAAAGUAUGCAGAUGGAAAUGGGAUCUGAUAACCCGCAGGCCAAAAGUUGGUGAGGUUUGGUAAGUCUUCCAGUCUCAAGUCCCAAAGUUCAUUCAUAACAAUUUCAUUGUAAUCCGUGACGUCUGCUCCAUCUUUAUGCCAGAAUACUUCUUCUAAUUCAUCAUUACCUACUAUGGAUAGGCGCGACAGUUUUUGAAGACUUGGAGCUACGCUGAUAUGAAAUAGAUGCUUUAGUUUGGGGCAAUAAUAGACAGAGAUCCUUGUGAGUUUUGGGAAACAUACAGGUUGGAGAUGAUCCUCAUCCUCAUCCUCAUCAAUGAUUUGCUCUAAUUCCAAGCAAUUCGAAACAGAUAACUCCUCCAAUUGCAACAGAUUUCGAGCAAAUGUUGAUGAGAAGAGACGUCUCAGCAUAGUGCACCCGUCCACUGUUAAAUAGGUAAGACUUUGCAGGCUAAAAUUAUGAGUGGGACCUUCAUGAUAUAAUAAUAAUUGCAGGUCUCCCAGAUUGUGCAAGGUCAAUGUCUUCAAACGUGGGAAUAGUUUGUUUUCUUGUCCCUCAGCGAUAAUAGCUUCCACUUGAAAUACCACCUGUACUCCAAGUUCUCCAAUACCCAAUAUUUCCAAAUUUUUUAAUCCGUGCUUCAACAGUGCUGGAAUCGUGUGACGCAAAUGGGAGCAACUUUCCACACCUAGAGUAUUUAAGUUCUGAGACAAAUAAAUAAAUAACUUGAUGUAAUUAAAAUUUGUUAGCAGCUAGGAUUAUCACAUGAUAAGUGAUGAACACCGCAAAAAACAAAAACAGAAAACAAAAUCCAUACAAAAAUAUCAUAAUACAUAUGUAAACUAAUAAAAUAAUUAAAAAGUAAUGGAUUUAAAAAAAAUGAAAUUAGUUAAAAGAGAUCAUGUGAAGUGAUAUAAAUGUGACAUUAGAUUGUUUUAGAAAAAUUAUUAUUCUAUUAAUUUAUAUGGCUUGAUCAGCUAAUUAAUUGAAUUUGAAUAAUAUUAUACACACUUCAGAAGUAUUUGCAUCAAUUCUUUCUAAACCAAAAUGAAAUCUGAUAAAAUAAUUAUUAUCAUUACCACAUCCACCACCACCAUCAUCAUCUCCAUAGGAUCAAAUAAUUAAUGGCUGAUCAUAAAGUUUAUUGCUAAACUAUCAUUUUGAGUAAAAUUGAAUGAAAAGAAAAAACAUGAACCCAAACAAACAUACAUUUUCAAGAUACUGCAAAUUGGCUUCAAGUUCAUUAUUGUUGAUGAUCAAGUUGGGACAAUAAUCAAGGAUUAGCUCUUCCAAUGCUGUCCAAAUUGAACAAUAGUUUUCUGAACAGAAGCUGACGAGUUCUGGGAGUUCUUGAAGUGUUAAUCUUCUCAACAAGGGGAGGGCGAGCAUCGUAUUUCCACCUUCGACACUUAUUUCCCCUUCAUUGUGAUCAAACUUUGCUUCGACAAUACAUUCCAGUCUCUCGCAAUGGCUUACACAGAGACUUUUAAGCUGCUCCAAACUUCGGGCUUGUGACAACGUGAAGAUGUAUGUCAACUUGUUGCACGAAUGCACAUUCAAUUCUGCAAGAGUUUGGAGACUGAUCACAUGUUGGGCGAGUGCCUUCCAUAUCCACUUCAGUUCUGGUAAGCCCCACAUAGAUAACUUUGCUAAUCUUGAGAGACUCUUUCCAUGCGGCGACUUGGAGGCAUCCAUUAUGCAUUCUAAAUCUUCGCAACCGUGGACAUCAAGACAAGUCAACUCAUUUAAGCCCAUUUCAUCUAUGCUUGGCACAAUAUUGUAACAACCUAUAAUCCCACUUAAACAAAGAAUUUCCAGUUCUUGAUACAAAGCCGAAAAAAUACCGAGCGAGGUCGCUUCAGGAGGGUCGUUACUAAUCAUUAAGAUCCUUGCCUUAUCAAAAUGACGUACCUUUGCAAUUUCGGGAAUGUAAAGUCUUUUGGAAGACAUACAACAGAUCCGUCGACUUGGGAGUUCAACUCAGCAAGCCUAGCAUUACUUUCUUCUGAACUCAUCCCUUCAACCUCCCAAUUUUUUAUCCGACCAUAAAAUUCUUCUAAUUGAGGAAUUUUUUUUAUCGUAAUAGGAGAAACAGAACUGAUAUCAAUAUAUAGAAGUUUCAAUCUACUAAGUUCAUUCCUCAAUUCUUCUGGAAUUUUAAUGAGAGACUUCUUGAGAAAAAGAAUUUGAAGCCUCUUCAACUUUCCAAGGAAAGAUGCAUCACUCACCUUACAUCGAAUCAACUGCAGAACCUGGAGGUUGGUGAGGCUCUGAAGCGAUUUAAGUGAAAGAACUCCACCUAUUAUAGUGACAACUUUCAAUGCUGGCAUCCCUUUAAAAAAAUGUUCUGGAAUUUGCAAUUCGUAAUUAUAUACGGUGUUCUCCAAUCGCAGAAUAUGAAGGUUAGGGCAUACCAAACUACUAGGAAGCUCUUCUUCUUUAUUUCCCAUUACAGAGAUUCCUUUGCACUGUUCCAGGCCUUUUUCCACCGCCCGUUCCAGCAAUCUGAUGCCAUUUAUACUAAACAAUCUCUCCUCCUUCUCCUUCUUCUCUGUGCUUAUCCAUAUGGCUACAUCACGAACUAUGUCAUGCAUUUUCACAGAUAUGUCAUUACCAGUGUCUAACAGUAGUGAAGCAGCUUUGAGUCCGUCAAUUGUUCCAUGCAGUAGGCUUCUGGUGUUCUCUAUUGACUCAGCUUGAUACCAAGUCAACCCUACUGCAUAUCCAACCAAAUCCUCCAAAUUAAUCUCAUAAUAUUCUGGAAAUAGCGAACACAACAAGAAGCAUAACUUGGAAUUGUCAUCAUUCAAUUUGUCGUAACUAAAUUUGAGACAACCGUAAACGUCUAGGUUCUCCUCAUCAAUACCUUCUAUUGCAUAGAGUUUUGCAGCCUUUAGGUUAUAUAGAGCCAGGUUCCAUUCAUUAAGGUAGCGUUUACUUUUUGGAUUGGAUUGAGAAUCUUGGGGAGUGGGAAUCCUAAGAUUGGGAGUGUGGAGUGGGAGUGGGAGUAGGUUGUUUACUUACACUAGAAUGGAAGCAUGGAAUGGAGAUCAGAAUUCAAUUUAUGUGUUUACUUUGUCUUGGAUUGGGAGUAAAUAGUUUCAAAUUAUAAUUUUAUCCUUAUUUAAAGAAUUAUAAUUUUUAAUUACAAAACUAAUAAAAAAUAUAUUUAAUGAAUAAUAUUUAUUUUAUUAUAUUUGUAAAUUUAUUAUAAUUAUUAAUAUUCUUAAUUAUGAACAAUAAAUUAUUAAUUGUAAUUUUAAUAUAAAAUGAAAUGUUAUUUUAUUUUAUUUAAUAUAAUUAUAUUAAAUUUAUUAUUAUAUAAAAUAAUAAUAUUAUAUUAUUUAGUACAAAAUUAAUAUUUUCUUAGAAUAAAGUAUUUAUUAUUAUUAUUAAAUAAAUAUAGUACUAUUAUUUUUAAAAUAAAUAUAAUAAUAUUAUAUUUAUUAAUUCUCUAUUAAUAUAAUAAUAUUAUUUUAAAAUAAUUUUAACUUAGAAUCAAUGUAAAUUAUUAUUGAGUUAAAUAUAAUAUUAUUAUUUAAAUAAAUAUAAUAUUAUUUAUUUUAUUUUAUUAAUUAUAAAACAUAAAAUAAAAAAAAGAGUAGAAAUGGGAGAGGUGGGAGUGGAUUCCCACUCCCACCUCCCCCAAUGGGAGUCCCACUCCCACUCCCCACUCCAAAAAUGGAUGGGGCCCACGGAGUGGGACUUCCAAUCCCUCUCCAUUUUAAGUAAGCAAACGCUGGAGUGGGAGGAAUCCACACUCCUCACUCCCACUCCAACAAGUAAACACAACAUUAAAUCCUUUUCCUCUUAGUGCACUUCCAACAGCUUCAAUAGCUAAAGGUAGCCCGUUACAUUCUCCAGCAACUUCUUUGGAAACAUCAUUCAAGGUGGAGUCAUUUACAUCAAUGCCGGCAUUUUUUCGCAGUAAAGCCAAUCCUUCUUCUGGCGUUAGUGUACUAAGUGGAAUCUGUGUGUCACAACCCAAAGAAUCACAAACUGACUUUUUGCGAGUGGUUAGAAGGAUUUUGCAACAAUUAUCUCUACCACCAACGGGAAUACGUAAUUUUUUCUCCAAGUCGAGUUGUUUCCAAACAUCAUCAAGGAUUACGAGGAUUUUGUUGCUUUUACUCUCAGAAAAUAUCAAGCGCAAUCGGUCUGCUCUCUCUUUUUCAUCUUUCUCAUUUAGUGCCCAGCCUAACGACUUUGCCAGCUCACCUUGAACCUUUAUUAUAUCUGGAUCCUGAGACACAGUGGCUAUCCCCACCUUAUCAAAAAUCUUUUGUUGCCGAAGUUGAUUGCCCAGAGAUUUUGCCAAGGUCGUCUUUCCUACACCGCCGAGACCGUGCAAUCCCACCAUCUUUGUGCUCUCUUUUUUCAGUGCUUCAGUGAUCUGAUUACAAGCCGAUUCUGUAGUCUCGAAAGAAGAAAAAAAUCUCGGUAUAGGCAAUUCUUCGUCUGGUGGUAGAGGUUUAGGACGGGCAACUGUGCUGAAUUUGCUGCGGUCUUGUAGUUCGGACAACUUGCUACUCUUCUUUGAUGCUUUUCUACCCAGCCAGUAUCGCCAACCCCAAUUAGGAUACCAUCCAUUAAGACAACUCAUCUUUUCAUCUAUCUUUGCUUUCAAAUUUCGAACGUCGGCCAUUUCUUUGUCUACAUCCUCAAGCCAUGUCUUGACAUCUUCCUCGACUUCUAUAGCACGGUGUAUUUGUCGUUCUUGUUCUACUCUUUUAUUGAUGCCAUCUUUUUCCUUCUUCAAAUUGGUUUCUUUAACCUUAAGUUCUUUAUCUAUGCUGUUGAAACAGAGCAGAUAACGAGCUUGGUUUAUGGUUGCAUCCACCAACAAUUCUCCAAGCCUUGAUGCAACACCUGACAAAAGUUCCAUGCUAUUUAUCUGCAAUUAAUAAAGUUGAUCUCAGUAAGCUAUAAGCAAAACAUAUGAGGCUUGAUCACAAGAUCGAACGAGAAAGUUUAAUUACCUUUUUCUAUUAUGUGAAUGCACGUUUAUUGACACUAGCUUUGACCAGUAAGAGCAAAAUGCAAACGCCGAGCUUUAAGUGGCCUUCAGCUGCAAAACAAAAGAGAAGAAAUAAGGUAAUUUAUUAUUAUUAUUAUUAUUAUUAUUAUUAUUUUUAAGGACGGAUAAAGGUUAGCUAGCUUGCAGACAAAUUUACUAAAAUCAAGACAAACCUAAGAGUUUUCCUAAUUUGUUCAAACAUGGAAUAAGCGUUUCACAACAGUAUAUCCAUAAAGUAAUAAUAUUAUUUUAAAUUAUAUUAAUGCCUUUGGUAGUGAAUUCAAUUAGGGUUAUUUUAGUAAUAUAAAUUUUCAUUAAAAUUAAAGUGUCCAAAUUCUAAUUUAGAUUUUUCAAAUGUAAAAUAAUAUUUAUUUAUCUGAUAUAAAUUAAAAUUCAAACAAAUGUAUCAUGCAACAAAUGAAAAGUAAAGAAUAUUAAUUAGGUUUUAAUCGAAACAAAUAUAAAUAGAUGUUUUGAGUAGUUAAUUUUUGUUAUUUUAUGCUAUUGGUAGUUUGUGGAUUAAAUAAUUUGUAUAAGGAUAAAUGGGGGUUUGUAUAAUUUAUACGAAGAUAAUCUCCAAAAUAAGCAUAUAUGUCGAAUUUAAAAGUGUUAUAUAAGUAGUAAUCGUAUAUGCAUCAAAAUUUUUAAUAAAAUUUAUUUAGAAAUUGGCCAAAUGGGUUUUAUGAAGAAAAUAGACGGGCAAGUAAUUAUGUAACAAGUAAUUUGUAGGUUGUGGUACUUCUCCAUACUUCAAAUCACUUUUAUCUAAUCAAUUGAUAAAUUUUUUUGGGCUCCAACAAAAUGAAAAGAAAAAGUUAAAAAUAAUUCUGAAAUAAAAAACGUUAGGUACUGCCUAUAAGCUAUACAAUUUUACCUUUUCUUCUAUCACAAUUAGUAUUAGAAAUGAAAAUAGUUUCGAAAUAAAUGUAAUUAGGAGGUAAUAUUAUCUCAACAAUACCUUAUAGGGAAAAAGACAUCUACAUCCUAAAGUUCGGAGAAAUAGUCGUAAAGACCCCAGGUUUUCAGAAAGGGAUAUCAAGACCCUUUUUUGACCGUAAUACCCUUUAAAUCUAGUAAUUAGAAAAUUGACUUUAAGAUUUUUUAAUUGACAAAUUUAAUAUAAAUAAUAUAAUCUAUCUAGUAGAUUAAUAAUAUUAACAAUAAAAAUAAUAUUAAAAUUUAAGUUCUUAUAUUUAUUUUAAUAAUAUAUUUUUAUUUAUUAUAAAGAUUUUAAAUAAAUCCUUGGGUUAAAUAGGUUUUCCAGUUAACAAAAUAUACCCCUAUUAAUAAUAUUGAAAUUACUUUCUACAUAAUAUUUAAAAUAAUUAUAAUUUAUUUAUUUUAAUAUUAUGUUUCUAUUUAUUAUUAAAAAUUACUUUAUUAGAGUAAAUUUUUAUUAAUUAAAGCUUUAAAAUCAAUUUUCUAAUUACUAAAUUAAAGGGGUAUUAUAGUCAAAAGGAGUCUUUCCUUUUUGAAAACUUAGGGUUUUUGCGACCAUCUCCCCAAACUUUGGAGUAUAGGUGUCCUUUUCCCGACUUCAUAUAAAGAUAUUCCAUAAGGUCUUAUAAUAACUUAUAUUAUAUGAAUUUAAUUAAAAGAUCAUUAAUACUUAAAUAAUAAUAAUUAUAGAAGACAUUGUAAUAAAUUAUUUGAUAUAUAUUAUUAAUGAUACUAUAUAUAUGUGUAUAUAACUACAUGAUGGCUUGGAUAUAUAUUGUUAGUGGUAAUAAAUGUUUUAAAAAAAAUUUAAACUAAUGAUUUCAAGUGAUUCAAUGGUGGAUAAUUUAAAAUCAUAAAAUAUUGUUUUGACUUUCAAUAUCAACCGUUAGACUGUGAGAAAUUAAUUGCUCAAUAUUUUGUGUAAAAGUUUUAAAUUAAAAUAUCCCAAACCAUUUGUUUUACUUAAAAUACAAAAAAUAUAUAAAGAAAUUUUCUCAUUAAUUUUCAUAUUUUAUUAGAGGUAAUAUUUUAUGUAUCGUCACCAUUAAUUGCCAUCAUUAAAGUAGUGACUCUUAGUAAUAUAAAAUUUUAUAAUUAGUUAAUUGGAAUCAAAUGAUAUCAAAUAAAAUAAUAUUUCAUGAUUCAUAAAUUAAAGCUAAUUAAGAAUAUAUGUUAGUUUUAACUUUUAUGAAAUCAACUAAGUGAUAUUAGAAAAUAAAAUGAAAUAAACUAGUGAAACUUAAAUUUUAUAAGGUUUGAAUAAUUUUCUACCAUGUAAGAAUAUUAAUUGUGACAUAAACCAUAGUUUCAUGGUAUAUGUAUGCCAAAUGGGGUAACAAAUAAUAUAUACUUCAGGAUCAUGAUAGUAUAUAAAGUAGUGGAUAUUUUAAUAUCUAACAUAAAAUUCUUUAAGACAUAGGUGGUCAAUUAUAUAUAUUUUAGGAUAUAGACAAUCUCAAUCAAGAGUUUAUUGAUGUGAAUAGAUGGCAUUCACUUAAAUGUAUAUACUUAAUUGUGUUGUUUAUUGGUAUUACAUGUAACAAAAUUUUAUAUUAAAUUUUGAAGUUUUAUAUUGUUGUUUCUAUUGAAUUUAUAAAUACAAUAAAAUUAUACCAACAAUUAGAUUCUCAUAUCCGUUGACGACAAUUUUUUAUACUAUUGGAACUCCAAUCUUUGAAGCUACACAAUAGUUAAAGUACCGACAUCAAUAGAACUUCCGUUCAUUGUAGAUCUAUAGUCAAAGUUUCGAAUCUUAAAAAUUUGACAGCAGAUUUAUGUCAAAUGAAAGCUUGUUACCAGUGAUUCUUAUACAAUUAUGUUGUUAUAGUAAUAAGGAUUCUAAUGGUACUAAAAUGCACUCCAUUAGACAUAAAGAUCCGACGACUAGUGGCGACAAUAACUAUCAUUAGUGACUUGGAGGUAAUUGCCGUUAAUAAAUUAUUUUUAACUUAAUAAUUAAUACAAACAAAUAAAAAAGUAAUUUAAGGAAAAUUAAUGUAAUAAAUAAUUGAAUUAAAAAAAAUAAAACCUAAAUUCUCGACCAUUUAUCCGUAUGUUUCGAAUCCAACGUUCAAAAUUGGAAUAAAACAUAGUAUAGCCAUUGGAAGUAAAACAAACAUUAAAGAGACUAGGAAAAAAUAUCUCAUACCUUCUAUAAUGAUACAUCCUCAAUCACUGCAGAAAGCUCCAAUUAAAAAGUCGCACAAGUUCGGAGAAAAUUACCUAACAACACAAAUAAACAUCAAAUCAAAGCAACAUAGGAUCCAGCUAAUUAACAUCAUAAGUAAGUCCUUGUUCUCAGUCAAAUCUUGCAUUCUUAGGAUAAAAAAAAAAUUGAAAGAAUAACGGUAACUGGAAAGUUUGACGACAUAAAGAUCUAGCUAAAUUUUAAGAAGCAAAAGUAAAUAAUGAAAGCUCAAUAAAAGAUCAUCAGCAUUAACAUACCGAAAUGAGAGCAGCUCACAGAACUGGUAAUUUCCAAGAACAGGAAAAAUAAGUGAGCUGAUAUUGAGGACAACUAAAAUAGUCAUGGAGUAAUUUGCUAUUGAGGACACCUAAAAUAAGAAAAUUAAUUAACAUUGCUCUAUACAGCAUUUCAAUAAUUUGACUAUUAAAAAAAAAAAUUUAUCUAGAUCACGAUUUCUCAAAAUGAUGCUUUUUCUAAUUAAAUAAAUCAAAAUGCCUGCUUCUUUCUUUUUCAGAAAAGAAAAAGUGGCAAUGGCAUCAAUUUUUUGCUAGAUUUUUAUCACCAAAAGCACAAGCAAGGAAUAAGAAUACUCUCUGAAACCAACCAUGUAAAGAGUAGAAGUAAGUGGUCAAUUGUAAAUUAGUCUUUCUUUUUUCUUUGUUAUUUUUUCAUUUUUUGAAUGUGAACUAAAUAAAUUUAAGGGUGAAGCUAUUACACCUUGAAAACUAUAACUGAACACCCAUUUUUUUUUAAUUAAAUUUUUAUUACUAAAAUAACCAUGGAGUAAUUUGCUACUAAGGAAAACUAGAAUAAUAAAAUGAAUAAUGAUUGCUCUAUACACCCUUUUCUAAGUCUAUCGUCUUCUUAAUUUCAUAAUUUGGCUGUCAAAAAAUAAUCUAUCUAGAUCACGAUUUCUCAAAAUGAUGCUUUUUCUAUCUAAAUAAAUGAAAAUGCUUGUUUCUUUCUUUCUCGAAAAGAAAAAGUGGCAAUGGCAUCAAUUUUUGCUUGCAAGCACAGCGAGGAAUCAGUAUACUCUCGGAAACUAACCAUAUUAAGAGUAGAAAUAUUUAUUUGGUUAUCACGAAGUAAGUUAGAAAUCAAUUAUAAAUGGUCUUUUUUUUUUAUUUUUUAAUGUGAACUAUAUAAAUUUAAGGUGAGGUUAUUUACACUUUGAAAAACAUUCUGAAAACCAUUAUUUCAUUAAAUUUUUUAUUAUUAAAGGUCCGUUUGGGGCAGCUACGCUGAAGCAGCGCAGCUGCCCCAAACGCUCUCUAAAAUAGCCAUGGAGUAAUUUCUUACUGAGGAAAACUAGAAUAAUAAAAUCAAUUAUCAUUCUUCCAUGAACCCGUUUCUAGAUGUAUCUUCUUCUUGAUUUGGUAACUUGGCUGUCAAAAAGAAAUCUAUCUAGAUCACGAUUCCUCAAAAUGAUGCUUUUUCGGAUGAAAUAAAUGAAAUUGAACCUACAAUCUGCCACAAACACGUUAUAAUGAGCCUAAUGAAAAGCAGUAUGAGAAAUUUUGCUUCCAUGUUGUUUCUUCCAUAUGUAAAGGUAGUAAAAAGAAAUUUAAGUCCUAGAAUGGAUGAAGAAUUAUCAAUAAUUAAAAUAAAAAUGGAUGAAGAAUUAUCAAUAAUUAAAAAAAAAAAAAAAAACAGAGUUAUAAAAGAAUCACAGUUCCACCAAAAAUUAAGAGUUAUUUUAUUUGGUGGUUUCCUAUCCCGAAAGCAUUACUUGUAAAUAUGUGCUAACAAGUAAUAAUUAAGAAAGUUAAGGCCAAUCAUUUAGCAGGGAGAAAAAUGGAAACAUCCGGAAUAUUGUUAUGUGUUUUCAGUUAUCUACCAAUCAAUAAUGAAAAAUUAAAUACGCAUGUGACGAAAAUUUAAUAAAGAGAACUGGAGGUGACAAAAUUUUUAUUAUUCUAUCUUUCUCUCUGAAACUUCCUUAAUUUGGUUGGGAAGUGCUUUGUCUUAGGCAGUGGAUCUGUUAUAAAUACCCUUUGCUAAAGUUAAUAUUUUGAUUGAAGAAAAAAAUAGAGGAGAAAAAUUUUAUUAAAGUAUAACAUAAUUUGAUAAAUUUAGAAUUGAGGAGAGAAAAUGAGUAUAAAUUCGAAAAUUUUGGCACUAUUUACAUAUCAUUAUUUGGGCAAAAAUUCAUUUCUCUGCUUUCAUAUGAUUUGGUCUUUCAUUGUUACGGUGCCAAUUUUUUAUUUAAAGAUGUAAGAUAGUGGUACUAUAGCUUAGAUUUUCCGUAAGUACAAAAUAAAAUACUAGUUUAAAAUAUAAAAAUGAAAAACUAUUUUUAUAACCAAUAUUCAAUUAAAUACACUUGAAACUCUAUUUUUUCUUAAUAAAAAAAUUCUAAUUUAUUUUCUCAAUUUAUCUAAACAACUUUACCUAAUCAAGCUAAAUCUACAUAUUACCCUAAACCUUAAUUCAUAAACACCCAAUCAAUCCAAUUGUUAAAUCCGAUUUCAUAAUUAAAAAAGCUAAAUUCUAUUUUAUUAUUUAUGGUGCAAAGUAAAAAAUGCCCUUGAAGUUAAGGGUAAAAUUGAUAUUUUAUUUAAAUUUUGUUAAUAUUCUAAUAAUGUUAAUGUCUUAGUGGUUAAUAAAAUCACAAAGUCAAACUUUUGUAGUAUUUUUUAUAAUAAGGUAAAGAUAUAUGUUUGAUAAUUUUCCUACGUCUUUUUACGUUAAAUUGAGUCUCAAGAGAAAAAUGAUUAAUUUGCUACAAUUCUGUCAGUUUUCUGAUGGAAGAUAAUGAUACAAUGAAUAAAUAAUACAUAUUAUUAAAUUAGUGUAGAUGAAUGAUACAACUUGAAAAUAUUGUAGUAUUCUUAAUAGUAGAGAAAUGUAAAGGUGGAUGGUUGAUAAUUUAAUGAAGUAACUACAGAAUUUUCCUUUCAAAUAUUUUUUUAAAAUAUAUGAUGAGUAAAAAUCAUUUUACAGAAUGAUCAUACGCAUUUUGUAUCACAAACGAAAACAUGAACCAACUAUGUAUAGAGUCAAUUAACUAAAGUUCUCAAGAGUUGACCUGUGCUCCUGAAUUCUUGGAAUCAUCAAUCUCCUUCUGAACUUGGACGAAGCUUGGGACAUCAACGAUUACAUUGUUUGCAGAUGGAAAUGGGAUCUGAUAACCCGCAGGCCAAAAGUUGAUGAGGUUUGGUAAAUCUGACAGUAUCAAGUCCCCAAGUUCAUUCAUAACAAUUUCAUUGUACUCCGUGACGUCUGCUCCAUCUUUAUGCCAGAAUACUUCUUCUAAUUCAUCAUUACCUAUUAUCCAUAUGUACUUCAGUUUUUGAAGACUUGGAGCUACGCUGAUAUGAAAUAGAUGCUUUAGUUUGGGGCAAUAACCGACAGAGAUCCUUUUGAGUUUUGGGAAACAUACAGGUUGGAGAUGAUCCUCAUCCUCAUCCUCAUCAAUGAUUUGCUCUAAUUCGAAGCAAUUCCAAACAUAUAACGCCUCCAAUUGCAACAGAUUUCGAGCAAAUGUUGAUGAGAAGAGACGUCUCAGCAUAGUGCACCCGUCCACUGUUAAAUAGGUAAGACUUUGCAGGCUAAAAUUAUGCGUGGGACCUACGUGAUAUAAUACUUGCAGUUCUCGAAGGUUUUCCAACUGCACCUCCUUCAAACAUGGGAAUAGUUUGUUUUCUUGUCCCUCAGCGAUAAUAGCUUCCAAUUGAAAUACCACCUGUACUCCCAGUUGUCUAAUACCCAAUUCUUCCAAAUUUUUUAAGCCGUGCUUC